rnacentral:lncRNA from 1 species
GUACUUUGUUGUUAAGUAUUUCAAAUUGAAUUAAAAUUGAAAUACUAAUGCUACUAAUGCUUAUUGUUGAUGGUUCUUGGGUGCUUCCUGAUCUACUUCAACUUCACUUUCCAGCUUUAUGUAAUAAAAUUGAGCAGGUCCCUCUUGCUACUAAUGCUUCGAUGGAGGACACUCUUAUUUGGAUGCCUUCGUCUACAGGAGAUUUGACUGCAAAGAAUGCUUACCAAUUUUUACGGCAUCCAUUUCCCUCCAUGCCUUGGGGUAAGUCCUUAUGGUCUAGAUUUAUUAUUCCUAGAAUGUCUCUACAUGCUUGGAAGGUUUUGAAAGGGAGAGUAAUUUGUGAUGAGCUUAUACAACGUCGAGGAGUGGCUUGGGUUUCAAGAUGUGAGCUUUGUGGUGCAUGUACUGAGUCCCUGCAACAUAUUUUCUUGCAUUGUCCCUUUACAGCUGCUAUAUGGUCUUAUUUCUUAUCUCUUUUUGAUCUGGGGGCUACUCCUCAUACAAUUGUGAAUUUAUUUCAUAAAGGUCUGAGUAUGGGACAUAGCUCACAGCUUAAGGAGCUUUGGUUGAUCUGUUUUACUUCGAUUUUAUGGUUUGUAUGGCAUGCGAGAAAUAAGACCAGAUUUGACGGUAAGUCGUUCUCUGUGGCUUUGUCAUCUCAUUUUGGGGCACAUUAGAGCGGCUAGUCGACUUGCAAAUGGUCCAAUGCAUAAUUCAGUUCAGGAUUUAUGAUUAAUAAAGAGUUUUGGUGCAGAGUGUCGAUUGGGAAGAGCUCCAAGAGUUAUUGAGGUUGUUUGGCAUCCUCCAGUCAUUGGGUGGGUGAAGAUUAAUUCGGAUGGAGCUUGAAAGCAUGCAGAGGGUGUUGGAGGUUUUGGUGCUGUUUUUCGUGACUUUAAAGGUCAUGUUCUUGGUGCUUUUUCUUCCAACAUUGACAUUCCUAGUUCAGUAGCAGCAGAGGUGAUGGCAGUUAUAGUUGCUAUUGAGCUUGCUUGGGUAUGAGACUGGAAACACAUUUGGUUAGAGGUUGACUCGUCACUUGUGUUAGACUAUCUACGGUCUCCUUUGCUUGUAUCUUGGCAUCUACGUGUCCGUUGGCUUAAUUGUGUACAUUGCAUAUCGAAGAUGACCUUUCGAUCUUCUCAUAUUUUUCGUGAAGGGAAUAAGGUUGCAGAUGCUCUGGCUAAUCACAGUACGUCGUUAACACAACUGGUUUGGUGGGAUUCACCUCCUCCUUUUAUUUUGUCAUAUUGUAGUAGUGACCUUAUGGGUCUUCCCCAAUUUCAGUUUUCAUAGUUUUGUUUCGUUAUUAUUUCGUUAUGAGAGGUUUUGGUCUAAUCCCCUCUCUUGAUGUUUCUUUUUUUUUCUUUUUAAUACAUAAGAGUGUUAGGGGGUCAUUCCUCUCUCACUCAUCUUUCAGCCAAAAAAAAAAUUGAAUUUAUAUAAAUCUUGCACUUUGAUACAUUAGAAAUGAGAAUAAAAAAUAAAAAAAUUAUGAACACAAAUCUCGCAAAUCCUACAGCAAAGCGCGGGUCAUAAUUGUAGUAUAGUCAUAUGUAUGAAUAUUGAGAUUGUGGGUUUAGGUAUACGUCGUUACGUCUUGAUUUUUUUUUUUUUUUUUUUUUUUUUUUUUUAUAAGAUACGUAAACAUUUUAUUAAAGCAGACUUAGGUACAAGAUAACAUUCAAUUACAACGAAUUCAAUAACAACGAACCAACCACGAACUGGAAAUAAGCUCAUAUCCAGCAAUCAACUACUAUCUCCUAAACUCACAUGUAUACGACAUAUACAGAGACGAGGACCAUACAAUUUUUGAGGUGAUGAAAUGGUUUUUAAGCUAUUUAAUUAUUAUGGUUCACCGACUAUCUCAAUAUUAUUCACAUACGUACCUAUUCAUUCAUUCCUCACUUUGAAACGAAAUAAUGAAUCAGUAAUCAAUGAAACUUGUCUUCUGCACUUUAUUGCUAGCUAGGUAAACACAAAAUAUUACAUGACGUCCCGAGUCCGGCAUGCGCAGUACGUCGCCGUUGUAGGGUAGGGGAUGAGGGCCGGGAUUGUAUGAAUUAUAUUACUCCCACCACCAGCUCAUAUAUAGGCCAUGAAUCAUAAAUAGUCUAUAACAAAUAAUCUAGUCCUGCAUUCAUAUAUACCAGAGACCGAGUAUCAGAAGUCUCAUGCAUGCAUGUUUUUUUUAUCGAAGAAAAUAUCAAUGUUUGCAUCAGUGUGUGAGUAAUUUUAUGUCUGAUACCCACGAUAUAGGAAUCAAUGAAAGAAAGGAGCCACAGAACAGGGAAGGCAGGGGUGUACAUCGUACGUACCUACUAUAUAUAAACAGCUUUCAGAUUAGAAAGAAGGACGAGGGAAUUCGAAGUCAGAAACUCAGAAUCAGAUUUGAGGGGCAUGCAUGCACUACCUUCUGUAGGCAAGAGAUGCAACAUGAUCAGCUGCGCUAUUCGUCUGUAUUUCUGCUGGACCAAAUCCAGCUAAUUAACUUGCCAGACUAAAAUUUAUAGAGGCUAGUAAAAAAAUAAAAAAUAAAAUACAACUUACACCAUGGAAAUCAAAAUUAUUUCUUUGGCUAUCUCAAAUUAGUUAUUUUGGACCAGUAGAAUAAAAUUAGUUAAUACUAUUUUUGCUAUCAUAUAUAUAAUCUCUCUUAAUUAUUUUUUCCAUCCGUGUUCACAGAUUAUUUUUUUUUUUUUCAAACACGAAGAACGUGUAAGUGUGUAACAUGCGGGAGGAGGAGCUAGAUUGUGUAACACACGUACAAUGACAAACGAAUCAAACUUGUUUCUAUUCAUACGUGUUCACUGCAGUAGUACUGCUAACAAGCCCAAAAACCAUUAGUUUGUCUCUCGUACGUUUUGAAGCUAGCUUCAGAUCUAGAUCUUGAAUCCCGACAUAUGCAUGCAAAUUUGUCGUUCGAUCAGUGAGCAAUUAUUAUCUCUCAAUUAAGUAGCGAGGUGGGAAAUGCAUGAACACUACCAGAUCGACCGAGGACCAGUAUAUUCAUUCUGUAAACACAUGCAGUAGUUCGCAUCUGCGAUAUAUAUGCAGUGCGCAUAAUUUAGAUUUUUAACUGCAUGAUCAUAUAUAUAAUUUCACCUAGCUUAAUUAGCCUGGCAUUGGGCCUUUUCUACCAUACGUACGUUAAAUAUGAUCCAUUAUUAUUAUAGUAAACUACAUAUUAGUUACUAACCAAAUAUCAAUUGACAAAAAGAUCCAUUAAGCAUAUUACUAAACAAAUAAGGACAAACAUUUACAAAUAAGGACAAACUGUUAUAUUGUUGCCAUGUGGCAUUGCACAUUUACAAUUUUGUCUUUAAUUAAAACAUAUUUCCUUGCUACUGUCUCCGAUUAGAAAUCUGCUACUACUGCCUCCGACUGGAAAUUUGCUGCUACUGUUGCCGACCAGAAAUCUGCUGCUACUGCCACCGACUAGAAAUCUACUGCUACUGAACCGAUCGAAAAAUUUCCUGCUACUGCACCAAUCGUUUACAAAUAUUCUGCUACUGUGAACUGAAGAAGCUACUACUGUCGAACCAAACAAAGUUUCUAUGUCGCGAUUGGAAGCCUUCUGCUACUAUAUAUCAUGAUUGGAGGUCUUCUGCUACUGACCACUGAAUAGUUACUGCUACUAUGAAAUGUGCAGUAGCAUGACUCGUACUCGUCCACACCUAUCUAAAAUCAACGACAAUCAAAUUGAAAUUGUGUGAACAAGAAUCAACUCACCUUCCCCCUCACCAUCCUCACCGUUGAGUCCACCCAGGGAAUUGAUUCGAAAUCGGAUUGGAAAAGAAACGAAGCAGUAGCAGCAUGACUAGCUAGAACCUCUUCUGAUGCAACCCUCUCUCUCCCUUCUGAACCACCAUCCUUAACACUGAGCCCGAACCCCGCUUCACCUCCAUCAAGGCGUUCGCCCCUGCCACCGUGGCGGCCCAGGUUUGCCUUCCUUGGAUGCGCCAUCAAUGGCCUCGGCGACUUCGUCUCCCUCACCGUCGACCUCCAAGUCCUCCCCAGUGAGAUCGAGAUCUCCUUUAGAACUUCACCGAGAUCGCCGCCAUCUCCCUCUNNNNNNNNNNNNNNNNNNNNGAGAGAGAGAGAGAGAGAGAGAGAGGUUGAAUCGGGAUGGAUGAAGAUGCAUACUAGUUUCAAAAAUUUAUGUAGCAAUUUUUGUAAUUUUGUUGUAAAAUAGGGUAUUUUGGUCAUUAAUUAUGAAAAAUCGGAUCAGGCUAGGUAUUAUUGUUAUUGGGCCUCAUGCUUAUGUCUUAAUUUGUCUAAAUAUUAUUAAAAAUGGAUUUUUUGUGUUUUUUAAUUUGGUCAUGUGCUACUAUGUAAUUUUAUCUUAUUAUUAACAAAAAGAAAAUGUGUAGAUAUGAUGAUUUUUUUUAUUUUUCUCCCCAAAAGAUUACAUAUUUUUGUCUUCUACCAACUGAUAUUUAUGCUAGAAAACAGUAGUGUCGACGUUCGUCCAAAUCAAAUAGAGAGCGUUAAGGACACGCAUGGAUCCAAACCACAUAUAUAAGAAGCUCAGAAAUAGGGUGGAUUUCUGGAUACAUACCAAAGAAGGAAUAGGAAGAUAGUAUUAUUUGUCCAAAAGAAAAAGGAGGCCGGAAAGGGAAGUCUGUUCCACGCAAAACACAUUGAGGACCGAAGGCUGAACAUAUAUGUAAAUUCAAGACCAUCCACAUAUAUGGAGAUAAUGAUUUUAUGGUUGAACGUAUAAGCAUCUGUAGCCUUUGCCUGGAUCUUAAAUAACACAUACUGGACCAGUUCGCACUUAUUAGUCUAGCAUUAGAAGAUGGUCCUGAAAAAACAACAAUGGAAAAUUUAUCACAUCACAGUACUUGAUAACUAAUAUCUCAUUUUCUUUUUCCAUGCACUCUCAUAUAAACCAUCAGGAGUACAGUACUGGAUGUGAUGAAAAUGAUCGAAUCAUUCAGACUUCGAUCUCUAGAGAACAUGCAGAAUCAAAUUGGGUUCUUGACACAACUAUAGGAAGUGAUGAAAGGCAGACGUAUGAGCCAUGAAGUGAUUAAGCAUUUAAAAUGUCGACCAAGGAUCAGAAUAUAUACCAGUGCACGUACAAUGUUCAUAUAUAUAAGAGCACCAAAAAUUAUCACAAUACAAUAGGGUUUUUAGUUUGUUUUUUUUUAGUGAAAAUGGGGAUUGACAAAAACUGUAAAAGAACCCAGAUGCGAAGAACGCUCAAUCAAAGGCAAAGUGUGAAACGAUUCAUUACAAGGCCAAACAUCAAUGUAUAAAUUAGGGUUCACGCGAACGUUUUAUUCACGUACUUAUGUUCUCUCCUUUCUUUUUCACUUGAAGGAGAACAAGCAAAUUACUGAUAUGAAAGUGAAACCACAUCCAUUCACAUAUAUAUAUAUAUAUAUAUAUAUAUAUAUAUAUANNNNNNNNNNNNNNNNNNNNGUGGUGUGUUUGGGACAUGGACAAUGAGUAUACCAAAGGACGAAAAAUUGACGAAGACUAACUUGAGUUUAAAUGAACAUAAAGAGUGACUGUAUUAUAUAUCACCUCUAAAAAAAUUGUUGUAGAGAUGAGCUAUAUAUAAAUUAUCGCCUAUUUUGUAUUCAAUUUUUUUAUAUAAAAAAAUUAUGAUAUACGUAGGUGGUGGCCGGUUUAGUGGCAGUCGGUAACGAUAGAGCUACGUACGUAUGGUGGUUAAAGGUUGAAAAAUGAGGUGCAAAUAUGGCUAUGGAAGGAGGCGAACUUCCCUAGCAAACGCUUUAGCUCAUUUAGGCCGGUCAGUUAAUGAUUGUACUUCAUAGUUGUAUCAGUGGCCGCCUCAAGCUCAGCGGUCUUCCAGUUUGAUCUGUUAGGUUUUGGUUGCAUGCAAGGCUUCUCGUUGUAAUGUUUUGGUUUACUAAUCGGGAAAAAAAAAAACAAAAAACAAAAAAGGGUAAACUGACUCAAUAUUAUUUGGUCUAGUGACAUAUUCUUCUCUUAGUAAGUGGGAGGUUGUGAGUUCGAGGACUUACGAAGUUGUGAUAUGUGAUAAAAAAAAAAGGUUAGCUCUCGUGUAAUUCUAAUUAGAUGGGGUGGUUAAUUAGUUUAGUUGAAACUUGAAACCCAAUGCUUUUACCAAAUCUUUCUGCUUAAUCAUAUGCGCGCUGCGAGCAUGUAUCAUGUAUGUGAUGUACGUCAUCUAUGACUACGUUUGUUUUUGGUUCUUGUAGUGUUAUUAUGUAUGUAACAUCAAACAACGUGCAAUAUAUACAAGAGUAGACAACAAAAAUAAUUGAUGAAACUUGUCUUGUUCACUUGAGUGCUUGAAAAUCGAUGAAAACCCUAGCCUUGUCUUUUCCGUCGAUGGCGAGAUAAGUGGCUUCAGUUAGAAAGCUUUUCAUAUCAGCAGAAGACAAACUCGUUCAGACCAGAUAAGAUUCUGUGAUCCCCAUUGAGGAAGGUGUAGUAGUGCCGCGAAACACAUGGAGGGAAGUAGUGCCAAACUAUAUGGAUAACCCUGCGUGAAGUCGCUUGUCCAUCUUUUACGUUGCUCUGUCUUUUUUUUUCCCCAGUAAAGACAAGAACAUGCAUAUAUGUGGCUAUAUGUGGCUGUACAGAACCGAAAGAGCAAAGGCUGAACAUGCAUUGGAAUUGCAAGAUAUUGAAGAUCAUGGAGCAUUCGCUUGGAGUUUUGUAAGUUAUUGAAGAUACGUACUGGACCAGUUUCCAGUAUUAUUGUAUAUAUUUAGCUUAGUUGAAGACAAUACUUAAAAUCACUCGUUGUUUUCACACCUGCAGAAAUCGCAGUACAGAACCCAAAGUAUCACCAUUCAUCGAUCAGUAACUUUAAGAUUGCUCUAGCAAUUGUAUCACAAGUCACAAGAUACAUAUAAUAGAGAGCUUGCUAAUUAACUAACAAAAACAAAUUAGAACCUACGUGCUAGGUUAGUUUCAUUUUCUUUUUUAAACUAACGGUCUCAAGAUAAAUAGUUGAUUCAUAUUAUUCAUGUUAUGUUUCAAAUGAUAGGAAAUUAAGGGUUGUUGAAUUGAAAGAGAAAUAAAAACGUAAAGAAAACGCAAAGAUCGAGUGCUUUAGACUACAAUCAACACGCAGUUGACACUAGUCUGUGAUACUCUCAUUUGAAAUCAAACUCUUCUCUCAUGAAAAACAAGCCGGCCUGUUGUAAAUGUGAGAUUUUCCACUUUUUUGAAGCUUCUCACUCAGUUUGAAAAAAAAGCAUCUUCAAGAGGAGGGAAUGAGGGAUACACUUCCAUUAGGUUCACGUGUGUAUUUCUGUGCCAAUGUGAACCGCACACGUGGCAUGAUCUUGUAGAAACAGAGCCGAUUCUGAUAUCUAAAUAUGGCUAUAAAUAGGGCGCAUUGCAAGAGCAAAAGCACCAACAGAAAACAGAAGCCAUAAGCCAUAAGUUACAUAUCCUUGUUCGAUCUCUGCCUUUUAGCCACUAUCAUCAUGCUUGGCCUAGUAAACAAGGUGGCCUCAGUAAUCCACCACCCUCAUAGCCCGUUUGCCAAGUCUGACAAGAAGAUCUUGGAUGAUAUUUACACUACUCAUGUCCAUGCUGAUGAUUCCUUCGAUGACGAUUCUCUUUUCAUCAUUGUUGAGAGUAUCCUCAAGCGUGCAACCCAAACUGUCGAUAAAAUUGUGCAGGUACAAAUCACACAUAACAUGUAACACGAUUACAUAUGCCUUGGUCGAUUUUUGCAUACGUACAAUAUAUAUUUACGCAAGAAUGACCAAGCUAGGAUGUUCUUUGCCUAAGAGAAGCUGUCUUUUUCUGUUGUUGGUAGUGACUAGCUGCAUGCUACAUUCUUGUGGUUGUUGCAGGGUACCCAAGUGCAUGUGGAAGACAUAGAGGAGCAAACCCCCAAAGCCAACUUCAGUGUACCAUUGUGCACGCUUAAGGGAAUCUCCUGCGAGGUCCAUCCGUCCAUAUAUAUACGAUACCAGCAAAAAUAAAAAAAAAUUCCAAAUUAAUUGUUGUUAGUUGCUCGUUGAUUACAUUUUCCAUAUAUUGAAUAUUUCUCUAAUUUCAGAUGCAAUGCAAGCCUCCUGGUGAAGAAAUCGCCCAUGAGACAACACUGGCAAUACUACACAAGCUGUCAAAGUAUUCAUGGGAAGCAAAGGCAUCACUGACCCUGGCAGCUUUUGCUAUGGAGUUUGGUGAAUUCUGGCUCCUUGCAGAGCUUCGUGAAUCAAACCACCUUGCCAGGUCAAUUGCAAUUCUCAAACGACUCCCUGUUCUCCUCAAGCCUUCUCAGCUGCACAAGCGCAGGCAAGCAAUACUUGAGCUUAACAAUCUGAUCAAGGCCACACUGGAAGUCAUUACAUGCAUCGACCAGUUCAACAAGCUUUCCAUUUAUGACCUGAAUGAUGUCCCCGAGUUGUCGGGAACAUUGGAUCAUGUUCCGGUGGACGUAUAUUGGGCUAUCAUGACUGUUGUGGCUUGUGCCACUAAGAUCACACUACUCACUAGUGAUGAGUAAGUUCCCCGAUCUCCAUCGUUUUAACGAAUUAGCUAAUUACUAUACUCACUGUUGUGGUGUAAGCAUUGUUCCUGGAGAUUGAAUUUGUGUACCGAUUUACGAUAUUUACCCUAUUUAAUUUGCCACAUAUUGUUUCAGGGACAAAGAAUUUGACCUAUCUCCCUAUUCUCAAAAGAUCCACUUUGUCCUUAACAAGCUCAAGACGCAGCUAACAAUUUGCAGAGCACGAAUUGGUGGGUUAAUUAAUUGCAUAUUUUUUAUUAAUUGAGGUUCACAUUAGUUCUAUAUGUGUACUCUUUGAAACGAAAUUUGAAGCAAUUUUAUUGUUGUCUAAUGCAGAGUUCAUAGAAAAUUAUAAAAAGCUCAAGAAACUGUUCCGAACACCUACUGAAAUUAUGGAAAUCUUUAAGGGUUUGUUAUUUACAAAGGAUAAUGUCCAGCCACUCGUUGAUUGUUCCACUAAACAAACGGUUUGUGCAUCAUCUCUAGGGCCAUCAUUUCUCUACAAAUUGUAACAACAAUAGUGAAACUUAAUGGUGCCCAACUCUUUAACAGGUGAGCAUCGAAAUCCUAAGGAGGAAGAAUGUGCUAUUCUUCAUUUCCAGCCUCGACAUUACGGAUGACGACAUUUCGAUUCUGAAACCGGUCCACGAGUUCACAAAGAAAGACAAUCAGUAUAAGAUUGUGUGGAUACCGAUUGUGGAGCAAUGGACCGAUGAGCUGAGAAAGAAAUUUGAAAUCCUGAAGAACAAGAUGCCGUGGUAUACGGUGCAGUACUCUGGACCUAUUGCAGGCAUCAAGUUCAUCAAGGAGGAAGUGGAACUUCAAGGUAAGCCAUUACNGGUAGUGAUGAACCCACAAGGAAAGGUCGAACACUCUAACGCUCUUCACAUGAUUCGGGUGUGGGGAGUCAAGGCCUUCCCUUUCACAGAGACGAUAGAGAAAGAGCUGUCAUCAGAUUCUCAUGGAGGAAUUCACUCUAUAGUUGUUGACGGAAUUCACCCUUCUGUGCCAUCUUACGUAAUUCACCUCAACCGAUCAAAGUGCAUAUAUAAAUUCACGAGUUAUUAUUUAUAGUAUUUGCCUAUAUAUAUUACUUUUGACAGUGCAUUACUACAUCAAUAUAUACAUUACAUAAUAAUGAACUAGGAGAGUACGGUCAUCUCCAUUAUUGAUAUAUUUUCACUACAUUCACCUGAAACGAUGAGAAACUUAUUCAAUUUGUUAUCCUCAAACAGAUCAGAGAUAAUAAGUACAUCUUCUUCUAUGGCGGUAAGGACAACGAAUGGAUUCAGCAAUUCACAAAGAAAGCAACUGCCCUUGCAAACGAUCCUAUCUUGAAGGAGGCAAAGAUUUACAUAGAGUUGGUUUGCGUUGGAAAAGGCAGCAAAGGAGAAGAUGACCAUGGCAUUCUAGGCCGCUUCUGGACCGGUAUAGAAAGCUUGUUCCUCACCAAAGUCCACAAGCACGUUGAUCCGAUCGGUCAAGAAAUUCAGAAGCUUGUCUCUUACAAGAACGAAAGUGGAUGGGUGUUGCUUACCAAAGGAUCAACUUUGUUGGUCACAGGUCAUGGUAUCUCCGCAUUGAAGGUGGUAGAGGACUUUGAGAAAUGGAGGGAGCAUGUCAAGGAGAAAGGGUUUGAGUAUUGUUUCAAGGCCUAUUAUGGGAAGGUUAUUCAGGCGGGUCGACCUUGUUGCCGUCUUGACAUUCCGGGGUCUACCGGAAAGGUUCCGGAGUCGAUGAAGUGCCCUGAUUGUCACCGUAGUAUGGAGACUUUUAUCAGUUACAAGUGCUGCCACAUUGAUGGUCCAACUGCACAUCAUUGAGUGCUGGCUGAAUUGGUGUUUACGAUCAGUCCUUCAGUACGUUAUGAUGGACUGUUAUGUUAUCUUUUACUUCUGCUUGUAUGAAUAAGAUGGGCAUGGCCGAUGCAUUGUGAUGCUUGGUAUAACCCAGACUUACGAUUUGAAUUUUCCAGCUAUAAUUAUAUGGCUAGAUGUACUAUGUUUGGUGCUAUCGUACGUGUACCUUUUGAAUCAAAUAAGACCAAUAUUUUGGUGACUAAAUUGAAACCAAUUUAAUUUUUUAUUUCAGGUUAUUUUGUUAAAACAAAACAAAAAAGCUUAAAUUGAAAUAAGGGUUAGUUUAGGAUUGCUGUGACUUUUUAUAAAAAUUGAUUCUGUUGUACUAUGAAUACAAUCAGUUGAGUGAAGGAAAAUACUUGUGUGCGGACUAAUAUGUAUGUGUGCGUCCGGACUCUCUGUUAUUUACAUAUUUUCGGCAAUGUAAAUCAUAAUUUUAACUGUACAAAAGUUGGAUUAACCAAUAAAGAUUAUCUCUGCGAAAAAUCAAUGUAAACAAAAUUCGUUUGCUUAUCCGAUUGCAUUAAACAAAUGAACAGUUCUGAUGAAAGUUAGCAACCUCAUGAUUAGCUGUCAAUUUGUUUGAUUCAUUUAGCUUAACAAACGAUUUUUGUUCACUGAUUUUUUUACAUAGGUGAUCUUAAGGUGUUUGACCCGAAAGCAUGUACCAUACCCGUUUUAUCAGAACACGCGGAUCCUAUUUGACCCGAAAUGCAAAUGCCUAUUUAAGUUGAGAAACUCGAUCGUUGAAGCAACGAUCAUUUUGGAAAAACUAUUCUGGGCUUAGCUUCUGCGAAAAAGUUCUAUGCUUUACUUGAUUUCAAGGUACUCAAAUUGAUAGUUAAAAGUAUGGACCAUUGUCGAUGAUUCUUUUACAGGGAAAUCAUUAGGGAUCGAGUUUGUAUUAUAUUGUUUCUAAUACGUGUUCCUUCUUUUGACGCGAGGAAACCAAACUUGGGUUCUACUAUGAUUCUGGGAAGGAAUUAAGAUUCUGGGAAGGAACGAAAGAAGAAGGUAUAAUCGGUAAGUGCCCAGCACUACAAAAGGGUAAAAGCUGAACGAAGAAAUUUCGACGGGAUGGUGAUGUUACCAUGAAGAAAUAGCUCUAGGAGCUAAGAUACUUGUCUUGCAUUGUGGUUUCUUUUAAAAUUCAUUUAAGUCGGCUAAUUUUAUGCAUGAUUCUUUUUACAUUUUGUGCUUUCAUUGGACCUAAUGAAAUUUUGUGCUUUUAAGCCGUUCGUUUGAGUCUAGCAGGAAAACAAAGUAUUGAGUACAACUCAUACUUAAGGCAAUCCAUCUGCUUUGGCCAAGAAACUUAUUACUGCUGAUUAAUAAGUGAGAUUGAUGUGUUGAUUUAUGUUUUCUGAAUAAUAUGUGAAAUAGUCAUGCUAUCACAUAAAGGCAAUAGCAAGUAUGAUGUCCAAUAAAUAGCUAUUGAUCAAUGACUUGUUCUGUAUCUGUUGGCAUGCUCUUUAUUGAUGUUUUGGUAUAACUGAAAACUAUAUAUGACUAUUUAGAUGAACUCAUUGACAUCUUGAUAAAUGACGCAUUAAUGCCUUGACAAGAAAGCAUGGUAAGUUAGUCAUUAGAUAAUAGACCAAAUUUAUCUUGUUUUCAUGAAAGUGUGGCUGUUUUUUGAGACUGCAUCAAUUUUUUUUGAAAUUGUCCAUUGUAAUUGAAAGUUCAUCGACUCAUGUUAUUACCUACUGGAAAUUUGCAUUCUGGAUGUAUCUACUAAGGAUCAUCUUCAAACAUUUGUGUGUAUAUAUGUAUAUAUGAGUAAAUGUCUAUAAUUAUAAUGAAACUACUCCCUUUUAAACUGUGCUAGUCUGUAGAUAUGCAAAUAGCAUUCAUAUUAGAAAUUUACUAGAUAUGCAUGUGUUGGGAUUUACUUCCAAUGAUUCUUAGCAAAUAUCGGCUAUCAACAUAAAGUUAUCUUUUUAGCUAGUAGUUAAAUGUCAGCGCAAUGCAAAUACAGGAUUUCUGGUAUAACUUGUUAUUGUUUCUCUUGGUCAUUAUUCAAAUCUGUAUAUUGAGUAUUGGAACAAGUCAUGUGCUUUUCUAUAAUUGUACAGUUAAUACUACUUCAAGCUAGUGACAUUUAAUGACAGUAUUUACAUGAAAUUUUGCACAACUAAUUGAGCUUCAUAAGUAUGUGUGAUUGUCAAUGGAAAUCACGUAAAGCACUAAAGGCUACUUUUAUAUCUAUGCUAUGCUAUAAAGUUCCUAUACAGAACACAGAAAAGAGACAUGCAUAGAGCUUUAUUCGAAAUCAGACUACAGAAAUUGUUUGGAUACUAUAUGGGAUUGUAUCUAUGCAUCUACUACUAACUUGAUAUGACACAACUAAGGUAUGUUUUCAAGAACUGAUGAAAUUUUUAUCAAGUGAUGCUUAAGUGCAUCAGGGUUGUACAUGAAUUUGAUUAAAGCAUGUUGCCUUGGUAUUCUAAAUAAGGAUAUUCUGUGAUGAUCACAUGCCGGUAACUAUAGUGAUAUGUCACCAAAAUGCUUCAAUUUUGAUCUGGAAUAUCUUACAUAUGUUGAUAAUCAUUGUGUACUUGUUGUUACAAUUUGCUUGUGUAAAAUUUAGUUAACAAGAUAAAAGAUAUCUCCCAAAAUGAAUCUUGUUAAAUUUUCAUUAAAUUUUACUGUAUGCAUAGUUGGUGUGUUUCUUCAAGCCUUGUGCUCGAUGAACUACAGGAACCAACUUUGAUCUUGGAUCCUUGGGGUGUCUUGGUGGUACAUGUUGAACACAGUAAAUUGCUACUAGGAUCUCUCAUUGAUUAUAAAGGUUAAGAUCAAGAAACUUGUGUUGUACACAUUAAUUUCAUGACUGUAUCUCCCACAGGAGGUUUAAACUUUACAUGGAUUUAAUUUGCGCAUACAGGUUAUACAGCACAUCACAAAAUUGAUAAAAUGCAUUUGUUUUGCCAAGAUCUUUUCUUCUUACCAUACAUGUGUUGACUGAUCUUAACACUCUUGUUCAUUUUGGGUCUUGUGAUUAAGAAACUUCAGAAUGUCAUGCCUCCCCAAUGUGUUUUUACAUACCUGCUUCGAUUUGUUCGAUAUAUGUGUUGCAUUAAUACUUGUUUUACAGCGCUGGGAGCAUCCUGGUAUGCAUCUGUCUAUGUUUUGAGAUUUUAUUGAACUUUGUUUCAAUUCAAUUGCAAGAACCCUAGAUGAUCUCCUGGGGGGUACUUAAGCUUUAGGAUAGAUGCCCAGAUGAAACUUAUCAUAUAGAUUUAGGUGUUGGAAAACCAUUGUUGAUGAUUCUGAAUUGAGUGAAAUGUGUUUGUAGUCUAUGUAGACUGAACUCUUAUGGAAUUGUUUGUGGUGUGCCUAUACCUACUAUAUGAUGUUUGAUAACAUGUAAUUGCUUAUGUGAUUCUUGGACAUAAAAUGACUUAAAUAAAUUCUCCCUGUUUGAAAAAAUUUAUGUUUAAAGAUAACAUAAGUAAAAGACUGAGUUUUCUUAUGAGAUGAAAAUCUCAUGGAUAUCAAAACGAAGGUUAUCAGUCACUGUUUUAGAAUCAAAAUGAGUGUUUUAAAUUUCAUAAUGCACACAGCAUAGUUGUUUAUGAUACUCUAUUUGGUUAUAAAGACACUAAAACAGGAAACUUGCAUAAAGUUGUUUAGAAUGCUUUCGUAUCAUCCACAGAUGGCUUUAAACAAUGUAAUUCUAAGCAAUUUUUAUGGUUUUGUAUGUCAUGUUUGAAGUGCAUAAGGAUGUAUAGUUGGACAUUUUCUUUUGCCAUACAAGUAUUGACUUGUCUGAUUAUAAAACGUACUUUCACACAUGAUAGGACAGUAAAGGAAAAUAAGGAAUGACCAAGUGCUUUACCACACAGGUAUGUUAUUGAAAAGAAAGAUGCAUAAGGAAAAUAUCAUCUAAAUUGAUAUACAUUCUGCAUUGUUUUGUAUUGAAUGUAUAUGAACUAUUAUGAAUUGAUAUGGAUUAUAGUCUUGUUUGUGAUUCUGGUUUUGUUUUACAGUGGUUAAACUUUAGACAAAUAUUUUCUAUAUAUAUUAUAUAUAGGGGGAGAAUAUUUCACAAUUCAGUUGCAUGCUAUUUACUAUAAGAGCAUUUGUCUUUUGGAAUGAGCAUAUUCAUGAAUCACUUGAUUAUUUACACUUUGUGGCUCUCACUAUAGUCCAUUAUGGAUUUUCAGAUAGCUAGAGAACGGUGGGAGCAUUGUUUACACUAUUUAUUGUUUAUUAGUUUUCUAGACUAAAUAUCUUGAGCUUAAAAACUUGGCAUUCUGCCUCUUUUGUUGAAAUGAAUAAGUUCAGACUUUUGAUUACAGUAAGGUUGUUGAAUUAUGAAAUUCAUGUUAUGAGCAUUAACAUGCUAUAAGAACUGUGGUAUGUGAUUUUGCUUAUAAAGAAAUUAUGUAUAUAUGAAAUAUAUAUAUAUAUAUAUAUAUACAUGCCUUUUCAGAUAUGGACCUCCGUAUUUAUUCAAAAGGUACGGAUUUUCUUAAUUGACAUACUUUUCGAUCAUAUUUUCUCAUCUCAACCAUUCAUCUUUUAGGUAUAUAUGAGUACGUAGAUUAUCUCUACAAAAUUUUAGCAAAAUUGAUAAUCAUUAAGGUAUUCAAAUUUGUGAAUUACACGAACGGUUCAUGUUGAACAGAUUUGGUUCGUUCAUUGUAAUCAUAUAGUUUCGAUACCUUAACGAUUAUCAAUUUGGCUGAAAAUUUGUAGAGAUGAUCUACACAUAUAUACCUACAAUGUGAAUGGUUAAGAUGAGAAAAUAUGAUCUAAAAGUGGGUCAAUUAAGAAAAUCCGUACCUCUUGAAUAAAUACGGAUAUUUGAACCUGAUAAUAUCUAGAAUUAAAUUCAGUUUACCCCCAUGAAGUUUGGGAGUAACUUCAUGUUAAUCCCUAUACUUUCAAUUUCAUCAGUUUACCCCUCAAACUUUUGAAUUUUCCUCAAGCGUGACCAAAUGUCCUAUAUUCUGUCCAAAUCGGACGUUAACUACUGAUAAUUUUAACCAUAACUGUGAGGCCAGUAUCUAGAAUUUGGGCAAAUCGGACCUUAUAUGUCCAAAUCGAACCUUAACUGCUGAUAAUUAAAGGUCAAUUCAAACGGAAUAUGAGAAUUUGGGCACGGCAGACAUAAAUUGAAGAGUUCAAGGGGUAAACUGAUGAAAAUAAAAGUGUAGGGACUAACAUGAAGUCACCCCCAAACCACAAGGGGGUAAACUGAAUUUUAAUUNNNNNNNNNNNNNNNNNNNNUAUAUAUAUAUAUAUAUAUAUAGAGUCCGGAUCUAGAAAGGACCUCCUUAAACUCUUAAAGUGAGGAUGUUUUUAGUUCUACCAUGUAUUUUGACAAUCAAAGCCACUCAUUCCCUAGUUACUUACCCACGCGCAAAUAUGAAUCCAACAAAAAAUUAGCCAAAAUGAAAAACGUUUAACCAUUUGAUUAGCACAAUAUUCGUUUUAAUUUUAUCUAACGGCCUACAAUUGUGUACGUCAAUUUGAAUGACCAAAUGAUUAUGGAAUUAGUUGAAAUUUUGUAGACAUGUUUUUUGCAUAUGAAUCUAGAGGAUCAACGGUUGAGAUAGUUAAAUGAAGUCAUCUACUAAUGUAAAAUAGUAGAAAUCUUUAAAUUCUUAAAGUAAGGAGGUUCUCUUUAGAUCCUCCCUAUAUAGUUUUUAUCAAGAGCGAAGCUUCGCUCUGAAAUUAAAGUGUGAAGUUCUUUAUUUGACUCACUUUUUCGUCAUAUUUCCACAUUUCCACCGUUCAGUUUGUAGAAUCUAAUGCAUAGAUCACUUAUGCAAAGUUUCAUCUAAUUUGAUGAUCGUUUGGGUUUUCGUAAUCGUUAUUUACACAAACAGUUCUGGUUAGACAAAUUUAUGGUCCGUUCAUUGAUUUGAUCUAAUUUAGUACCCAAACAAUCAUCAAUCUUAAUGAAAUUUUGUAGAAAUGAUCUAUACAUUAGUAUCAAUAAUCUGAACGAUGGAGAUAUGAAAAUAUGAUGAAAAAGUGAGUCAAAUAAGAAACUUCACACUUUAAUUUCAUAGCGAAGCUUAGCUCUAGAUAGUAACUGUGUGUGUGUGUGUGUGUUGCAUCAUUAUGCCUGUUAAAGGAACACAAGAAAAAGGUGCGUCUAUUGCCACCCCACAAACCAUUUUGGUUACCCCACACGUUGUUGAUUUAUUGAAUGACUAAUAUACAUUAAUGUAAAAUUACAGCAAUGGACAAUAAGUUGUUACAAAUUACAAAUUUCCUCUUUUUAGAAAAACAUAUAUUUCAUAAACCUUAACCAGAAUUUAUCAUAUUCAAUAUUUCUAAAAAUUCGAUAUUUCUAAGAAGUCUGAAGAAGACACUAGCAUUCAACUGAGGAUGAGGUGAACUGUUUGUAUUUUUUUUUCUUCUUUUUUUUUCUUUGUUGAUGCUUCGUCUAUCCAUUUACCCAUUAUUUCUCAUAUCGAUUUUGUAUGUAAAUUUUCAUGUCUAGUCGCUCACUUAUAUAUAUUCGAUNNNNNNNNNNNNNNNNNNNNNNNNNNNNNNNNNNNNNNNNNNNNNNNNNNNNNNNNNNNNNNNNNNNNNNNNNNNNNNNNNNNNNNNNNNNNNNNNNNNNNNNNNNNNNNNNNNNNNNNNNNNNNNNNNNNNNNNNNNNNNNNNNNNNNNNNNNNNNNNNNNNNNNNNNNNNNNNNNNNNNNNNNNNNNNNNNNNNNNNNNNNNNNNNNNNNNNNNNNNNNNNNNNNNNNNNNNNNNNNNNNNNNNNNNNNNNNNNNNNNNNNNNNNNNNNNNNNNNNNNNNNNNNNNNNNNNNNNNNNNNNNNNNNNNNNNNNNNNNNNNNNNNNNNNAAAUCAUGACUUUAAGGACUAUUUAGAUUAAAAUAAAACCAUAAGGACUAUUUGGAUGAAAAAUCGUGACUGUAAGGACUAUUUAGAUUAAAAUAAAACCAUAAAGAUUAAACAGAUGUCGACUUCAAACCAUAAGGACUAUACAAUAUUUUACCCCUAAGAAAAUGAAUCGGAAUGACUAUUUGGAUGAAAAAUCAUGACUUUAAGGACUAUUCAGAUUAAAAUAAAACCAUAAGGACUAUUUAGAUGAAAAAUUGUGACUUUAAGGACAAUUCAUAUUAAAAUAAAACCACAAAGAUAAACAUAUGUUGACUUCAAACCACAAGGACUAAACAAAUUUCAAUUCUUUUUUUUUCAUCGGUGUCAGAGCUUUUUUCAAGUAGAGCUUUUUUCCAUGUGCAUCUUAUCGACGGAUACCAAUGUUGUUAAGUUUGAGAGUUUUUUUUUGUUCUUUAAUUGUGAUUUAUACUUUAAUAUGAUUUUUAUUGUUCAGUUUGUGAUUCCACUUACCCAAAUGAUAGUAAUCUUAUGGUUUUCUUCAAUUUCAUUUUGUUUUUGGAGUUCAAUGGCUAUUGGAAGAGACUGAUAUUGUGUGUAUUACAAAUCGGUGAAUAAAGUAAAUUUAAAAUUAAAAAAAUAUAUAAGCCGGGUGAGAAGAGAUCGAAUGUAGGGUGAAUAAAGUAAAUAUGAAAUUGAAAAAAAUAUAUGUAGGGCGAAAAAAGAAUUUAGGGUGAACAAAACAAAAAUGGGAAAAAUGUAUUUUCGGUAUUGUAAAUGGGUGAACAAAGUGGACUUACAAUUAAAAAUAUAUAAGUGGGGUGUGAAGAGAACGUGGGUUGAACAAAAUGGUUUGUGGGGUGGUAAUAGACGCACCCACAGGAAAAUUUUCUUUGAAAGUUUGUGUUGAGGUUCUUGCAUACAGAACCAUAGAAUGGAUUGCUUUGCUCAAGUGUUUGAUUAUCACCAUUUUCAUCAGGAAACACUUUGGCAAUUCUGUCAUCCCUGAUUGGUCAUGUAUUACAUUUAGAGUCGUGUCGGUGGUCUUUAAGUUACUGAGUUCAAUGAAUGCAAUUUUUCUGGACAUCUGGCAUUUCUCUUUUGUGAUGACAGAUUGAUAAUGUUUGUAUCAAACAUGUGAAAUUUUAAUCUCAAGUGCACAAAGGAACAGUGUUAUAUCUAAACUCAAUAUGAAUUCUUAUUACAGGCUCUAAUGGAGAAAUUUUGAAAAAUGACCUAUUGUGGUUGUUCUAGGAUAUUCUGUAUCUUUCUAGAUAUUCUUUAUGUGUGCCUUGCCUUAUGCCAAUAGGAUAUGUAGUUUGACUAGAUCUAUGUAUUCAUAUCCUAACCAUAUUGGUAUUGUGUAAUUCCCUAUAUAAAUGGCUCAUAUCAAUGAAUAAGAUGAUGAUUCUCUUGUUAUCUCUUUGUCUCUACACUUUAUCCUUCAUCACAUUAUCAUGCACUUUGUUCUAACCCUAGAACUAAUAGCCCACCAUUUUUUUUCCAAACCCUAAAAACCAAAACCGGAGGUUCUCGGCCCUGCCUCGGCCGCCGCCGCCGUUGUCGCUUCCCGGCCGUCCACUCUGCUGCUUUUUUUUCAUCCGAUCAAGCAUCCAAGUGUUUACAGUAUGUUUAUUUUACAACCCUAAAACUCUUCCAAGUUCAAUAACCUCGGGGGAGAUAAAGUGCUUUCUCCCCUUCUUCUACUCCAUUCUAUGCUUGGGUCGGUGUAUUUGCAGGUGCCAAAAAUCCCGAAAUUUUAUUCGCGGGUCAAGAGUGUGUUUGAUCACUCUUGUUUCCUUGUCCGGGUUGUGUAUGAUCAACCCCAACCUAUCACCGGAUUGUGUUUGAUCAAUCCAAGGCCUUUUUCCGAAUUGUGUUUGAUCAAUUCGUGGCUUUUCCGGAUUGUGUAUGAUCAAUCUGAAGGACAAACCAUUAAAAGCAUUGUUUGUGACCUCUAUCAAGUCUCAUAACAGCUUGGUUUUGUAUGCAAGAGCAAUGUAACAUUCUGCUCCUUUGAGUUUUGACGUACUCGAUGCCUAAGGCGAAUCUUCGCUUGGUAUCUGUGGAACCUUUCAUUGGAAAUGAUUAAACCACAUGUUUUGACCCCCAGGUUAACAAGCUUAGAUGCCGAGAUUUCACAUCUCAUGCGCUCAAAGUCUUUGACGCGCUACAUCGACAAAAGUCUUCAAUGACAAUCUGUGCAAAAAGUAAUGACCACAAAAUACUGUGGAAUGCACUCAUGAAGCGUUUCUCGAAACGUUCAUAUAACUCUACUUGUUGAGUUAUUAGUCAACUGGAUUGCUUACCACUUUAAUUGACUACAUAUUGUCGAUGAUAUUUUGUGGCAUCAUGAUCCAUAAUCUUUAGCGGAUUCGAUCAUCAUCAAGUUCUCUAGGUCCUCUAAGUUGGUUUGGAAUUACCAACGAGACUUGAUUUUGAUCAUACAAAUGGGAAUUGUAUAUACGCUAAUGUGAUAAACUUAUUUGGGAUUAUCCCCUAAUGUGGGGACAACAAUAUGGGUCAUGGCAACGGUAGAAAACGUUGUGCCGAUGUCUAGAAAAGAGGGGGAGGUGUCGCCGGCUCUAAUAGCGACACUCCCGGUCUAGACAUCAUUUUGUCAAAACUACUCACGUCAGCUCAUGACAAUGCAACCGUUGUGGAUCUUCGGAUCACUGGUUCAAGAUUGUCCAGCUCCUUCAAAUUGUGAAUGCAUACAAAAAGAUACGGAAAAUCAAUAUGAGGACAAGAACGUCAUCCUCAUGAUCGCGAAUUUCAAAGAUUCGGAUCCUGCUCUAGCUACCCAUGACUUUGACGUCAUCUGUCACAUCCCGACCCUUAUAUUUUUACCUUAUUUACUAGCCUGAUUAUAAUAAAAAUUUUACCGUCUCGAUCAUUGAGUAAAUAGUUUAAUUGGUCCCUAGAGGGGUUUCGGGGACGAUUAUGUGCGGAGAAUUAUUAGUAUGAGGAAAAUACGACGACGGUAAAAAUGGUAAAUUUUAGCUAGUAAAAGGUAAUUUUUAUUCGGGUAUUAUUUUUUCGGGGUGUUUUUAUUUUUUUGGAAGUGGGUUGAUAUGGGUUGGACCGGUGGAGGCCCAACCCAUUUUCUUUUUCCUCCUCCCUUUCUCUUUUUCCGUCUUUUCUUUUCCUCUCCCCGAGCCUCCCGCUGCCCGGUUUUCCGGCUGUCCUCCCGCCGCCGUCCGACCUCCGUUCGCCGCCGGACCGGUCCCGUUCGGUCGGUCUCCCUCCCAGCAACAUUUCUAGACCGGUGAGAGGAGCCCUAGCGCCGCCGUGAGAGAGCGGUGCCGCCCGAAAGCAAGGGCUGUCCCGAACUUCCCUUCGCNNNNNNNNNNNNNNNNNNNNGUCCUUCGUCUAUUUGAGACAUCGAUGUACUCACAUUAGCAAUAAUGAAUUCCUUGAGAAUUUUUUCGAAGUUAUGAAACUAUUCUCCUCUUAUGGUUUGUAUUGAUUUACAAACAAGAUGUACAUUUUUACAUCGUCCUUAGAAGCGUGGCAUAUUUACAAUCUCAUGGUUAGAUUGUGCCGUUUUGGUCUCUUCCAAGUGAAGAUGACUCAUGACACGACAUCCUUAAAGAGGAUCGCCCACGUGUUUCCGGUUAAGUCUUCUACCCUAUGACGGAUUUUCAAUCAUCAAUUGUUCAACUAGGCUCAUCCAAGCUCAGUGUGAUGUCUUAGAAUUGUCCGAAAUUAAGGAGAUAGUGGUUUUAAGUGUGCCUCGCACUACCGACCCUCCACGGACAUGCCUGGUCAUACUGACUUGGAGUUGCCAAAAGCUUUUGAUUUUGGAUCCCCCUACGCUAUUAAACCAAUUGCCGUCUUGUAAAAGACGUUGAAGACUUAUCAAAGCCGGAAAAUUAUCAUCAUGGUCCUCUGAGUUAGUUUAUGUUCAUGUCAAGGAGCUUUUGCUAACUAGUCAUGGAGUUUACAACCUUAGAACGACCGAAAGGACUUGGUUUUGAUCAUACACACGUCAUUUUUGGCUAAGGCAAAAGCCUACACACCACCUGCAAGCUUCACAACUUCGCACAUGUCAAUUCUGCGAAAAACAGCAAUCUGUCCCUUCUGGACAGUAUUCAUUUGAGCUUUGUGAACAGCUCUGGACGAACCAGGCAGUGAGCUUUAUACCAUUGGAAAGCUCUACGAGUAUAGUUUUCAGAACUUUUCGCGGUUCAUCCAUAUCUAUUUUAACGAAGAAGUUAUGGUUGUUUUAGUGCGCAAAGGUCAUUCUGUGCGGAAAUUUUUAUGCACUAUCGGGAUUGCAGUUUUUCGUAGCUUCUUUCAAUCCUUCUAAAUAGUUCAAGUGGAACUAUUAACUAGCCUAUCUACUCCUUCUUGUACAUAUGUCUCAUCGAGACAUUGAGUGCUUCGCAGAUAGUGGAACUAUCCACAACAUUCUAAGGAACCGGCAACUAUCUUUGGAUUUUGUGCCUUUGUAAAUCUUCUGUGACUACAAUGAUUGAAUCAUACAUGUCAUUCAAGGAUACGGUUUAGCUUGAAUCUUGAUGCCUCAUGGCACCAUGAUCAAUGUCACAGAUACCUUCUAUGCAUUGAGAGGCAAUCAAAUCAUAUUGAGCUUUAAAGACAUUCAUGUUAAUAGUUUUCAUUUGAAAACAUAUUGUGAGAAUGAACAAGAAUUCUUUUGUGUAUACCUUCUCAUGAAUGCGGACUGAAAUGCAUCUUAGAGAAAUUUAUGAGUUAAUCUAGUGGACUGUAUGUCACUACGAUUCGAAUAUCGAAUCUCAUGUUGUCGCCAAACAUGAUAUUUGGGACACCGACUCAUAUAGGCUUUGGUUUGACCAAAUUGGUCAACCUGGAAGAGAUAUAAUGGUCCAAAUUUUGAGAAAUUCUCAUGGACAUCCAUUCUUCUGCUCAAAACGAAGACAUUUGAGAUCUAGCAUCACCAUGAAGCAUGGUGGUGACCCGGGGGACAUUGACGUCACCCGAACACAACUCCAACUUCUUGGAGGUCGUCCAGUCAAUUCCUCAAGCAAUUGAGGUGCACCAGCCUUCUCUCGAUGUCGCAUUGGCCCCCUGCAAUACUCAUUACUCGUUUUGAAAGCCUAUUCUUUAGCUAAAUUAGGAGUGAGACCCUCCUACGCUAAAUGACACAAAAGAGAAUAUUCAAUUCUUACAUCAAACUAUAUAGAUAGAUACAACCAACUUGCGGACACCUUUUUAUGCUUCAUGGUGUUGGUUGAAGUGUUAACACACUGGUCACAUGUUACACUAUUAUCUACUGCUUAUGCUGCUUAUACUUCUACGGGCUCACUACCCAUUCUUUAAAGAAGUUUAUCGGGAUGUAAGUUGAAGUGCCAUGUACCCCAUGUUCACACGCAAUACGGUCUCACCGAGGUUACGACCAAGCAACUUUAGCUUGUCGCUCGAACAUUAUUGAUGCGCACCAAUCUUUCUAUUGCGUCUUGGGGCUAUGCAAUAUUUGCAUGUAGUUUUACUAUUCAUCUACAACUCACCAUCAUUGAAUAUUGUUGUACUACAGCUGGUGACUGUGUACUAGGAUUGACACGAAAUUGCAAUCCUUGAGCUUGGCAAGAUUGAAACGGAUCUCCAAUCCUUGAGCUCAGCUAGAUGUUUAUUCUAGGUGCCAAAUCGCACUGCCACCGCACACAAUGAUGGGUCAUUUGAGAUGAAUAAGUAUUUAGGUUGGAUGUGAACCUCCACCUAUAAUCCGCAUAUGUAGAAACCUUGUCAGGCGAUCUCUUUCACCACUAUAUUGCGGAUUGUCACUUUGAUGAGACAAUAUUCCCGCCGUUAGGGGGAGAUAAGAAUACAAGUGUUCAAGUGGAACGACGUGAAUUGUCGUGGUUUGUCCCCACUAAGUCUCAUCUUGAUCCCAAAUGCUUAAAGUGUUAAAGUGACGAGAUCACAUGCUGCAAAUAUGUCUGCAAGGAUUGAUGUCCCAUCAAGAGGACAUGGCGCGACCAAAAGGUGUUGGUCUUGACGCCAUCACCAUGGAUGGUGAUAUAGUGACGUCAUAUAGUGGCAAAAUUGGUGUCACAAGGCCGUGUGGCUCCCUAAAAAGAGGGAGACCCUUAGGUUUGAUACUUUCUCACACUAGGAAGAAAGCGAGCUUGGCAUAACUUGAUCCAUUGAUCAGUGAUACUCAAAUCUGUCUCAUGAAAUCUGAAUUGUGAUUAUCGUUGGGGGAUGCCUCAAUGUCAAAUCCAAUCCAUGUAGAGAUCUCUACAAGUAUUACACUAAUGUAUACGAGGACGUGGGAUAAUGAGUCUACUAUCGAACCACCCUUUGUUGAUGGAUAUCAACUUAGUUGAUUGGCCUAAUGGAAAGAUGCGAUCUAGCAUUAACAAAGAGAUAGGUCCUUGGGCAGGUGAUGCCGACACCGCAAGCUAAACCCUAUCAACUAUGUCUUUGUUAGAUAGCGUAGUGAGAACUUUAUGGCGUAAGGUCUCUCACUAUCACGCACUGGGAUCGACUAUGAUGAGAUAUGCUCUCGUAAUGGAUGUCAUUGAACUCCACUACUUUGUCAGUUUGGUAGUUUCUGAAUAACUGAACAUGCAGCCUAUGAAUGUGAUCAUAAUAACAUCUCUAUGGGAUCAGAGAUAUACAUGAAGGUCUUAAACGGACUUCAUUCAUCCGAAUCAAGUGGUUCCUAACCACAAGAGCAUGCGUUUGCUAAAUGUAUUAAAACGCACAUGGACUCUACUUGAUUUGGAAGGGAUAUGGUGAAUUAUGCCUUUGCGUGUUCAUUCCAGAUUUACAUGGAUUCUUGAUGGAUCAAGAGAUGCCAAUAUGUAUCAACAUCCGAAGAAAAAGAUCUUGGGAAGACACGGUCUCGAUAAGGCAGUCGAUGACUGUAUUGAUGAUGAUGUUCCAUCAAUCGGCUUAGACGCUCUAACGAAAGUGAGGCCUACAUAUACUCCCAUGAUUAGUCAAGGUCUUUGCUCUAAAGAGAGAUCCAUUAUUUUGUCUAAAGAAAAAUGACAAAUAUGUGUUAAGAGAUGGAGUUCUCAUCUAAGUACAAUAAAACGCAUCAAUGUACUCAACACAAUACGAAAGACUUGACAUCUCAUUCGCUAUGAAAAGUUGUAAAGCUAAAUGUAGCUAUGCGCCCACGCAACGCCAAUGUAAUGGCAGUAACUCUUUUUUCAAUACUUAAUGGUAUGAAAGGUUAAGGCUUAUUCUAUCCCUUCAUAAGAAAGACACAUCAAAAGCGAAAUCAGAAUCUGCCAAGUUUUGUAGGUCAACUUCCACGGGACCUACAUGAAAUCUAACUCACUGGAAAAUUGUGAAAUUGGUACCAUUGGAAAGGUCUAUGUGUCUACUUUCCAGGGACACCAACCAUUUGAUCAUACCUAUCAUAUUGAGUGAGUUAUGGCCAUUUUCGUAAAGUAGGACGAAUCUGUCCGAGAAUCUGAUUUUGGCAAAACAGUCAACUUCGACGGGACUUUGUGAAUAGCUCCUGACGAACCAGAACGUGUGUAAUAUACGGUUGGAAAGCUCCAUGAGUCUAGUUUCCAAAACCGUUUACGGUUCAUUCAUAUAUAUAUCGUAGAGGAAGUUACGGCUAUUCUAGUAACUAAAGGUCAUGCUACGCGGAAAUCUAAUUUACUGCACGAACUUAUGUCUUGAGUUCACAAGCGGCCUUCUCCUCAAGAUCUAAGUGUAAAAGAUCAUUUGAUGACAAUACGGCAUGAUUUAGUUAAUCAUUGCCUAAUACCACAUUUGAAAACAUGUUAAAAAGCAUUGACAUGCUAAGUUGUUGAAACUUCCGUGAUUAGUAAAAAUUAGGAAGAACCCUAUGAUUGAUGUAAAGAUCAGGGGGAGGUGCGAACUUCAGGGGGAGUUUAGCACAUACAUUCAUGUCGCUAUAAAAUGUGAAGGGUGCGUUGUACUCUUUUUCUCCUACGAUCAAGGUUAAGCUUUUGUCCCAUAGGGUUUUUAUGACUUGACGAGGUUUUUGAUGAGGCAACAGAUAUUCUUUAUGUGUGCCUUGCCUUAUGUCAAUAGGAUAUGUAGUUUGACUAGAUCUAUGUAUUCAUAUCCUAACCAUAUUGGUAUUAUGUAAUUCCCUAUAUAAAGGGCUCCUAUCAAUGAAUAAGAUGAUGAUUCUCUUGCUAUCUCCUUGUCUCUACACUUUAUCCUAAACCUAAACCAUAAACCCUAAACCCUAAACCCUAAACCCUAAACCCUUAGAGCUAACUUAGGUGACGAAAAUACAUUUCGUCAUGUAAGUGAUGGGUUAGGUAACGAAAUAUAUUUUCGUCACCAAAGUUUUGAGCAUUUAGGUGACGAAAAUACAUUUCGUCAUGUAAGUGAUAGGUUAGGUGACAAAAUAUAUUUUUGUCACCAAAGUUUUGAGCACUUAGGUGACGAAAAUGCAUUUCGUCGCCUAACAACUUACUUUUGUGACGAAAAUAAAUUCGUCGUCUAACACCUUUGCUUAGGUGACGAAACAUAAAGUUGUGUGUCUUUUUGAACCAACUAUGGGGUAGAAGUAAAAUUUAGAAAACCCAUCAUACUAUAUGAUCAGUGUACUUAAAUACGGCUAUGAAAAAAAAUCCACCAGUUUUCGAAAACAUUAAGGUCUCGAUCCACGCGGUUAACAUUAAAUUAACGGCACUUAUUACACGAAAACGCUUUUACCUACUCCUAUACGACCUAGUUUGAUUGAUUCUUUCACACACAAAACUCUCACAUUGAUGAGAUGUAAUGACCCAUGUAAAAAUUUGGGGACGUUCACCUCUUGACGAUAGAGCUCCACAUAGAGAAACAUAAGCGUAUAUAGGGUUAACCGCUUGUAUCGGGGACCAAACGUUACCAGAAAUAUAUGAUUUUUCAACCAUAGUCGUAUUUCACCAUACCGAUGACAUCCUAUUUCAAAAGAUUUUUGAAAAUAUUGCUUUACAAAUAUCUACACUUGCAUGUAACCUACUAAACAAGUUAGACCACAUUAGUAGACAUGUUGUGGUUCCGAUGGCUAAAUUUUACAAAAUGAAAAUUCAACUGUCUGAUAUGAUCAGUGUACUUAAAUACGGCUAUGAAAAAAAAUCCAUCAGUUUUCGAAAAUGUUUAGGUCUCGAUCCACGCGGUCAACAUUAAAUUAACGCUACUUAUUUUACACGAAAACACUCUUACCUACCCCUAUAUGACCUAGUUUGAUUGAUUAUUUCACACACAAAACUCUCACAUUGAUGAGAUUAACCACUCAUGUAAAAAUUUGGGUACGUUCACCUCUCGAUGAUAGGGCUCCACAUAAGGGAACAUAAGCGUAUAUAAGGUUGACUGCUUGUAUCGGGGACUAAACGUUACCGGAAAUAUGUGAUUUUUCAACCGUAGUCGUAUUUCACUAUACCGAUGACAUCCUGUUUCACAAGAUUUUUGAAAAUAUUGCUUCAUUUUUUCUAACAAGAUCACAUUCUAUCAAAACCUUUUUCUUUUUAGGAAAUAAAUAAAUGUGUUGAAAUUAAAAUAAGACGACGAAAUAUAUUUAUUUCAUCAACUAAGUCCCAAAGUUUGAAAAUUUUUGGUUCACUGAGAUGACGAAAAUUUAUGUCUUCGUCACCUAACUACUUAAUAUUUGGCGGGUCGAAAAUUCCGUCAAUUUUUUAGGCCAAAUUUUGUAUUUGACUUAAGUGACGAAACGGCUUCAUUCGUGGGCUGAGUUUGUUUUUGUAAACCCAAAUACAGGGCAACAAGUCCCAUACUCCUAUUAACUCUGAAAUCCCUAAAUCGAUCGUAUCGAUUCCAACUUUCCAAGCCGUCUCCGCCCACAUCGCCGUCGCGUCCACAUUGUCGUCUCUUCCCUUGCUCCAUUGAUCCCAUUCGGCCUCUCCCGCGCUGAUCUCGUCUUAUUCAUCUCCUCAUGGCCAAUUUCUUUGUGAAUUUGGAUUGAUUAGUUCAACGAAGGAGGAGAAUCGAAGCCGAGUAGCUUUCGAAUUUGCAGAGAUUAUUCUAAGUUAAUCAGCAACGCCUUCCAAAACAUGAGGUGAGAGACCUCUAACCUCUUCUACUCGUUGAGUUUCAUAUCUAGGUGUAUUAAUUUUUAGAUUUUGAUCAUGUUCUGAACAAAUUGGUUUUUGGGUGUUAUCGGUUAUCGGCAGAGUUAUCGUCCUCGGCGGAGCUCCUAAGUUCUUCUUCCAUGUCUAGAAAGAGUAUUGGCAUCUUGUCAAGUUUGAUCAAUUGCUGAGAAGGUUGAAUUCGUGAGUUCGAGUAGUUUUUGCCACCACUGCGCCACCGUUUGUGGUGAAGGCCUAAGUUCCUUCUUCAGCUUGAUUUGCAUUAUGAAUUGUGUACUGAUGUUUAAUUAUGACUUAAAUCACAGAAGCUGUAUGUUUGAUGAUUUGGGUCAAGUUUCUGUUAAGGACUUUUGGGGUUGCUUCAUUAUGGAUGCAUGAACAGAGCAGGGGAUUGCUGUACAAUCUACAUCCAGAAUUAAUACUGAGUCUGGGGUAUCACUGUGUUCACCACUGAAUCUAAUUAAGGUGAAGGUGAGCUUCAAAUUUAUAAUCAUGCAUGAGCUACAAGUGUUUAAUAUAAUACUAUUAAGUAUUGAUUCGGGAAUUUGGAAAUGGAUUAUGUGAAUGGUAAUGGUUGAUUGAGUAACAUAGAAUGUCAUAUUGGGAAGGAAGAAUGUUUUAGAUUAAUCACAAGGGUGUGAUUGGUGAGACCAUGAGAGCUUGAAUAUAUUCAUGUUUGACAUUCUGUAUGAGUGGCUGGGCAUAGUUGUGCCUUUUUUAUUUGUUAAAUUGUUAUCAUUGGAGGAAUGGAGUUGAACUUCAGUAUUUAAAUUUGGUCUAUUGAAGAUGACAUACUAGUCAUCAAGAAUGAUACUGAAAUGGUAGUAAUGAUCUUCUUUGAGCUAUAUGACUAAGUUGGUAAGUUGCAACUUGGUAUUCAUGACUGGUCGGUAUGAACAUGUACCUAAAAGGUCUCAUGGAAUUUGAAUGAUAAUUAUAAAUUGGGAAUGUGGUAAUAGGGAAUUAAAAAUCAAAUUGGGAGUGUUAAGGACUUUCAAUAUGGUUAGUUUUCAUUAACUUGCAAAAACAUGGUUAAAAAUCAAUUUGAAUGCCUAAAAAGGAUUAUUAUUCUUCAAAAUUUGAGUAAAUUUUGGAUAUUGGUUUCUGGGUUUUGAGCUUUAGCAUUUAGGGUGAUGAGUAGGUUCAAUAUGAAACUAUUUUAACUCUGUGUAGGAGGCUUAUUGUAUACUGAGAGUUGAUGCGACUGACUUUAACUAUGUGAAAUUAGUAAAAAGAAUAAAGUUGAGUCCUUGGCAUCAGUAUUUUAACUCUAGAGCAUCUUAAAUUGAGUCCUUGGCAUCAGUUUAGCUGCUACUAACCCUCUUCUUACGAUAAUAUGAAUGAUUCUGUGUUAUGUAUAUGUACAUUGUACAAUCACCAAUUAACUAUGUAUGACUGACCAAGAAUGCCUCAGGAACUCACCCUAGCCUGCACUUUCCCAUCAACUCCAACCAUAUCCUUCCUUUUCGUACUGGGUCAUCACUUUUGUUCCUCUCCUUCUUCCAUGCCUAUAUUUUUUUCCUAACACAUACUGCUCAUUUCUUUGUUCUUUUCUCUUCCAAACCUGUAUAUUUUGUAUGGCUUCUCCCCUCUUAUUUCAUUUGUUUUGCACAGUAGCCAGUGUGUUUAGUUAGUACGAUUAAAACCGAUUAAUUAUUGUAUUGUUUUUGCAUUUUCAUUAUGUUUAGUUACAUGUGUCUUUGGCUAACUAAUACUAGUUGGUGUGUUGUUUUUCUUCUGUUGUGCUUCCCUAAUGAAUUGGUUCUUGCUUUGCAUACAGAUCAUGAUCAUGUCUUCAACAGUGUGAGCAGUUUCUCUUCACCAAAUUCGGCGUAUGCCAGCCAACAGUCCCACCCCAGGAGUAGCCUAAUGAUGAUGAUCAUGAUGAUGGAGGCAAUGAUUCAAUUAACAUUGCUUCAUAGUCACUUUCAUAGUUACUAGUUUAUUUUCUAAUAUAUAUUUUGUAUAUAUGAACAAGUCUAUAUUUUCAAGUACUACUCUUGAGUUUGUAUAUGAACUUGAUUAGGAAUAUAUAUAUAUAUAUUUGCUACUGCCCCAGGUGCUUUGGCCAAUAGUGGGUUUUUGAAAUAUUGAGUUCUUUUUUUUUUUAAUUUAUUUAUGUUAAUAUUAAAUGUGAUAUUAAUAAUUUUUAAUGAUUAAAUUUAUUAAAAAUAAAUAGCACUAAGGUGACGAAAGUUAAACUUUCGUGGCCUUAGCCGGAUGAAAGAAUUGUCAGCAAACUGACUGUUUUCGUAGUGUAGUGUUUUGGUAACGAUGAAUUUCAUCAACUUAGCUGGUCACACUACGUCACAAUAGAUCAUAGACCAUGAAUUAUAUUUCGUUUCUCAAGUACUAUGGCGACGAAAUACUUUUCGUCAGCUAACCAACUUGGUGACGAAAUAACUUUCGUCAGCUAACCAACCUGGUGACGAAAUUUUUUCGUCAUCUAAGUAACUUGGUGACGAAAAAGUUUUCGUCAUCUAAGUAAUGACUAAAAUGAUGAAAUACAUAUUUUCGUCACCUAAGUGCUCACACCACCGCCCUUAGGUGACGAAAUUUUCGUCGUUUUAGUGCUUACAUGACGACAGAAGCUCUUAGGUGACAAAAAUAUUUUGUCACCUAAGAACUUUUUUCUAGUAGUGGUUAAACACUCUUCCUUGACUAUCACUCAUUUAUGAUGUUCUUUUACGUAUUUCAAUAUAUUUAUAUCGUUAAUCGAAUAUCUCUCACCUCUCUUUUUCUUCUUUUCCAAAUCCAGAACCAAUCUUUGAUCUUCCGGUCUCUCUUCUCUGCACUUUUUCUCUAACAAUGUUGAGUUUCUCUUGGACCAUUAGUUCAUUACUGAAUUCAAUUAAUAUACAAUCCAAGUGGGGUUUUAGUAUCAACAUAACCCCUUCUAAAGCCAUAAUUAUUUUAUUUACUGUAGGGUUGUUCAUAUAUCAUUUCAAGGUAAGAUUUUUAACAAAAAAUAGUGACGAUUCUUAUAUGACCUAUAUUCAUUGUUGCUCAAUCAAAAUAAAAAAAAUUAGAUAGCAGAAACAACUCAAAAACCUUUAAAACAAUAACCAUGGACUGAGAAUGAAACCUUAGACCAUAAUUAGCACAAUUGAAUAUGAUUGGAACGUAUUCUAAACUAGUGUUGACGGUUGAGUAAGUUCUUGACUUUCUUGUGGUUGGAAGGUCAGUAAAUGUUUUCAUUUGUGAAGUGCAGAAGAAGGAUAAUGACGUGAGAAAAAGAUGAGAAAAACUGGAAUUGGUGAAGCAUCAUUUAAUAUAACAAGGAUAAUUGCGACUUUUCCUCAUUUUAAGUGGUUAUUUCUCAAAAAAAUUUAAAAUUAAGGUUAUAAAUCAAUUCGAGUGUUUAAAUAUGGUUGUUUUUCAAAAUUUCUCGCUCUAAUGCUAGUCCAAGUGGGAGAAUGUUAGAAUGGACUUAGCAUUUUGAGUCCUAAAGCAUGACAACUUCCAUAAUAUAUGCAGAGUAAAUAUUGUGGGAUUAAAAGCACAUUAUCAUGAUAUAUUUAUCUAAAUGAAAUGGUUAGAUAAGUAAUGAAAUACAAUCGAAUUAUCUUGUUAAACAAGAUAAUAGAGAUGGACUAAUAUUGUUGUUUUCUAAUGGAACUCAAACUCUUGGAUGGACAGAGUUGAGCUAUCCAACAUUAUCAUGAUAUAUUUAUCUAAAUGAAAUGAUUAGAUAAGUAAUGAAAUACAAUCGAAUUGUCUUGUUAAAUAAGAUAAUAGAGAUGGACUAAUAUUGUUGUUUUCUAAUGGAACUCAAACUCUUUGAUGGACAGAGUUGAGUUAUCCAAAGUGUAGUAUAUAAAGAGGUCCCUAUGCACACUCUAAACUACGUCAAUACGAGUCUCUCUCCAUCUGAGCAUGGUAACUGAGUGCUGCAUAGAGGAUCCCUUAUCCUUGGAGCUCUUGGUCUACAUCAACGACUACGGUAAACAUGUUGUAUAUCCUCAUCCUUGUUCUAUGACCUUGUAUGAGUUGUAUCUAUAUACGUGUUUAUGCUUAAGUGUUUUUCUCUUUGUGGUUGUAGUAUAACAGCCAAAUAUUUUGGGGUGCACUACUAGAAUAAAGGACUUAGGCGACGAAAACACAACGACAAAAACAUUUUCGUCGUCUAGGUAUGCAGUUAGGCGUCGAAAACUUCAUUCGUCACCUAAAAUAACUUAGGUGACGAACCAAAUAAUGAUUCGUCGCCUUAGAUUACCAAGGAGACAAAAAAAGGACUUAUACUAUUUUCGUCGCCUUAAUAGAUAUUCAGGCGACGAAGAUGAUUUCGCCGCCUAAAAUAUGAACCACUUAGGCGACGAACAUAUUAUUUCGCCGCAUAAGUUUAUCUUAGGCGAUGAAAGUGGUUACUUAUGCGACGAAAAAGUUUCGUCGCCUAAGUAAACUCACUUAAUCUCCAUUCAGUUUCUAGAUCUGAAACAGAUGGGAAAAAAGGGGAACUUGACAAGAUAGCCAUGUCUUGUUGUCAUUAUCUGAUUUUCUCAUUCUCAUUUAAAUAAUUUAGGAUAUAAUUUAUGUAGCCAAUUUUUAUCUUGAUAUAAUAUAACUACUGUUAUGUAUUUUUAUUUGAAACAUAUAUAUUUAUGUUUUUCCAAUGAUCACUUCAUUUAUGUUUUUAUUUGGUAUAACUUGUUUAAUAGGUUACAUGCAAGUGUAUAUUUUUGUGAACCAACUAUAUAUAAGAAGCAAUAUUUUCAAAAAUCUUGUGAAAUAGGAUGUGAUCGGUAUGAUGAAAUACGGUUAUGAUUGAAAAAUCAUAUAUUUCCAGUAACAUUUGGUCCCCGAUAGAAGCGGUCAACCCCAUUUACGCUUAUGCUUUUAUAUGAGGAGCCUUAUCGUCGUGAGGUGAACGUCCCUAAAUUUUUACAUAGGUGGUUAGAUCUCAUCAAUGUGAGAGUUUUGUGUGUGGAAGAAUCAACCAAACUAGGCCAUAUUGGGGUAUGUAAGAGCGUUUUCAUGUAAUAAGUGACGUUGGUUUAGGUUUGACUGUGUAGAUCGAGACCAAAAACCUUAUCCAAAACAUGUGAUAUUUUUUUCCAUAGCUGUAUUUAAGUAUACUAAUUAUAUCAUACGGUUGAAUUUUUAUUUUAUGAAAUUUAACUAUCGGAACCACAACGUGUCUAUUAAUGUAUUAUAACUUAUUUAGUAGGUUAUAUACAAGUGUACAUUUUUGUGAACCAACUAUAUAUAGGAAGCAAUAUUUUUUAAAAUCUUGUGAAAUAUGAUGUGAUCGGUAUGAUGAAAUACGGCUAUGAUUGAAAAAUCACAUAUUUUCUGGUAACGUUUGGUCCCCGAUAGAAGCGGUCAACCCCAUUUACGCUUAUGCUUCUAUAUAGGGAGCCUAAUCAUCGGGAGGUGAACGUCCUUAAAUUUUUACAUAGGUGGUUAGAUCUCAUCAAUGUGAGAGUUUUGUGUGUGGAAGAAUCAACCAAACUAGGCCAUAUAGGAGUAUGUAAGAGAGUUUUCCUGUAAUAAGUGGCGUUGGUUUAGGUUUGACCGUGUGGAUCGAGACCAAAACCUUAUCGAAAACAGAUGAAUUUUGUUCCAUAGCUGUAUUUAAGUAUAUUGAUCAUAUCGUACGGUUGAAUUUUUAUUUGUGAAAUUUAACCAUCGGAACCACAACGUGUCUACUAAUGUAAUAUAACUUGUUUAGUAGGUUAUAUGCAAGUGUAAAUCUUUGUGAACCAACUAUAUAUAAGAAGCAAUAUUUUCAAAAAUCAUGUGAAAUAGGAUGUGAUCGGUAUGAUGAAACACGGCUAUGGUUGAAAAAUCACAUAUUUCGGGUAACGUUUGGUCCCCAAUAGAAACGGUCAACCCCAUUUAUGCUUAUGUUUCCCUAUGGGGAGUCUUAUCGUUGAGAGGUGAACGUCCCUAAAUUUUUACUUUGGUGAUUAGAUCUCAUCAAUGUGAGAGUUUUGUGUGUGGAAGGAUCAAUCAAAUUAGGCCAUAUAGGGACAUGUAAGAGCCUUUUUGUGUGUUGUAGAGUAGCUCUGACGACGAAACUGAUAAUUUAGUCGCCUUAGUAACUAAAUUUGGGCGGGUAGAUAAAAAAUUUGGUCUACUUUAGCGGUGAAAUAUUUCACCUUCGUCGCUUAAGUCUCUAAAUUCGGCGGCAGCAUUUUGCGCUCAAAAUUUGGCCUAAAAUUUGGACCCAUUUUUCAAAACUAGUUUGGGCUGGCAGGGGACAAAAUUUUCGUCUGAUGGUCGCCUAGUGUAGAUUACUAAACCAAAAACUCACCCAAAAUCCCGUAGUGUCGACAGACGCCUCCCAAUUUUCUUCCUCUGCUAUCGAACCCUGCAAACCCUCCCAAUUCCUAAUCGAUCUCCACCCAAUCCCUAAUCAAUCUCCACCCUCAUCUCUCCUCCCAUCUGCGCCUCUCUCUCAUCUCUCCUCCGUAUUCAAUCUCCACCCUCAAACUCUCUCGAGUCUCCCCUCAUCUGCGCCUCUCUCUCAUCCCACCACAAACCUAAACCGAUCCAUAAGAAGGUGAGGGUUUAUGGUUUUUUUUUCAGUUGCUUUUUGGGUUUCAAACUCAAAAUUCCCAAGAAGUAGCUUUGGGUUUGUAAAUACUUCGGUGGAUUUUGGGUUUCUGAAAUUGGAUUUUGGAUUUUGUAGGUUGAGGCUGAGGAGCAGCUUGACAUUUUCGUGGCUUUUUUGGUUUCUGCUGUUCCCUUCUUUGCAAUGAGAUUAAGGUAUAAAAGAGAGGAAUCAGUACCAGCUUUCCUAGGAUUUUAGUUUCAGGGUUUAUUUUCUUGUUUUAUUGUUUAUGGCUUUUUGUGUUCACUGUAUUUGCCUCUGACCCCAUUUGAUCUUAUUGUACUUUGAGGUUAAAUCUAAUCUGUUGAAUCAUUGUGUUCUGCAAAAUUGGGUUUUCUAUAGUUGUGAUUCUGAUCUGGUGGGAUUUGUUAACAUGGUUAUUGUCCUUUUCCCUCAAGCCACUGUCUUUGAUCUAAACUCCCCUGGUUUUGUUGUUGAGGAGAAUCUUAAAGACAUGUAGCUGGAUCUCAAAUUUGGCGAGUACUGAGAAUGGCGAUAAAAAUUUAUUACUGCAGAUUAUGCAUUCCAUCUCAUAAACAAAAUUACUACAUGUUUCACUGAUGUUAGGUUCUUUGUUUCUUCUAGGAUUGGAUAGUUAUCUACGUGUUUGGAAUGUAAAGACGCGGGAACUACUCUCUGCGGUAUGUGUUUGGCUUUUAUUGUUUUUAUGUGACAAAAUUCCCCGAGUGAAAGUAACAGUUGUUGCUAUCUGUUGAAUAAAACUCUUGACAAUGUCUGAUCCGGUUGGAUUUUAUUAUUUCCUAAUUCUUAUAAUGGAAUCAUGUAUGUGAAUCUGUAAUUGUGAGUAUGAGAUUUUCAUUGGUAGACUCCAAUUUGUAAAUAUUGUCAAGAGACUUAUAAUAAAGUGGCUAGACCUAACUUAAAGCUCAAGAAUUCUUAGACAUGAACUGGCUGUUUGGGCACCCUUAGGACUUCGUGUAUAUAGUUAUGCUCUCCUGCAUACAAACAUUGUGAUAUAUAAUUAUCUAUCUAGUAUAAUCAUAGCUCAAGCUGUAAUUGAUUUUGAAAUGUGGUCAGGUGAGUAAUGAUUGAUGUGCACUGCCGCUUUUGGAAUUGUUUAAGGUUAAUUCUCUAGCUUUUUGUCUAAGCUGGUUUUUAGGAUUUAAAUUUGAAUCUAGUGCAUCGGCUCCAUAUCUAUUUCUCUGUUAUCCCUUUUAUGGUUACUGUAGUGUGUGUAUCUACUUGAUGGAACAUUCUGGUAUUUUAUUCAAGAGAUGAGGUUUUCAAAUUUCUUGAAUGACUAUAGAUCCUGAUCUGGGCACAUUCAAAGAUUUGUUAGACUAGUCUUUUCAGCUCAAAGCACUCUUUCUUAGUACCUCUCUGUUUUGAUGUGUUACAAACAAAUUUGGGGUUUUCUUGGACAUGCUUUAGAUUUGAUGUAUUUCCAGUUAAAUGUGUGCAGAUACACAUUUUCGCGGCCAAUAUAAUUUGUUAAGCUUUCUUGUUUAUUUUCCUAGUUCUUUACACUUGCCUCUUUCUUGUGCUUAUUUUCUUCAGGACUCUUGGCCAAUGUAAAUUUAGAAGAACGACCAAAACCAAGCAGCCUCAAGAAAACAGUACUCAUAAGCAAAAAUGCACUGCCCAAAUGGGAAAUCAAUGGAUUUGUGGAGUACAUCUCCGGCGGGCCUCAACCAGGCAGCAUGUAAUUUGCCGUACGUGUUCUUUUCUGUGUUUGCUUAUUCAUUUACUUCAUUUAUAUGACACUUACUGUACUGUACUGGACACUUGCUUUCAGUUAUUGUCGUUGUGUGUUGCUUUGUGUUUAUAUGUUGUUGUGUGUUGCAACAUCUAAGUGUUGUUGUGAAUUGAUGAAAUCCCAUAUGUUAUAGCUAAGUAUUGGUGUGUGUUGAUGUGUUGAAAUAAAGGGGCUUAGGAGAGUUGAAAUUGUGGGCAAGGAAUGAGCAACAAGGCCUUCUUGUCGCAAUGAUAUAGUUCUUGAGGAGAUUUGGGAGCAUGCCCGACAAGCCCAAGAGGAGGCACGACAUGCUUAGGAGGAGGCACAAAAAGCCCGGGAGCAGGCCAGAGUAGCCCAGGAGAAGAUCCUUGAUUAUGAGCGCCGUAUACAGAUGUUGAAGAAGUGUGCAGUCGCAGCCGAGCCGACAAGAAGGCCAACAGUCUAAGGUUGAUGGUUGAAGCUAGGUCCAUAGCUUUUUGCUUUUAUGGAACCCUUGAUAUUUGCUUCUUUUGUUAAACAUUGUCUAUAUAGGAUUGUAAGAGGCUAGGAUAUUAGGGAGGGUUUAAACUAUGAACUUUGAACUUGCUCUUUUGUUUGUGUAUAUAAUACCUCCUGGAAGUUUACUAGUUUUUCAGUUUGAACUUCUUUUGUUAUGAUUUUGAUUUGCAUCACAGGUUUUUAACUUUGAAUGUGAAUUUGAAAAUAUGCACAUAUAAUUACUGUGUGCAUAUCAGUAAUACUUAGAUUUUUUUAAUAAUAUAUAAUUAUAAUUUAAAAACAUAUAUAUAAAAUGUUCAAUUAAGUCUUAUGCGGCGAAAAAUGAGGAACCGUCGCCGGGGUUGGAUCCUCGCCUUAAACAUGGCGACGAUUAAUAAAUGGUCGCGUAAAAGGAAACUAAGGCGACUAUAAUUUCCCUUCGUCACCAAGUGUAGGCGACAAUAAUUUCGACGCCUAAAUAUGUCUGUUUUCCUCACCUUAGACUUAUGCGGCGAUAAAUAAAUAGUCGUCUAAGUAUCUAUUUAGGCGACCAUUAUUUUUUAUUCGUCGUCUAAGUUCUUACGGGUCCAUGCUAAGGCGAGGACUGUUAGGCGACGAAGCUUUCGUCGUGUGAGAACUUAGGCGACGAAAAUGGGCAUUUAGGCGACGAAAACUGUUUGUCGCUUAAGUCUUUUAUUCUAGUAGUGGUGGUGAAAUAUCUUCUCGAGCUUCUUGUUUUUCUUUCCGUAUAGGAAAUUAAUAUUAAUUCUUGUAUAUAUUAAUUCGAUCUUGAUUUGCAUGGCAAUGCCACUAUAUUAGCAGUAAGAUUAUUGGUCACUUAAGAUUAUUGGUCACUUUAGAAUCGACUAAAUUGGUUUUACUCAUAUAUAUCGUAACUUUCCCAUCAAUGAAAUUAAUCAAUUGCAAUUUGUUUACUUAAAAAAUUGUCAACAUUCGGGUGUUGGUGACUACUGCUAUAAAAGUGUUGUACUCGACGACAGCGACAAAUGAUGCUUUUUAGAUGACCGUGGCUGGUUGUUCGACGACAUAGUUGAUAGGAUUUCGAUCAUCACAUGGUAGUUCAUGUAUAGGUUUGGCUUUUGGGUUCCAAUUACUUGGAUUCAUUGUUUCGUUUGCUUCCAUAAUAGUAAGGGAUGCUGGAAAUUUAGGUAUCAAAGAACUAAGACAGACAUAACUCCUUAUAUAUUAAAUAUACAGUCGGGAUCAGAGGUAGACGUCCGCACACUCUUAAAGUGAGGACGUGCCUCCGUUCUCCACCGUACGGCUCCGACGACGCAGCGCCUCCACCCCAGCUGUCUCUAGCAGCGUCCCCGAUCACUUUUCCUCCCCGGCGAGUCCGCUGAAUUCCAGUUUAAAGGCGAGAUCGAUUUUGUUGGAAGUUUUGGGUGAUCUCGCCGGAAAACUGGAAUUCGGCUGACUCGCCGAGGAGGAAAAGUGAUCAGGGACGCUGCUGGAAGCCGCUGGGGUGGAGGCACGCCUUCGUCGGAGCCAUACGGAGGAGAACGGAGGGACGUCCGCACUUUAAGGGCUGUGCAGACGUCUUCUUUAGAUCCUCUCUGAUUAAAUAUAUAUAUAUACAUGUCCGUUCUGGUGCGGACGUUCGCACUCGGCUUAAAGUGCGGACGUCCGCACUCGAACGUUUCUGUGUGUGUAUAUAUAUAUAUAUUAUCUCAAUGAAGUUGCCUAAGCCUAACUAAUUUUCUAACAACAAUUCAUCAAUCAUGCACCAGAGUCCAGUGGGACUAGAUUUUCGGUGAGGAAACGGUGUGAUAUUGAUGAAAAAAAUCUCUAUAGCUUCACCUCAAUCAACAUGCGUGACACUCGUUCAUUUCAAGAACCUGGAGAUCAUAUAUAUGUCCUAAUAACAAGUUACCUUGUUGACUUAAUCGGAAUAGAACCUUUCCAACAUACAUUUUCUUCAUUACCUUAGCAAGGGAAUGUUAAGGACUAUGAUCUUAUGAGGGUCACUUAAAUAUUAUUUGAAACUUUUUUUUUUUUUUAAAUACUGACAAGGAUUAGGCGAAAUCAGCUCCUCUGUAGCAGUCUGGUGGGUGACAAAGCACCCACUCUACCCCAAAGGAGACUGCUACAACCGGGAAGCCACCACCCGUCCCUUAUCAGAAAUUUUAUUUAAAAUAAUAAAAAAAUUACAUGAAAAGAGGAAUGGGGGACUAGGCCAAAACCAUUCCAAUUACAAACCAAAACAACAUACAAAAAGACAUUGUUUCUACCCAUAAAAAACCAGGCAAUCUUCCCACUAUGAAAACCGAUAAUUAGGGAUACCCAAAUAAUCCGCUUGCAAGAAACCAUGAAGCUCAGUAGGAGGAUUAUCAUACCAAGUAAAUGAAGCAUUUGACAACCCCAAGUUUGCCAUCUUGUCAGCUACCAUAUAUUUCCUUCUCUAAAAAUAUGACUGCAACGGAAGUUCAUUUGACGAAUUAUAGAAAGAUAGUUAUUCCAACGAACUCUUAAGUUCCACGGAGGAGAAAAAGACCUGGAAGAGAAGCAAGCUACCACACUAACAAAGUCACUUUCCAACCAUAAGUAGACCCACCCUUUAUCAUGAGCAAUUUCAAUUGCCAAGAUAACAGCAUAAAGUUCAGAAUAAAAGGAACACUACCAGAAGAAAAACUUUAGCCGACGAAAAUAAAAAAACCAGGCCGACGAAUUAUUUUUUCGUCGGCUAAUUAAAAAUUUUCGUCGGCUAUAGUCAACUUUAGCCGACGAAAUUUUUAAAAGUUUAGCAGACGAAAAAUAUAAUUUCGUCGGCUAAAGUGCCUUAUAUUUGCAGAUCUGGACAACAACUCAUCUGGGAAAAAAAAACUAUAUGUAGAACCUUCAAACGCAAAAAAGUCGUGAAAUAAGAUAUGACCAGAAUGGUGAAAUACGUCUACAGUUGAAAAAACACAGUAUUCUGGUAAAGUCUCGGUGCCGAUAGUUGCGGUCAAUGCAAUUAACCCUUAUUAUUCACUAUGCUGCAGAUUUGGUUUUUGGUGUCCGAUUGACUAUUGUGAUACCUUUUCGGAAGCGUAACGGCUCUACGAGUCAAACUCAUCGCUAUUGCCAUGAAGUAUGAGCCUUUUUGGCCAUCCGAGUCCGUUUAGGGCUUCAAAAUGCAGUUUUCUUAUUUCCGAUUAGAGUUGACCGUUUCGAUCGAGCCCUUAACGUUGUCGAAUCCAGUUGAAUUUUUAACCAUAGACAUCUUUCGUCAUAAUGAUCAUAUCUGACAGUCGAAUUUUGGUUUGUAAAUUUUAGUCAUCGGAAUCACAACGUGUCUACUAUUUACUGUUAUUAUUCCCCAUAGGGAGCCCUAUCGUUGAAAGGUAAAUAUCUCAAAAUUUUUAUAUGGGCAGUUGUGUCUCAUCUACGUGAGAGUUUUUUGUGCGGAAGGUUUGACCAAACUACGUAACAUAGAGGGAGAUAUGAGCGUUUUCGUGUGAUAAGUGACGAUGGAUUAGGGUUGACAGUUUUGAUCGAGCCCUUAACGUUGUCGGAUUCAGUUGAAUUUUUUAUCAUAGACAUCUUUCGUCAUAAUGAUCAUAUCUAACGGUCGAAUUUUGGUUUGUGAAUUUUAGUCAUCGGAAUCACAACGUGUCUACUAAUGUUGUAUAAUUUAUUUAGUAGGUUAUACAACUUUGUGAACCAACUCUACAUAGGAAGCAAAAUUAUCAAAAAUCUCGUGAAAUAAGAUGUGUUCAGAAUGGUGAAAUACGGCUAUGGUUCAAAAAUCACGUAAAUCGGGUAAAGUCUCGAAGCCGAUAGUAGCGGUCAACCCUAUUUAGCGUUAUUAUUCCCUAUGGGGAGCCCUAUCGUCGAAAGGUAAAUGUCUCAAAAUUUUUAUAUAGGCGGUUGCGUCUCAUCUACGUGAAUACGUGAAAGUUUUUCGUGUGGAAGGUUUAACCAAACUACGUAAUAUAGAGGGAGAUAUGAGCGUUUUCGUGAAUUUAUAGACUUUAGCCGACGAGAUAUUAAAAAAGUCAUCGGCUAAGGUCAAAAAUUUUUGGGCUGUAAACCAAUUUGGAGGAAAAUUUUCAAAGGACUUUAGCCGACGAAAAUAUAUGAAAAGUCGUCGGCUAAAGUCGAAAAAAUUUCAAAAUUUUCAACCAAAAUUUUUUGGCGGUCAACCAAAAUUUUUCAAAAUUUUCAAAAGAGUUUAGCCGACGAAAAUAAAGAAUUUCGUUGGCUAAAGUUCUUUAUAUAGGAGUUUUACCGAAGGUGGAUGGUAAGAAGUCUAUUUCGCCUGCCAGAUUUUCUUCUCGGCCUAGCUCUGCCGUCAAGCCACCGAAGACCGCCACACUUGUCCCAAAAGUUUCGUCGUCGUCGUCUCUACUUCAUUGCUGGACAGGUGGUGCAUCGAGUGGCGCCGCCGUGAGGGAUAAAUCGAGCUCCAAAACUCCGCCGGUUCGGAUUCGGUGUCGAUCGAAUUUCUCCUUCCUCAGGUCACCAUUUGGUGAGUUCUAUAUAUGGAUAAGUUGAGUUUGAUUAGUACUACAUUCCCCUAGAAUUUGGUAGCUCGAUUCGGUGUGUGUGAGGAGAAUCGAAGAUUUGAAGUUUUUAGGGUUUAAAAUUGGGGAUUUUUAUAUUUUGAUUCAAUUGACCUGUUUAGGCUUAGAAUUGGGCUUCGACUUCUUCUAGAAAGUUGUUCUAAAUGUUGAGAGGAAGAUUCUGUCAAAUUUUGGUGGUGAUUGAAGGUGGCCGAAAAUUUCUGUAGUUUUUUUUUCAAAAACCAGCAACUUUAGCCGACGAUAUUUAAAUACUAUAUUCGUCGGCUAUAGUAUUUUUAAUUUUUUUUUAUAAGGUUUAGCCGACGAAAUAUGGUAUGUUUCGUCGGCUAUAGUUAAUUUUUAAAAUUUUUUAUAAGGUUUAGUCGACGAAAUAGACUAUAUUUCGUUGGCUAUAGUUAUUUUUUAAUUUUUUUUAUAAGGUUUAGCCGACGAAUAUCUUAAUUGUUUCGUCGGCUAAAGUUUGGGAAAAAACCCGACGACAUGUUUUUCGUCGGCUAAACUGUGGGACUAUAGCCGACGAAAUUUUUUUUUCGUCGGCUAAAGUCAUCGCCGACGACCUUUUCCCGACGAAAUCUUAGCCGUCGAAUUAAAUUAACAGGCCGACGAAAUUUUUUCGUCGGCUAAAGUGCUUGUCCUGGUAGUGUUUCCUACAUACAUUUUCUUCAUUACCUUAGCAAGGGAAUGUUAAUUAAGGACUAUGAUCUUAUGAGGGUCAUUAAUUACCUUACAUUUUCUCAGUUAUUUGAAACAUAUAUCUAUUGUUUGGAGACAAAUUUAAGUAGCAUGUGGUUUGUACGUAAGCGUAUGAUCUCUUACUAAGUCUUUUUGUUCGUGUAGUAUUGUGACGUACGUAAUGACAUCAACCAACGUGUAACACAAAGUGAUCGAGAGUAGAUAUCGAUCGAGAUCUAGAAAAAUAAUCGAUGAAACUUGUCUUGUUCAGUUCACUGCUUAACGAAAAGCAAAACCCUAAUUGUCUAUUUUAAGUACAAGUUUGAACAUGAAAUUAAUAGUUUGAGAUAUGAUCUUGAAGGGUGGAACUACUUUUGUCAUCUGGAUUCUUCUUUUAAGCAGUAUAUAUUCUUGUAGUAAAACCCAAAUUAAGUCAUAUGAAUAAGAACUAUUGUCUACACUCGUAGAAGCUCAUUCAUAAUUGUGCAUAUUUCUCCCAAACAGUCCUUAUUCACAUUAAUUUCUGUCUCCUCACAAAUAAUAUACAAGUAACAAGAGGAAUAAAAAUCCAGUAGCAAUGGAGGGAUUGGAGGGCAUCGAUCCAGACCACAAAUCAUUGGCCGGGAAAAAAAAAGCUAGGGUUUUCCAUCCCACGCAAAACACAUUGAGGAAUGUAAUGCCAAACCCCGUAAGGUUGCAGCAUCUUUUUCCCCAGUAAAGACUAAAACAUGCCAGCUACUAGUAAAGGCUCAAUAUGUGAGACUGGGAAUAUGGAAAUCAAUCAGAUGAUCGCUAUUGAGAAUCUGAGAUGAUCGAUUAUGAAAUGGUUGCACGGUUCCCAAACAACUGGAACAUUUUCUUUGUAGUUUAGCCUUUACUGAAUAGACGUACUGGACCAGUUUGCACUUGGUUUUCUAGUUAGCUAGUAGUUGAAGACAAUAGUUCAUAAAACCAGUCAUUGUUUUGCUCCUGCAGAAAUGGCACUACAUGCAUGUGAAUAUCUUUGGAAUCUUUUUAUCGAUCAUUACUACCUCCAGCAUAUAUAUAACAAAGGCAAGGGUUUCGUUAUUCGUAGUGUACACUAAUAGAAAUUUCCCCAUUGGGGACUGAUAGGAUUAAGUCCCUAUUGUGGACAAUGCACACUGAUAUAUAAGAGCGUAAAAUGCUAUUAGCACCCCUACAACCACUCUUAAGGGAUCAGUUCCCUCUAUAGCAGGUGCUAUUGGAGCAUUAGACACUGAUGAAACAUCAGUGUAAAGUUAUAUGAAAAGUUAAAAGUCUACUGGUGUCAUUGCUGCCGACGACUUUAAUUACCAGAAGAGUGCGAAUGAAGAACUGAGAUUCAGUAACAAGGAAUUUAGGAACUCAUCGAAAAGAAAAAGGAAUUUAGGAACUUGUCCUUACCACCAUCAUGAACUGAUAUUAGUUAGACAAGAAGGGAAGAUAUAUAGAGUGACAUGUGCUAAGCAAGACCUAACAUUUCGAUUCUACAAUCUAAUAAACCAGAAAGUUCGGCUGCACCAGCACCGCACCAGCACCACAAUUUAUAUCCAAAUGUUAAUGAACACUAGUCUCAACAUCGAUCUGCAAAGUGUGCCGAGUUUUUUGUCAAUUAAAACAACCAAAUGGUGUAGAAGUAGCUAAAUUUUACAUUAGGUAAAGAUUGUAAGAACAAAAUACAUUAUUGUCCCACGUUCUUCAUUUGGUUUCCUUUUCGUACGUAGUAGAACUUUUGAAGCUUGUCAUCUAUCUUUGAAGGAGUGGUGGAGCUAGCAGUAGAAGACUGGUUACACAGUAGGCUGGUACUUGUUUUUAUAUAUAGAUUCUUGCACAUUAUAACACAGUAGACCCUUUGCUGUUUCUCACCGUACGUUAGUCCAUCAUACAUUUGAUUAAGCACAUCUAGCAGAAUUUACUCAAUUUUGUUUUCAUGCAAUGCUAGAAUAAUAGAGUGAACUAGCGAGAAUAAAAUGGAAAGAAUUAUUUAUUAUAAAAUAAUUGAGUAGCCUCCUGCUACUGUGAGAUAGCUAAACUACAUAUUAUCUAUACCUCUUCAUCCAACAUUUAUAACAGAAUUAUUCUAUGCAAGGUGCCAUUUCGGGUUACCCCAAUCUCUAGUUCUUCGUCUUUUUCUAGCUCAACGUCGAGCUGCAUGCUGAGAUAAGUACACCCUGUGGCUUCUGUCGCGCGAUCGAGAAGAAGAAGAAGUAAUCUGUCGAGCGAGAAAUGGGAAAAACCUCUGGUUUCGAAAAGGAAGGAAAGAAGAAAGGAAAAUGGUCUGGUACCAGAUUCUCAAGGACUACGUCAAGAACCACGGUACAGGCAAAUGGGGCAAAAUAGCAAAGGAGAUUGGCAAGUUCAUAAUUUCCUUCAUAUAUACCUACUUUCGACAUACAUCGUUGUGCUUAAUCAAUAAUGUAAUCGCCGUUGUUUCUGAAAUUUUCAAUUAAUUCAAUUAAUUACCGACGGCCCUGUGUAGCUUACGCGGAAUUCGCAUGCAUGUAUUGGAAGCCAAAAUUACAAAUUUACGCCAGUAGCGAAUGGAUUAAUUGGUAAAUUGGUUGCUCAAUUAAUCAUUGGUUAAUUAACUGCGUGUGCAGGUCUGGGGAGAUGUGGGAAGAGUGUGAGACUGAGAUGGUUGAAUUAUCUAAGGCCCGAUAUCAAGCAUGGCAACAUUAGGGAAGAUGAAGAAGAUCUAAUUAUCAGGAUGCACAAGCUUGUAGGCAAAAGGUACUAAUAUAAUAAAUUUCUUCCUCUUAUCAUGAAAGUCCCGCAGAUCUAAUUUUAAAUUUAAGCUUAGUAUUCGUAAUUACUUACGAACAUUUGCAUAUUUGAUCAAUAUUUGGUUUCAUUUUUUUUUUUUUAAUUUUUUUAGAAUUCAAAGAAAAAAUACUUGCCUCAUUUCAGAGCUUAAUACAAAGUAGACUUGUGCAGGUGGUCAUUGAUAGCAGGAAGAAUUCCGGGUCGAACUGACAAUGAAAUAAAGAACUACUGGAUCUCCACUCUAAGUAAGAAGCUGGCAGAAGAAAAAAGAAAGAAACCAGAAGUGCCGAGAAACGAGAUUGCCAAGGAGAGCUUGCCAUCCCCCAUUGAGGUCGACGAUGGUCAUCCACAUCCGACCAUAUGCAAUGAAGUUCCUGGAGGAGGAGGAGGAUUGAUGUGUUUUGCCAGUAAUGUUAAUGUAGAAGAAGAUCAUCAGCAUCAGAGUUCUGAUACCGAUAACAGUACUACAAUGAGUGCCAGAGUGGGAGUCCGAAUCAGAGGCGUGGCAAACAAUGUUCAACCAACCGGGGACGAUCUCAGUGAUGACGCUAUGCCCUGGAACGAUUGGAUAAUGGAUCUGAACGAAGGGCAACUCGACCUAUCUGAAUUUCUCCAAACUGAUUUUUCGAACUUUUGGGAAGAAUCAGAUAUGUUCAUGAACUUUGAAGUCGGAGGUUGCAGCACCAUUAACCAUGAGUGGCCGAAUAAUUAGGGUGGUUAAAUAUCUUCCCGAGCUUCUUGUUUUUCUUUCCGUAUCGGAAAUAUUGAUUCUUGCAUAUAUUCAUUCUUGAUUUGCAUGGCAAUGCGGCCACUAUAUUAGUAAUAAGAUUAUUGAUCACUUUAGAAUCAACUAAUUAAAAGUUUUACUCAUAUAUAUUGUAAUUUUCCUAUCAAUGAGAUUAAUCAAUUGCAAUUUGUUUACUUCAAACAGUGUCAACAUUCGGGUGCUGGUGACUCUACUGCUAUGGUGCUUUUCAGAUGACCGUGGCUGGUUGUUCGACAUAGUUGAUAGGGUUUUUGGGUUUACUUGGAUUCAUUGUUUCGUAUGCUUCCAUAAUAGUAAGGGAUGCUGGAAAUUUAGGUAUCAAUCAAAGAACUAAGACAGACAUAACUCCUUAUGAAUUAUUUCAAUAUAAUGUUGCCUACCUAAUUUUCUAACUUCACCAAUCAUGCACCAGAAUCCAGUACUGGCCGGGUCAAGAUUUUCAGUGGGGAAAACGGUGUGAUGUUGAUNNNNNNNNNNNNNNNNNNNNGUUAGAAAGGGAUGAUUCUAUCUUUGGCUAAAAACCAAAAGGGAUUGAGAAUUGGUGGUUUACGAAUCUGGGUAGUUAUUAAUUCUUGAAGAUUUGUAAUUCUGGGACAAGUUCAAAUUGAGGGCCCUUCUUGAGCUGAUACGGCAGCCUUGAAUUUUCAGAGGAAGACGAACUGAACCUGUUUUUUUUUUCUUUUUUCUUUUUUUUUUGUGUGGCUGAAAACUCUGUUUUAAUCUCAGCCCUCCAACAAUGUUAAAACAAAUCAGACGGCUAUGACCCUAUCCCUUGAAAAGACCCAAAAAAAAAGGAUCCCUCAUUAAGGUAUAUGUAUGUAUGUAUGUAUGUAUAUCCCUAAUAAUAAGAAGCUACCUUGUUGAAUUGAUUGGAACAGAUCACCUUUCCUCACAUUUUCUUCAUUACCUUAGCAAGGGAAUGUUAAGGACUAUGAUCUUAUGAGGGUCACGUAAUUAUUAUUUGAAAUUAUUUAAUCUUCUUCUAAUUCAUCAAAUUUAUGUAUGCUCAAUAAUGUGCUCAAAACAAAAACAAAAACAAAAACUAGAAUUUGUCAAAGACAGAAAGCUAGCGAUGUGAAACCACAUGUCAUCCACAUAUAUCUAUUGUUUGGAGACAAAUUUAAGUAGUGUGGUUUGUACGUACGUAAGCGAUGUUACGUAAGCGAUAGACAAAUUUGAUCUAUUCUUUUUGUUUGUGUAGUGAUGUUACGUACGUAAUGACAUCAACCAACAUGUAACACAAAGUGAUAUAUCGAUCGAGAGCUAGAAAAAUAACUGAUGAAACUUUGUCAUGUUCUCUUCAUUGCUUAACUAAAACCAAAACCCUAAUUGUCUUUUUUACGUAGAAUUUUGAACAUGAAAUUAAUGGUUUGAGAUAUGAUCUUGAAGGGUGCAUGGAACCACUUUUGUCAUCCGCAUUCUUCUUUUAAGUAGUAUUAAUCUUGUAGUAAAACCCAAAUUAAGUCAUAUGAAUAAGCUCGUAGAAGUUCAUUCAUAAUUGUGCAUAUUUCUGAAAAUGACUGCAUAAAUUAAUGCAACUUUUGAAGUUUUCUCCCAAACAGUCCCCAUUCACAUUAAUUUCUGUACGUCUCCUCACAAAUAAUAUACAAGUAAACAGAUAGCGUGAGGAAUAAAAAUCCAAUAGCAAUGGAGGAGGGGAUUGGAGGGCAUCGAUCCAGACCACAACUCAAUGGCCUGAAAAAAACGAAGGAAAAAUGGGUUUUCCAUCCCAUGCAAAACACAUUGAGGCCAACACGCGUAAGGUUGCAGCAUCUUUUUCCCCAGGAAAAGACUAAAACAUGCCAGCUACUAGUAAAGGCUCAACAUGUGAAUGUGUGAAUAUGGAAACCAAUCAGAUGAUCGAUAUCGAGAAUCUGAGAUAAUGAAAUGGUUGCAUGGUUCCCAAACAACUGGAGCAUUUGCUUGUUCUUUAGCACAUACUGAAUAGUGAUAGGGGCUUAACCCUACCAAUGGAAUCGAGAAAGGGAGGAGCUAAAACUAACAGAAAAUGGAAAGGAAAUUGCAAUUUUUGAUAUUCGAUGGCUGCCUGAAACCCUAGAACAGCCUUAAAUAGGUACAAAAGAGAGAUGAGAUCUUGACACCUGUCAAGCAUCUAUCGGAUCAAAACAGUAAACCUAGCUUAACUAAUUAACCAAACUGACCAACUGAUUACAAUCAAAACAACAUCAAUUAGCUUCAAUUGACUACUUGUGGACUCCUACUCGGCCCAACUCAAGCAACAACCAUAUCUACGGCCCACUAGGAAACCAGCAGCAGAGACUUGCAACAUUCCAUCCCGGUUCCACCACAAACUUGUCCACAAGUUUGAACUGCUCAAAAUUUAAAGUCUGGAUAACGCUGCAUAAUAUCCUUAGCGAAUUCCCAAGUAGCCUCUUCUCUAGCCGUCCCCAUCCAAUGAACAAGCCACUAAGUUGCUGCUGCCCCCUUGUGUUUGAUCAUCCUUGUUAUUAAAACAGCCUCAGGGACCCAUUUAAGAGUAGACGAAUCCCUGACAUCUGGAAGGGUAGCCUCAGCUGUGACAGCAUGCCCAAUUCUCUUUUUGAGGAGGGAAACGUGAAAGAGGUUAUGGAUUUUUGCUGUAGCUAGAAGUGCCAACUUGUAUGCCACUGCUCCGAUCUUCUCCAGUACCUGAAAAGGACCAUAGUACUUUGAUGCCAACUUAUGAAACGCACUGGUGCUGACUGAAGUCUGUUUAUAAGGCUGGAGUUUCACAUAGACCCAGUCCCCAACUUCGAAUGAUCUCUCUGUGCGAUGCUUAUCAUAGUAUGCCUUCAUCCGGUUCUGAGCUUGAUGGAGAUUUCGUUUGAUCAACGCUAAGAGCUCGUCUCUACUUUGGAGUUGUGCAUCCACGUCUGCCACAGCAGUAGAACCAGGUGUGUACGGUUUAAUGGCAGAGGGAGCAUAGCCAAACAAAGCUUCGAAAGGUGUCAUUUUCAGAGCUGAGUGGUAGGCACUGUUAUACCACCAUUCAGCCCAAGGGAGGGCAGCUACCCAUUCAUGAGGUUUGUUUCCAGCAACACAGCGUAGAUACUGCUCCAAUGUCCGAUUGAGGUUCUCGGUUUGACCGUCCGUUUGGGGGUGAUAUGCUGUUGACUUGUUCAAAGUAGUACCUUGCAGUCUGAAAAACUCCUCCCAAAAUAAGCUCAUGAAAAUGGGGUCACGAUCUGAGAUAAUAGCAUCUGGCAUACCAUGUAAACGGAAUACUUCUGUAACAAAGAUCCCUGCAAGCGCCACUGCAGUGUAUGGAUGAGAAAGAGGUAUAAAAUGAGCCACUUUGCUAAACUUGUCCACCACAACCCAGAUGACAGUUUUUCCUUGUGAUUUUGGCAAAGCCUCGAUGAAAUCCAUUGAAAUAACGCUCCAUGCUCUCUCAGGGACUGGAAUUGGUCGCAGCAGCCUCGGAGGUCUAAUAGACUCAUAGUGGUUUUGCUGACAUAUAUCACAAUUAGCUACAAAUAGCUUCACAUCCCUUUGUAGUCCUGACCACGCAAAAUUUUUUCUCACCCUCAUGUAAGUGCGAGUCCUACCAGCAUGCCCUCCCACCAAACCACAAUGGAACUCUUGGAUCACCUUCUGCCUCCAAUUGUCAAUAUUUGGUACAAACACUCUUCCUUUAUACAUCAACUGAGAAUUAUGCAGUGAGAAGUGUUUCUUGCUGUGGGGUGAUUCUUGGAGAGUUCGAAUCAACUCCACCAAGGUAGCAUCAGUAAGACAUGCCUUCUGUAUCUCACUCACAAACUCAUGAGUUGGUAUAGACACUCCCAUAAUAGCAUUAAGAGCUGCAGAUCGAGACAAGGCAUCUGGUGCAGCGUUGUUUUUUCCCGUUUGUAGUGGAUGGAGUAGUCAUACCCGAGGAGUUUCAGCAACCUUUUUUGUUGAGAGGGUGUGGUUACUCGCUGGUUGAGGAAAUGCUCAAUAGUCUUGUGGUCGGUGUAAAUGGUGAAAUGAUGGCCUAGAAGGUAUGGUCGCCAAUGCUCAACAGCAGUCACUACAGCCAACAUCUCUUUGUCAUAAACCGAAAGAGAGAGGUGUCUUUGGGAGAGAGCCUUACUCAUAAAGGCAAUAGGAUGCCCUUCUUGACACAACACUGCCCCAACUCCCACAUCCGAAGCAUCACACUCGAUAGUAAAGGGUUUUGAGAAAUCAGAAAAAGCUAGUACAAGAGUUGAAGUGAGAGCUGCUUUUAAUUCCUCGAAGGCCCUCGUUGCUCCCUCAUCCCACUUAAAUCCAUCUUUCUUAAGUAGACUGGUGAGAGGCUUUGCAAUCAGACCAAAACCCUUAACAUAUUUGCGGUAGUAACCGGCAAGACCAAGGAAACCACACAGCUGCUUGAGAGUCUUGGGUGUUGGCCAAUUCUUCACACAUUCUAUCUUUGAGGGAUCAACAGACACACCUUUGCCACUAAUAACAUGCCCCAGGUACUCUACUUGGGAGACACCAAAACUGCACUUGCUUUCUUUAACAACCGAAGAAUGCUGUUGUAAAAUUUGAAACACCAUUUUCAAAUGUUGUAAAUGGGCUGAGAGGGAAAGACUAAAGAUGAGGAUGUCAUCUAAGAAUACCAGAACACAUCUCCGCAAGAGUGCUCAUAAGACAUCAUUCAUCAAGGACUGAAAUGUUGAGGGGGCGUUGGUGAGGCCGAAAGGCAUCACCAAAAAUUCGUAGUGACCGGUAUGAGUCCGGAAGGCAGUUUUAGGAAUAUCAGUCUCAGCCAUCCGAAUUUGGUGAUAACCUGCCCUCAAGUCCAACUUUGUGUAUAUCGUUGAACCAUGAACUUCAUCGAUCAACUCAUCCACCACAGGGAUAGGGUACUUGUCUUUAACUGUGGCAGCAUUUAGAGCUCUAUAGUCGAUACAAAGUCUCCAUGAACCAUCCUUCUUUUUUACCAGCAACACAGGAGAAGAGUAGGGGCUUGUGCUCGGCCUGAUCACACCAUUGGCUAGCAUUUCUUGCACUAUCUUCUCUAUUUAUGUUUUCUGGAAACGAUAAGGUCUCACGCUAAUGGGGGGGAGUGUUGGGCACUAGCUCAAUCUUAUGAUCUUGUGCUCUAGAGGGAGGGAGGCUGCGGUGGGGGGGGGGGGGGGGGGGGGGUGCGCAAAAACAUUUGCAUAUUUGGCCAACAAAGACUUGAUGGUAGGAUGGACUUCUGGAUUUUUCCGUUCAGCAGCCAAAGAGUGUACUUGAACAAGGACUGCAUCUUUCUCUUUCCUCAAUAACUUCGUCAUAGUUUUACAACUUACAACCAAAGCUUCUGGUGUUGUCACUACAAAAAAGAAUUCAUUUAGCCACCGAAAAUCGCCACGGCUCGGAUUUGCCGUGGCCAUUGAUCCUAAAUUUGCGACGGCGAAGCGACGGUAAACAUACCGUCGCUAAAUAAAAACCAGUUUGCGACGGCAACAUCUUGCCGUGGCUAAAUAAUGCAAAAUUCGCGACAGCAAACUAGCGCCGUCGCAUAUGUUUUUAUCAACGGCGACGACAGGUGAGUGCCGUGGCAAAAAAACCAAUUUUAUUUCUGAUUUGCUGCUACGGUUGCUUUCGUCGUCGCCUGUGUUCUUUCACUGUUAAUGGAAGGCGCCAAUUAUCCCGCUUUCCAUUUUGACAAAAAACAUCAAUUUUACAUAACCCUCAUUUUUACUCUCUCUUCAGACAAAACCCCCAUCCCACAAACCUAAUUCCUGUCUUCUAGAAAUCGCCGGUCCUAACCCCAUAACCCCUAUUUUGUCAAAUAUGUUGAAUGAAAAUUGGGGUUGGUCGUGAGAAACACAAAUCAUCGACUGUGGAAGGAGAGCUUGUCGACGGUGGUUGUGGUCAUCGGGAGGAGAGGUUUUCGGUUUUCAUCUGACCGGUGGCGGUACAAGACUGUAUUGAAUUGGCGGCGGCGGGUUUGCACUGGUGGCGGGUUUGCGCUGGCAGUGGCUUCUUCGGUCAAGUCGUGUCGAAUCUCUAGAGGUCGACGGCGGCGGCUUCUUCGGUCAACCCUAAUCGCCCAUCUUUUCCCUGCUCUUCCCUGCUCGAGCUCGCAGAAGGUACUCUCUUCCCUGCUCGAGCUCGCGCAUCUCUUCCAUGCUCUUCCCUGCUCGAGCUCGCAGAAGGUACUCUUUUCCCUGCUCGAGCUCGCAGAAGGUACUCUCUUCCCUGCUCGAGCUCGCCCAUCUCUUCCAUGCUCUUCCCUGCUCGAGCUCGCCCAUCUCUUCACUGAUUUUUUCGAUGCGUUUUGUGGUUUUGUGAAUUGGGUUUGAGUUGGUUUUGUUUUGGAUUUUUUGAUAGGUUCCAGAGGGGUCUGAAGCGCAAGCCCAUUUAAUGAUCAAGAAGCUUCGCAAAGCGGUGAGUUUUACUGUUAUUGGUUUGAUUGGUUAUGGUGAAUGAAAUAUGUUGUUGUGAUAGAUUGGUCACAUUAUCGUUCAAGUAUUGAAAUUUUUGACUCAUUGAGCAGUUUGUUUGGAGCUUACCAUUCUAUUCGCAAGUUUAUAUUAGAAUUUGUUCAUUGAGCAAUAUAUAUGUACCGACGAUAUAGGAAACUUUUGAAGUUUUGGAGUUGUCAUUGAUUGACUGUAUUAUAUUUAUACCCUCUAAGAUUAGUCUGUUGAUGGUAGGAAGAUAAGGUGCGUGUAAGACAGUUUAUGCCUUCUUUAGUUUCCUCAGAGUUGAGGAAGCUAGCUAAUUGCCUAUCCUCAGAAUGUUAUUUAAUUCCUGGCAACACUACUGUUGUACAACAUAUUCCAAUUGUUUGUUUAGUUGAAUGAUAUGUUCUGUGGUGGCAUUCAUUGUUGUUGGUAUUGAAACCCCUAUGUGUAUUGGUUAAUGACUUUGUAGAGGAACGGUUUGUGUUUUUGUUUAUCCUCAGUUAAAGAGAAAUUGAGCAGUAGAAUGUGUGAGAAACUUGACUGUAACAAAAUCAACAGAACUAGAGAAUACUUCGGAAGUCCGAAUUACCCUAUACUCUUAAACUCUCACCAAAUGCCACUAAGAAACCAAAUAGGUCACAUGAAGCCGAGGCCCCGUUUUCAUAGUUUCACUCUUCAUUACAUGAUCAAGUACUUUUUCAUAGUCUUUUUAUUUCAUAGUAUAUGUGGGACAAGUAAAAAUGGGAGUUCAUAACUGAAUGUGGUUGAAGUUUUGUUUUCAUUUUCACGCUUUUCUAUUUGUAGUUUUGUUCAUUCCGUCUUUUCUCUCUUUCCUCAAUUUAGUCUCUGUUAUUACUCUCAAUUUAGUCUCUGAAAACUGAGUCAGUAAAUUAAGUGGUCCACUAACAAUCUCCCAGACCUUCUCAUACUAGUUGUUCUUGAGAACUGGUGAUAUAUUGUUCUUGAGAACUAGUGAUAUGAUUUUUUUUUUUCGUUUUUGUUAAUUAGCUUGGGCUGUUAUACACCAGAUGGGUUGAAUGAAUAUUUAAUGAGAUUUGCUGCUGAGUUUGAUUAUUAAUGUCGAGUGAUUUGUGUCUUUAGGUGUUGUAGUAACAGAAUUUAGUUUGACAAUUUGAAACAUGAACACUGCCAGUAAUUCAUUGUUCUGAACUUGUCACUUCAGUGUGGUGAUAUUACAAUUUGUCCACCUUUUCUAUUAUGGAUAGGAACUCUGUUUUAUAUGAUUGAGAAGUUUUAUGAUACAUUUACAUUGAUACUCCCACCAAAGAUUCUCUUGACACACGACUGAUUGCCAAAUCUAUGUUUGAAAGACCUUUAUAUAUAUGUGUAUUUUAUGCAAUGGCAUUACUUAAGUAGAUUAUCAUUAAUUUCAGUUAGAGUUGUAGGCUUACAGGGAGAGGAACUGUUGAAUUUACCAUUGAAAAAGGUGACAGUUCAACAUUUGCUCCAGAAGCUGGUGGUGAACCAAGAAAGACAGCCAGUAUUCAGGUAUAAUGAAUACUAUCUAUCUAUCUAUCUCUCUCUCUCUCUCUCUCUCUCUCUCUCUCUCUCACACAAAAAUUUGAUAUUUCCAAAUGUAAAAUGUAUGCAUGGCACCCAAAUUUACUUUGAAAAUAUUUAAUGUCCAAAACUGAUCAGUAACUUGUGUACAGGUUGUUAUAGAUAGUUAUUCAGCACCAUUAACAGCGGGUAAUUUCGCAAAACUGGUUAGGUAGUUGAACACUAGAACCUCACAUUGGCUUCAUGCAAUUAUCUACAUUUGUGAAUAGAUGUGCUUAUCAGUGCUUUACACCUCUAAAUUUUCAUCCUCACUGGUUCAUCCAUAUGCUAUAAGGAUAACUGGGUAUUCUGUGAAAAAAUUAUGUUAAAGUUUGAAGUCUUUUUGAGUAUCUGAUAUCUUUUUAUAGUGCUUACUUUUGUCAAUUUGGUCAGUGUUGUAAUGUUAGUUACUAUUGGUUUGAGGUUGAGGUAGACUGGAAUAAUUACUGUAUUUUUUUUUACUGCGGCAGGGGAGUGUGGAGUGGGGGAGCACAAGAGUAAAGUUGCAGGGAAGAUGCAUGGAUGUGGACAUGAUGGUCAUGUUGCCAUGCUUCUUGGAGCUGCUAGUUUACUUCAAGAGUAUCGCCACAAAUUACAGGUCUCUUUCCUGGUUUGAAUUCUAUGCAUUGUGUUUAGAAGAGUGGUUUCAUUGUAAAGUUGGGUUUUUAGGUUUGUUAUUCCAUGUGUUGCAUCAGUUCUUGUUCUUAUGGACUUCUGUUACUUUAUAUAGCAAUUGUAGGUUUGAAAGUAGUUGUCUUUAAACAAAACAUCAAGGCUAAAAUGUAAAUAUUUAAAACUAUAUAUGGUCAGAUUUGGAAAGUUCCAGCGUAUGAGCGUGGAGGUGAGGUUAGGGAGAUUAUUAGGCCUUGGGGUUGUCUACAAUGGGCUCCUGGUCUAGCUGUCUAUUAGAAUUAUAUGUCAACUUGUUAUGUCAUCUAUCUGACUGCGAACAACCUUUAACUAAUAAAAAAGACAAAGAGCGAUAGAAAAUGACCUUUCAUACUGAAAUUUGCAGAGUUUUGGAGUCCAUAUUGGAACUACAUUUUGAUGUGGCCAGCUAUAAAAGUUGAUACACUAGCUUAAUCUAUAGAUUGCAAAGUGUGUGCAUUCUCUAAGUAGGCUUCUUGANNNNNNNNNNNNNNNNNNNNGAAUGGCUGCGAGUGGAUUUUUUGAAGCCUUGAUAAGUGGGAAGGGGGGUCGUGCUGCAAUUCCACAGCACACAAUAGAUCCUAUCUUGGCUGCUUCCAAUGUUAUUGUUAGUCUGCAGCAUCUUGUUUCACGUAAAGCUGACCCCUUAGAUUCACAGGUUUGCUCGCUUUCUCUCUAUUCUCAUAAUAAGGUCAUUGUCAAGUCUAUGUUCCCCUCCUAUUGCAGCUUGAUUAUUCAAAUACAUGUAUCUGUAAGUUCACAUGUGUUAGCGUUAGUCUACAACAUCUUUCACUCAGCACAUAGUAUGUGAAAUAUUAAUCCCCUUAGUUUCUUCAUGUGUGUGGGGAAAUGGUACUAUACAGAACAAACAUGAUAAGUAUUGGAAAUUGCCCUUUUUUUUUAUUAUGAAUAUUUUUGAAGUAUGGUUUAGUAUGAAUUAGGGUGAAAGUGCUUGAUUUACUUGAAUCUAGAUAUGGUUUUAAGCAUUAGGGUCAAUGCUUGAGCAUGCAAUAGGUUUUUGUUUUCACCUUUCACUUCAAAUCAGACAACUAAUUGUAGAAAAUGGUCUCAUUUAUGCAAUAGGUACCAGCUGAUGCAACAAGUGGCCAUAAGGCUAGGAGGGAGUCCAUAUGAGAGGGAGAUCCUGAGGCCACUACCCAUUUUGAUUCAACUUCUGAUGAUGUCACUGGUCACCAUGAUCCUCCUGCAUGAUUUAGGUUUAUGUCAUAUUGUUGUGUUUUAGAAUGUGUUAGAACAAAAUUAUGUUGGAAUAUUAUUGUCCCUUUAUGAAGCUCUUUUUAUUGUUGUAGCAGUUUGUUGGUUUGGUUUAGGUUCCAUCAUGUGGAAUAAUGUUUAUGUUAGAUAAUUUGGUUAUGAAAUGAAUUUUGGUCAUUGUGUUGUAUUUUGUUGGAAUGAAUGAUAGUUGAUGGUGGUGUUAGUACCUUGUUGAUUAUGGUUGUUGCUAUUGUGGAUUGAAUGAGAUUUGAAUUUGCAGCUUUCUGGUAAAAAUGAGAUUUGAAACAGUUGUGGUAACAAUUUCUGCAGUUGGCGACGGCAGAGUCCCGUCGCAAAUGGUUUUGGUGGGAAAAUUCAAAAAUUUUAGUUCAGAUCUGAAAUUUUUAAAAUAUCACAGUGACGGCGAUUGCCGUCGCCAAUAUUGGUAUUUGUGACGGCAAGUUCAGUAGCCAAUUUCCGUCGCUAAUUAAGCGACGGUCUUUACAGUCGCUAUUUGCCGUCGCAAACAUGGUUGUGACGGCUCACUGCCGUCGCCAAAAGCAACGGCCACACCCUCAACGGCGACGGGAAAAAUGCCGUCGCCACGCCGUCGCCGUUGGUCUUUUGCGACGGCAGAAUGACUUUUGGCGACGGCAUUUUGCCGUGGCUAACUGAAUUAAUUUUUGUAGUGUGUUAGUCCCUGCAAACAGAAUGUAUGCCCUCCAAUCUGAAACUUCAUCAUCAUAGUCUCAAAAUUCCACAAUAUAUCCCCAAGAGUUUUGAGCCAACUUGCCCCCAUUACAACCCAUUACAACUUCACAACCUGAUAUAGGUAGAACAUAGAAGGAAGUGGUUAGGGUUAAACCUUGCAAUGUAAUUUCAACCUUUACCUGCCCCUUAGUGUACAUAAUCGAUCGCUUCACUAGCAAGCCGGACUCUUAGAGGACUAAUUUUUUGGACCUCAUGCUUCGAUGCCUUGAGCGCUGCAGGGUGCACAAAGUUGUGUGAUGCCCCCGAAUCAAUUAGGACAUGCACUGCCUUGUUCAGAAUUUUCCCUUUGAGUUGCAUGGUUGAAGUGGCACUACCAUCUCCCAUAGCUCUGAGCUCCACCUCAUCAUUAUCUUCCACAUUAUCCAAUUGGUCCAAAUCAUCAAUGAUAGGAGGAGGUAACACGUUAGGAGGGAGUUGUGGAACUUCAUCUUGUAAUACCUCAAUAACCAUGAUGGCCUGUCCUCGCCGACAAUUGUGUCCCGGUCGGAAGAGCUCAUCACAGAAAAAACAUUGGUUCCGGGAUCUACGCUCCUGGUAUUCAGCUUGUGUGAGUCACCUAUUUCCUCCAAUAUUCCUUGCAGCCCCUGGAUUGGCUAAAGCAGGCAUAUUCUGAGCUCUCAGUUGUGGCGGAGGAGGGCCUUGAGCACGCGGGGGAGCUACUGGAGGCAUAAGAGCUUGUCGCCUUGGUAACCCUGUGACUCUUUGAAAUCUCUGCUAGGUAUCCCCUCCCUCAAACAGUUUUGCCAAUUCACACGCUAUAUAGAGUGUGGAAGGUCUAUGUGCCUUGACACCCGUUCUGAUGUAGGGCUUCAAACCCUCAAUAAAAAAUGACAGCAGUGCCUGUGGUGUGAACCCCUGGUGCACGCCUUGACAGCUUAGUAAACUGAUCCAUAUACAUAUCCACAGACCCUACUUGAGAAAUGCGAGCAAGAGCAGCCUGGUAUUCACCGAAAUUAUGCACACUGAACUCACGCAUUAGUAACUCGGCUAAACCACUCCAAGAGUUUGGAAAUUCAUGUUUGAACAUGAACCAGUGAUCAGCAGCUUUAUCCACUAAAUGCAAGGCUGCUAUAGCUACCUUCUUCUCGUCUGGCACUUGAUAGAACUCAAAAAAUUGUUCGGCCUUGUGCAACCAUUCAACAGGAUCUCCACCCCCAAAGGUCGUGAAAUCUAACUUCAUUUGUCUCAUGGAGGGAAGACUGGGAUCAUGGCUUGAGAAAUUUGGGUUACCUUGGUGGAAACUUUGUUGUUGAUUAUGUGUGUGAGAGGGACUACCAUUGCCAUGGUGUUGGGAAUGGGGGUUUUGAAUGGUUGUGGUAGUGGUAGCAUAGGUAGGGUGAGAUUGAGAAUGGCUUUUUAUGUUUGGAGACUGGUGCAUUUGGGAAUGGGGUGUGUUGCUGGUUGUGGGGAAGGGGGGUGGGCCAAAAGUUGCAGCAGUGUUGUAAACAUCAUGUGAGUAAUGACGUGAAUGGGAUCUGUUGUGUAGAAGCACACAUGGGUUGGGACACCAAAGGAGCACCAAGGUGUUGUUGUGCCUCAUUAUGCAAACCCCUACCAUGGUGGUUAAAAGAGUGAGCUCCUCCAUCAGUGUGUUGAAAAAAUUGAGUCAGGGGUUGCUUUCCAUUGUUUUGACCACUCGAUUCUCCUCUAGCAUGAUUAGACAAACUCAGAGGGUCACCAACAGUAAGUUGCAUCAAGGGUUGGGAAGAGGACUCAAGAGCUGUGUCACACUCACUCAUGAAACCAAGAAGCACAUCAUUAUCUCCAAGGUUCAAAGGAUGGCGUGCCUUGGAUACACUGCCUGCAGAGUUGAGCAGAGACAUAGCUGUUGAGAUGCCAUCAGUCGACGACGGAGUGGUCCCUCUUUCAACUAACGUCGGAGACCCAGAGGUUAAUGGAAGCGACCCAAAGCGCAGCAUCGGAUUCGCCUAUAAUGAUUGUACUUCAUAGUUGUAUCAGUGGCUGCCUCUAGCUCAGCGGUCUUCCAGUUUUAUCUGUUAGGUUCUAGUUGCAUGCAAUGUUUCUUGUUGUAAUGUUUUGGUUUACUAGUCGAAAAAAAGAAGAAGGAAGAAACAAAAAAGGGUAAGCUGACUCAGUACCAUUUGAUCUAAUGACAUAGUCUCCUCUUAAUAAGUGGGAGGUUGUGAGUUUGACUCACGAAGUUGUAUUAUGUGAUAAAAAAAAAGGGUAAGCACUUGUGUAAUUCUAAUUAGAUGGGGUGGUUAAUUAGUUUAGUUGAAACUUGAAAACCAAUGCUUUUACUAAAUCUUUCUACUUAAUCAUAUGCGUACUGCGAGCGUGUAUCAUGUAUGUGAUGUAUAUAUGUCAUCUAUGACAGUUUGUUUUUGGUUCUUGUAGUAUGUAACAUCAAACAACGUGCAAUACAAGAGUAGACAACAAAAAUAAUUGAUGAAACUUGUCUUGUUCACUUGAGUGCUUGAAAAUCGAUCAAAACCCUAACCUUGUCUUUUCCGUCGACGGCGAGAUAAGUGGUUUCUAUUAGAAAGCUGUUUAUAUCAGCAGAAGACAAACUCGUUCAGACCAGAUAAGAUUCUGUGAUCCCCAUUUGGGAAGGUGUAGGGCAUGUACUUGAAAAUUACACCAUAUGCAGUAGUGCCCGGGCCUUCUUCUACAGUUCUACGUACGUAUUUUCAUUUCAGAAUUCACAUGAUGCAUACAUGGGAUAUGGGAGUCAGAGAAAUUAUCCUUUUACCUACGUACUCGAUCUGUUGGCUUGCAUGCCUCUCCAGAAUUUAAUAGCAAAAUUGUGAGCUCUUAUUAACAACUUACUGAGAGUGAAAGAGAGGGAAAGAACAAGAUGAGUAUGAUUUUGCAGGAAGUGUUCCACAUUUUAUAUUCUUUCCUUUGAAGAAUGUAAUCGAUUCUUCCUUUUGAUUCUGGGUUGUUGGAGAAAUUUUAGUCAUCAUCAUCACCAUGUACGUUCUUCUCCUAAGUCUUAAGUACACUCUUGUAAGUUGUAAUUAUAGCUAGAUGGGGUGCGGGGUUUAUUAGUUAACUUGAGGCAAAUGUUUGUACUAAAUCUUCGUAGAUACGUAUGUCGUUGCUGACACAAAACAACAUGCAUGCCACACAGAGUGAGAUCAUGAAGAGACGUCCGAUUCCAACAAAAUGAUAUAGGAGCGAAACUUUUCUUGUUCACUUCAUUGCUCAAAAAUCAAAAUCCUAGCCAUAUAUAUUCGGUCGACUGCGAUGUAAGCGGUUAGUGUUAUAUAUAAAGCUCUUAUAUCAAAUUAUCUUUGAAGCAGGAGAUCGACAUGCAAAGCCAUUCAGACCAAAGAUUAGUGAUAAAGUUAUCAUGGAUUCCCAAGUAUCACAUCAGCAAAUGUAUCAUAGAUCAAUCUAAGAAUGAAAAUUAACAUGAUAUUAACAUGCACGUUAAUAUAUGACCUAAAGUGGAACCACAUUUUUCUUUGAUUAUUCUUGCAUGUAAGACCCGAGAUAUGAAGGAUGAGAACUUUUCUUAACAUUCAUUAAAACUAAAUCACAAUGCAUUCUGAACAUGAUUGCACAAAUAUAACUUAUUGAUGUUUUGUUCCUAAAAACUAUAGGCAUUCACAUUUACUUUUACGAACGGAAAACGCUAUCACGCAUAACUAAAACUCCAAGAGGAACGAAUUUUCUUUCUUAAGCCAUGAAAUCAUUCCGUCUCAUAAAUGCUUUUUUCCAGUAGGCGAUAUGGAUCCAGACCACCGGAAAAUAAAAGGCGGUGGAUUAUUCACACUGAAAAGAAAAAGAAAAGGAAAGAAGAGGUUUUCACAUCCACGCGAAACAUAUGGAGGGAACAGGGAAGUAGUGCCAAACUAUAUGGAUAACGCUGCGUGAAGUCGCUUGUCCAUCUUGUACGUUACACUGUUUUUUUUUCUCCCAGUAAAGGCUAGAACAUGCAUAUAUGUGCCUGUAUAGAACCGAAAGAGCAAAGGCUGAACAUGCAUGUGAAUCCAAGAUAUUGAAGAUCAUGGAGCAUUCGCUUGGAGUUUUGUAAGUUAUUGAAGAUACGCACUGGACCAGUUUCCAGUAUUAUUGUAUAUCUUUAGCAAAGUUGAAGACAAUACUUAAAAUCACUCGUUGUUUUCACACCUGCAGAAAUCCCAGUACAAAACCCAAAGAAUCAGUAGUAACUGUAAGAUAGCUCUAGCAAUUGUAUAACAUAACAAGUCACAAGAUAUAUAUAAAAGAGAGCUUGCUAAUUAACUAACAAAAAAAAUAAAAAUUAGAACCUAUGUGCUAGAUUAGUUUCAUUUUCUUUUUUAAAAUAACGGUCUCAAGAUGAAUAGUUGAUUCAUAUUAUUCAUACUGGGCUCCGAAUGAUAGAAAUUAAGAUUUAUUGAAUUCAAAGAGCAUAAACAUAAAGAAAACACAAAAAGUGCUUUGGACUACAACACUAGUUUGUGAUACUCUCAUUAUUUGAAAUCAAACUCUUCUAUCAUGAAAAACAAGCCGGCCUGUUGUAAAUGUGAGAUUUACCCCUUUUUUGAAGCUUCUCUCUCAGUUUGAAAAAAAAGCAUCUUCAAGAGGAGGGAAUGAGGGAUAUACUUCCAUUAGGUUCACGUGUGUAUUUCUGUGGCAAUGUGAACCCUACACGUGGCAUGAUCUUGUAGAAACGGAGCCGAUUCUGAUAUCUAAAUAGCUAUAAAUAGGGCGCAUUGCAAGAGCAAAAACACCAACAGCAAACAGAAGCCAUAAGCCAUAAGUUACAUAUCCUUGUUCGAUCUCUGCCUUUUAGCCACUAUCAUCAUGCUUGGCCUAGUAAACAAGGUGGCCUCAGUAAUCCACCACCCUCAUAGCCCGUUUGCCAAGUCUGACAAGAAGAUCUUGGAUGAUAUUUACACUACUCAUGUCCAUGCUGAUGAUUCAUUCGACGACGAUUCUCUUUUCAUCAUUGUUGAGAGUAUCCUCAAGCGUGCAACCCAAACUGUCGAUAAAAUUGUGCAGGUACAAAUCACACAUAACAUGUAACACGAUUACAUAUGCCUUGGUCGAUUUUUGCAUACGUACAAUAUAUAUUUACGCAAGAAUGACCAAGCUAGGAUGUUCUUAAUUUGCCUAAGAGAAGCUGUCUUUUUCUGUUGUUGGUAGUGACUAGCUGCAUGCUACAUUCUUGUGGUUGUUGCAGGGUACCCAAGUGCAUGUGGAAGACAUAGAGGAGCAAACUCCCAAAGCCAACUUCAGUGUACCAUUGUGCACGCUUAAGGGAAUCUCCUGCGAGGUCCAUCCGUCCAUAUAUAUACGAUACCAGCAAAAAUUAAAAAAAUUCCAAAUUAAUUGUUGUUAAUUGCUCGUUGAUUACAUUUUCCAUAUAUAUAUUGAAUAUUUCUCUAAUUUCAGAUGCAAUGCAAGCCUCCUGGUGAAGAAAUCGCCCAUGAGACAACACUGGCAAUACUACACAAGCUGUCAAAGUAUUCAUGGGAAGCAAAGGCAUCACUGACCCUAGCAGCUUUUGCUAUGGAGUUUGGUGAAUUCUGGCUCCUUGCAGAGCUUCGUGAAUCAAACCACCUUGCCAGGUCAAUUGCAAUUCUCAAACGACUCCCUGUUCUCCUCAAGCCUUCUCAGCUGCACAAGCGCAGGCAAGCAAUACUUGAGCUUAACAAUCUGAUCAAGGCCACACUGGAAGUCAUUACAUGCAUCGACCAGUUCAACAAGAUUUCCAUUUAUGACCUGAAAGAUGUCCCCGAGUUGUCGGGAACAUUGGAUCAUGUUCCGGUGGACGUAUAUUGGGCUAUCAUGACUGUUGUGGCUUGUGCCACUAAGAUCACACUACUCACUAGUGAUGAGUAAGUUCCUCGAUCUCCAUCGUUUUAAAGAAUUAGCUAAUUACUAUACUCACUGUUGUGGUGUAAGCAUUGUUCCUGGAGAUUGAAUUUGUGUACCGAUUUACGAUAUUUACCCUAUUUAAUUUGCCAUGCACAUAUUGUUUCAGGGACAAAGAAUUUGACCUAUCUCCCUAUUCUCAAAAGAUCCACUUUGUCCUUAACAAGCUCAAGACACAGCUAACAAUUUGCAGAGCACGAAUUGGUGGGUUAAUUAAUUGCAUAUUUUUUAUUAAUUGAGGUUUACAUUAGUUCUAUAUGUGUACUCAUUGAAACGAAAUUUGAAGCAAUUUUAUUGUUGUCUAAUGCAGAGUUCAUAGAAAAUUAUAAAAAGCUCAAGAAACUGUUCCGAACACCUACUGAAAUUAUGGAAAUCUUUAAGGGUUUGUUAUUUACAAAGGAUAAUGUCCAGCCACUCGUUGAUUGUUCCACUAAACAAACGGUUUGUGAAUCAUCUAUAGUUCAUUUCUCUACAAAUUGUAACAACAAUAGUGAAACUUAAUCGUGCCUAACUCUUUAACAGGUGAGCAUCGAAAUCCUAAGGAGGAAGAAUGUGCUAUUCUUCAUUUCCAGCCUCGACAUUACGGAUGACGACAUUUCGAUUCUGAAACCGGUCCACGAGUUCACAAAGAAAGACAAUCAGUAUAAGAUUGUGUGGAUACCGAUUGUGGAGCAAUGGACCGAUGAGCUGAGAAAGAAAUUUGAAAUCCUGAAGAACAAGAUGCCGUGGUAUACGGUGCAGUACUCUGGACCUAUUGCAGGCAUCAAGUUCAUCAAGGAGGAGUGGAACUUCAAGGGUAAGCCAUUACUGGUAGUGAUGAACCCACAAGGAAAGGUCGAACACACUAACGCUCUUCACAUGAUUCGGGUGUGGGGAGUCAAGGCCUUCCCUUUCACAGAGACGAUAGAGAAAGAGCUGUCAUCAGAUUCUCAUGGAGGAAUUCACUCUAUAGUUGUUGACGGAAUUCACCCUUCUGUGCCAUCUUACGUAAUUCACCUCAACCGAUCAAAGCGCAUAUAUAAAUUCACGAGUUAUUAUUUAUAGUAUUGCCUAUAUAUAUAUUACUUUUGACAGUGCAUUACUACAUCAAUACAUACAUUACAUAAUAAUGAACUAGGAGAGUAGGGUCAUCUCCAUUAUUGACAUAUUUUCACUACAUUCACCUGAAACGAUGAGAAACUUAUUCAAUUUGUUAUCCUCAAACAGAUCAGAGAUAAUAAGUACAUCUUCUUCUAUGGCGGUAAGGACAACGAAUGGAUUCAGCAAUUCACAAAGAAAGCAACUGCCCUUGCAAACGAUCCUAUCUUGAAGGAAGCAAAGAUUUACAUAGAGUUGGUUUGCGUUGGAAAAGGCAGCGAAGGAGAAGAUGACCAUGGCAUUCUAGGCCGCUUCUGGACCGGUAUAGAAAGUUUGUUCCUCACCAAAGUCCACAAGCACGUUGAUCCGAUCGGUCAAGAAAUUCAGAAGCUUGUCUCUUACAAGAACGAAAGUGGAUGGGUGUUGCUUACCAAAGGAUCAACUUUGUUGGUCACAGGUCAUGGUAUCUCCGCAUUGAAGGUGGUAGAAGACUUUGAGAAAUGGAGGGAGCAUGUCAAGGAGAAAGGGUUUGAGUUUUGUUUCAAGGCCUAUUAUGGGAAGGUUAUUCAGGCUGGUCGACCUUGUUGCCGUCUUGACAUUCCGGGGUCUACCGGAAAGGUUCCGGAGUCGAUGAAGUGCCCUGAUUGUCACCGUAGUAUGGAGACUUUUAUCAGUUACAAGUGCUGCCACAUUGAUGGUCCAACUGCACAUCAUUGAGUCCUGGAUGAAUUGGUGUUUACGAUCAGUCCUUCAGUACGUUAUGAUGGACACUGUUAUGUUAUCUUUUACUUCUGCUUGUAUGAAUAAGAUGGGCAUGGCCGAUGCAUUGUGAUGCUAGGUAUAACCCAGACUUACGAUUUGAAUUUUCCAGCUAUAACUAUAUGGCUACAUGUACUAUGUUGGGUGCUAUCGUACCUUUUGAAUCAAAUAAGACCAAUAUUGGUGACUAUAUUGAAACCAAUUUAAUUUUUUUUUUCAGUUUAUUUUGUUAAAAUAAAAAAGCAUAAAUUGAAAUAAGGGCUAGUUUGGGAUUGCUGUGAUUUUUUAUAAAAAUUGUUUAUGUUGUACUAUGAAUACAAUCAGCUGUGAGUGAAGGAAAUACUUGCGUCCGGACUAGUAUGUACGUGUGCGUCCGGAUUCUCUGUUAUUUACAUACUUUCGGCAAUGUAAAUCAUAAUUUUAACCGUUCAAAAAUUGGAUUAACCAAUAAAGAUCAUUUCUGCAAAAAAUCAAUGUAAACAAAAUUCGUUUGCUCACCCAAUUGUAUUAAACAAAUGAACAGUUCUGGUAAAAGUUAUCAGCCUCAUGAUUAUCCGUCAAUUUGUUUGAUUCAUUCGACUUAGCAAACGAUUUUUGUUUACACUGAUUUUUUGCAUAGGUGUUUUUUUUUUGAAUAAUUGAAUUUUAUUACUAAAUACGAUUCAAAUUGUACAUGAGGGCAUCCAGUAUAAAGUAUGGAGCAUGAGAAAACUACUCAAGGUGGAUAUUAGACUCAAAACCAUAGUUAGCUAGUCUGUGUGCUACCAAAUUGGUCUGCCUGGGAGCAAAAUGCAAACUAAAACCUUUGUUUGCAGCUAGAGUCUCUUUGAUCUCCAAAAUAAGACCACUGAGAGGGGAUAAAUCAUCCUCAGGAGAGUUGAGAGUAGUCACCGCUACCAAACAAUCACUCUCCACAAUAGCAUCAGCAAUAUGCAUAGCUUGAAGAACAUCUGUCCCAUACCUUAUAGCUUCCAAUUCAAAAUGAAGAGAUGAACUAACAUGUUCCAUGCGGUGUGCAAAACCAUCUAAGAACUGACUCUGAGAGUCUCGAAGCACACCUCAAAACCACCUUGAGUGACAUCAGGAAGGAAGGAACCAUCCACAUUGAGUUUCACAACUGACCCCAAAGGAGGUUGCCACUGUUUUCUCAGUUUCUGUCGAGUAGAAGCUGUUGUACCAGAAGAGACUGAUUGUGCUUUAAGGUAUUCCUCAUACCAUGACAUGGCAGCUAUAACAACUUGAUCAGGAUUCUUGCCAUUAUCUCUCCAUAAUAUCUCAUUCCGGUUUCGCCAAAUACUCCCAAGGAGGAUUAGAAACGUCACUACGCCAAAAAAGAGUUUUUACGGCCGACAAUGCGUGCCGUAAAAGUCUUUUUACGGUGUACAAAAGUAGGCAGUAAAAGCUCAGGUCGUAAAAGACCAAUAUCUUUUACGACGUGCAAAAAUACUUCAUAAAAAAACAAUUAACACGCCGUAAAAGUGAUUCCAUAAAUGUUAUUUAGGUCAUUUAUGACCCUCUUUUGCUCACCGUAAGAAUAUUUAAAGGCGUACACAGCAUGCCGUGAAAGAGUGACUAAACUCCUAAUUAAGGCACACACUGCAGGCCGUAAAUAAGGUAUGUUCAAAUAAAAAAAAAUACUUCUUACUCAAAUGUCAUACUCAAAUUACCAUCAAUAUAACUAAUGUCAUUUACAAAGUAACAAUUCAUAAUGUAUUAAUAUAACUCACUAGUCAAUGACCAGCCGCGCCCUGCUGCAGCCUUUUUUAUGGUCUGUUUCUUGAGUAAUAUUUCUUUCCGUAUAGAAUGCUUAACCUAUGAAGAAUUUGUAUACCUAAGAGCAUCUACUCCUCUUUCAAGCACUGGAUCAAGUUCAACACAUGCAUUCGUCAUGACCUCUUUCCUCCCAUGUUCGGCACUGCCAACUCUUUUACAUGCAGACUCACUUGUGUGAGUACUGGGGCUUGUAACUGAGAAAACUUCAUUCUCACCCACACUACUCUGACUGAGGGGUGAAGGAGGAAAUCUCUCUAAUUCUUCUUUUUCUUGUCAUAUGGCACCUAUAACCACAAUAAGGAGAUCGAAUUAAAGAUAAACUCUUAUGAUCCAAUAAUGCUACUACUAUACAACCGCGAAGGUAUAGAAUCAGGCCCUCACCCAACACCUCCAUCCUGGUCAUCAAAUUAUUAGCCAAAGGCAAAAGCUAUUCUCUUACUCUUUCUAUUGAAAUAUCCAAAAUAGUCUACAUUGACUUGUAAGGAUAACAAUGCACAACAUGUAUGCAAUUACAAAAUCCUAACAUUGUAGUGAGGUAUAAUGAGAUGUUGUGCAUAUCUAUUUGCUUGAUUAUCUUUAAAGGAUCUAAAAGUUGGCUUCCAGUUGUUUUUUAAACAACUUUCAGUGAACUGUCCAAUUAGAGAAAUGAUCAGAUCAAGCAUGUCAUCAUGCUACGUACACGCAACACCUAAACCAAACACAAUAAUCCACCAAUGAGCAUCCUAAACCAAAACAUAACGCAAAUUAACAGCAAAAUAGUUUGAAAAUAAAACCCACAGGGAUUCAAGUUAUGACAUUCGACAAACUUAUCGUGUCUUCAAAUUAUUGUUUCACAUAAAUUUAGUUUCAAAUACAACUCAUUUGCCAAACUUAGUAUGAACCGAUGAUUAGCUCAUAUCAUGCAUAUUAUUGGCUAGAACUGUUGGACAAACAUGAAGCAAAUAAUCGGCCAACAUUCAAACAUUCAUAGUCAUGCUAAAUAAGACUUAUCAGAACCCAGUAUGGAAAAAGAUUGAAAUAUCAAAUGCUUUUUCCCGAAAAGAGUAAAUUCUUAAAGAUCGUACCUUAAAACCAUCCAACCUGGAGGCCUCAGAAUCCACCACACAAAAAACUCCAAUUGGCUGAUCAAGAAAUUGCUCAAUAAGACACCAACUUGAACUUGGGAAUACAAAUUGGUAAUACACAAUCAGAAAGCAUAAGCAAAAACGCUUUUGGGCUCCACCUGAACUCGAUGAGGUCGCCAGAAGCUCAAGAACACUAUCGCCAGAAAACUUCAACGGGAACCCAGAAAUAUGCAGAAAAAUAAAGAAAUAGGAUUAGGGCUCUAACACGGAAAUUGAAGCUCAAGGAAGAGUGAAAACGAGAGGGAAGUGAUGGGGUUUACCUUCACCAAGCAUGGGCUCGCCGGAGAGAAAGAGAUUCGGCCAUAAAUCAUAUUUGGGGGUUAGAGUUUGGACUUCAAUCUAAAAAGUCUAUGGUUCUAAGUCGAAUUGGUGGGUAGCUAGGGGAAGGUGGAGAAGAGGAAGAUGAACAUUUUGGUGAUGAUCUUGCGGCAUGCGGUGGCCGGAAACAGCUACGCCAUGCCAGAGAUGGCGGAGGCAGGCGGAGAGGGAGAGAGAGCGGUCUGGGCUCGAGUUUGGGUUCUGACCAAAAUCAACAUGUAAUUACAGGUCUCUUCCCUUUUAUACUUGAUGGGAUCUUUAUUAAUUUUCUUUCGCAACAAAAAAAAAUGUGGGAAGUUUAAGUUUUGGUGAAAAAAUUGAGCGGGAGCUGAAAAGAAAAAUUCGAGUUUGAGGUGUAGUCAGCUCACACCAAUUACGGCGUGCAACUAUUGCACGCAGUAAAUACCUUAUACUUAUUAACGGCGCGCAAUGAAUGAAUGUCAUAAAUACAUCUUUAUUUACGGCGUGCUUUUAUUGUAAGCCGUAAAUAACUCGAGCCACAAUCUCAAUUACGGCACACUUCCGAAGCACACCAUAAAUAACUCUACAUAACAUUAUAUUUAUGGCAUGCUAUAAAUGCACGCCAUAAAUGACCCAUUUUUACGGCACGCAUUGACGUACGCCAUAAAUUUUAGGCGGUAAAAGCCCUGAAUUCUUGUAAUGCUUGGAAAACAGAUUUGGAGUUAAAGAAGAAGCUCUCUCCAGUAUCCAAUCUUUCCAAGUAAGAGAAGGGUGAGGAAAAGAGAAGGGAGGCUUACCAAAAAUGUAUUUCAAGAGAAAACAAGUGCAAAAGAGAUGAUCAAAGGACUCCACAGAUUGUUGACAAACAACACAGUUUAAAUCCCCAGUAAAUCCCUUCUGAUUUAAAGCCGACCUGGUUGGGAGAAGAUUAUGCACUGCUCGCCAUCCAAAAAUAGUGACCUUAUUAGGCACUUUAGCUUUCCAGAAUGCUUUUCAAAUUGGUAAAUAAGGAUCAACAUUUGAGCCAGUUGCAAUACAUAUACCAAGAUACAUGUUUCUAGCUACAAUAUAUGCUGAUUUCACAAAGAGAAAGCCUUUCUUGUCGAAUUUCCAAGAGAGUUUGUUCUAUGAAAAUCUUCUACUGAGGGGAAUAGCAAGAACUACAUCAGCCACUUCAGGGGGAAAGCACAUUCGGACAACAUGUAAAUGCCAAGACCAUGAAGACUCAUCAAUUAAAUCUGAUACUAGCUCAAAAAUAGUACGCUCAGGUUUAGAUAGUGAGGAGGCCGAAAAACCUGAAAUCCAGUCCGCAGUCCAGAUAUUGACUGAAGAACCAUUACCAAUGCACCAUUGAAGGCCAGCUUGUAGAACAUGCCAGCCUUCCAUGAUACUUCUCCAUGCAUAUGAAGGUCUUUCACCCAUAUCGGCUUCAAGAAAAGAGGUGUGUGGAUGAUAGAUGGCUUUGAAGAGUUGAGCAGCUAAGGAGUUCGGAUUUGUAAGAAGCCUCCAACCUUGCUUAGCUAACAUAGCUAGGUUAUGUGAAAACAAAUGUUUAAACCCCAUCCCACCUUGAUCUUUGGGAAGACACAUCUGAUCCCAAGACCGCUAAUGAAUUUUCUUUUUUUUUUCUGCAGUACUUCCCUAGAAAAACUCACAACAAAGUUGUUGAAGAUCCUCACAGAGAGUCUUGGGAAGAGCAUAACAGUUCAUCACAUAAUUCGGAAAAGGCUAACCAACUACCUUGAUUAAAAGUUCUUUACCUCCUAAACUGAGAAGCUUCUCUCUCCAACUGAUAAGCUUCUUACUUAACUUUUCCUUAAGAAAAUUAAAUAUGGCUGUCUUAUUUUGUCCAACUUGAAUAGGGAGGCCUAAGUAAAGACCAUGCUCCUCUACACAUUCAACCCCCAGAAUGGAAGCUAAUAUAUUCUUCUUCUCAGGUUGCACAUUGCCGCUGAAAACGACAUUUGAUUUCUACAGAUUAAUAUGUUGACCAGAUGCCCUUGCAUAGGUAGACAAAAUAUGUUUAUAAGCUUGACAUUCUUAUAUAGAAGCUUCACCAAAGAGAAAGCUAUCGUCUGUAAAAAGUAAGUGGUGAAUGGUGGGGGCUGUAGGAGAAACCGAAAUCCUUGGAUUAAACCCUGCCUCUAAGAUGCAGAUAUAUAGGAGGACAGUCCUUCUGCAGCCAAAAUGAAUAGAUAUGGAGAUAGAGGAUCGCCUUGACGAAUCCCUCUAGUAGGUAAGAUAAAACCAGUAGGAGUACCAUAUAUCAGAAUUGAGUAACUAACCAAUUUAACUGUCGCCAAGACAAUGUUAACCCAGGUGUGGCAAAAGCCCAGCUUCAGAAGGAUUACUUCCAAAAAAACUCCACUCUAACGUAUCAUAGGCCUUUGAAAUAUCAAGUUUCAAUGAGAAGAAACCUUGUAACUGCCGGCGAAGCUUUUUCAUGAAACGAGCAAUUUCAGUAGCUACUAGAGUAUUAUCCGAGAUUAAGCGACCCGAUACGAAUGCGCUUUGAAGAGGAGAGAUCACUUGUGGGAGGAUGUGUUUCAGUCUGUUUGCAUAGGUGAUCUUUAUUCGUUAAUCCAACUUUUGAACGGUUAAGAUUAUGAUUUAUAUUGCCGAAAGUGUGUAAAUAACAGAGAGUCCGAACGCACACGUACAUACUAGUCCGAACGCAAGUAUUUUCCGUGAAGAAUUAAAACAGUUUUCUGUUUGGUGAAUGUUACUUUUAAAACUGGUAUCAAAACAUAAAGUACCAUUUUUUGUGUUUUUAUUGACAACAAUUUCUAAAAGCAACCUCAAGGCUGUUUUCCACUUAUUUGUAAUUUUCAAAUAAAGAUGCUUCUGUUUAGUUUACCAAACACAAUAAAAUUUAGAAGUUUAGAUAAAAACUUAUUUUUUUUAAAAGCGAAGCUGUACCAAACUAAGUCUUAGAGUACUUUUUAGUUUCGAUUGUUCAAUAUUAGUGGUGAUGUUGUAUGAAGGGUGCGAUUCAUCUAUGGAUUUAAGUGGCCUUUGAACAUGUCUCUUGCAACAGGAUAUAUGGCAUUCAAGUUACAGCCGUGGCGAAUGGUUUGGGAUGGGUGAUGAUAUCAUAAUUAUUUCUUGCUUCCUAUUAGUUAUAAACUAUGUUAUCUACAUUUCAAAAAACUAAUAAAAAAAAAAAAAAUAAGUCAUCAAAGUGAUAAUAUUAGUUUUCAAAGUUGUAAAUGAGUCCUUAAAGUUGUAAAUAUUAUUAGUUACCACAUGAGUCCUUAAAGUAAUAAUACUAAUCCUUAAAGUAUUAUUCAUGUAUUCCCUAUUAUAAGAGACGAUAAGUGUGCUUCUACCCUCCCAUAUACUUGGACACCAACUGUUUCCAGAGAGAUAUCGAGUACGACUUGUAAUCGGUCGAAAAUAGGAAAAACUUCUGGUUUCGAAAAGGACGGAAAGAAGAAACGAAAGUGGUCCGCUUGUGAAGACCAGAUCCUCAGUGACUACGUCAAGAAGCACGGUCCAGGCAAAUGGGGCAAAAUAGCAAAAGAGAUUGGCAAGUUCAUACCUUCAUAUUUACUUUCGACAUACAACCUUGUGAUUUUAUGAAAUUAAUCAAUUAAUUCACUUAAUUAACGACGACCCUGUGUAGCUUAGGUGUGAUUCGCAUGCAUGGAUUGGAAGCCAAAAUUACAAAGUUACACCAGUGGCGAAUGGAUUAAUUGGUUGCUUAUUAAUCAGCACUUAACUACGUGUGCAGGUCUGGGGAGAUGUGGAAAGAGUGUGAGCUAGACUAAGAUUGUUGAAUUACCUAAGGCCCGAUAUCAAGCAUGGCAACAUUAGGGAAGAUGAAGAAGAUCUUAUUAUCAGGAUGCACAAGCUCGUAGGCAGAAGGUCCUUAUAUAUUAGGUUUUUCUAUUUUAGUUUUGAGAACUCAAAGAAAUUAAAUCUACUUGCUUCAUUUCAGAGAUUAAUACAAAGUAGACGUGUGCAGGUGGUCAUUGAUAGCAGGAAGGAUUCCGGGUCGAACUGACAAUGAAACAAAGAACUACUGGAUCUCCACUCUAAGUAAGAAGCUGGCAGAAGAAAAAAGAAAGAAACCAGAAGUGCCGAGAAACGAGAUUGCCAAGGAGAACUUACCAUCCCCCGUUGAGGACGAUGGUCAUCCACAUCCGACCAAAUGCCAAUAAUGUUAAUGUAGAAGAUCAUUAGCAUCGACGUCGUUAUACCAAUAACAGUACUACAAUAAGUGCCAGGAAACGAGAUUGCCAAGGAGAACUUACCAUCCCCCGUUGAGGACGAUGGUCAUCCACAUCCAACCAAAUGCCAAUAAUGUUGAUGUAGAAGAUCAUUAGCAUCGACGUCGUUAUACCAAUAACAGUACUACAAUAAGUGCCGGAGUGGGGGAGUCGGAAACAAUGUUCAACCAACUGGGGACUAUCUCAAUGAUGACGCUAUGCCCUAGAACGAUUGGAUAAUGGAUCUGAACGAAGGGCAACUCGACGUAUCUGAAUUUCUCCAAACUGACUUUUCAAACUUUUGGGAAGAAUCAGAUAUGUUCAUGAACAUUGAACUCGGAGGUUGCAGCACCAUUAACCAUGAGUGGCCAAUGUUGGAAUGAACUUAGCAUUUUGAGUCCUAAGGCAUAACAACUUCUAUAAUAUAUGCAGAAUAAACAUUGUGAGAUUAAAUUUAUCUAAAUGAAAUGGUUAGAUAAGUAAUGAAAUACAAUCGAAUUAUCUUGUUAAACAAGAUAAUAUAGAUGUACUAAUAUUGUUGUUUUCUAAUGGAACUCAAACUCUUUGACGGACAGAAUUUGAGCUAUCUAAAAUGCAGUAUAUAAGGAGGUCUCUAUGCACACUCUAAACUACGCCAAUACGAGUCUCUCUCCAUCUGAGCUUGGUAACUGAGUGCUGCAUAGAAGAUCUCUUAUCUUUGGAGCUCUUGGCCUACAUCAGCAACUACGGUAAACAUGUUGUAUAUCCUCAUCCUUGUUCUAUGACCUUGUAUGAGUUGUAUCUAUAUAUGUGUUUAUGCUUAAGUGUUUUGCUCUUGUGGUUGUAUUAUAACAGCCAAAUACUUGAGGUGGUUAAAUAUCUUCCCGAGCUUCUUGUUUUUCUUUCCGUACGUAUAGGAAAUAUUGAUUCUUGCAUAUAUUAAUUCGACUGUGAUUUGCAUGGCAAUGCCACUAUAGUAAUAAGAUUAUUGGUCACUUUAGAAUCGAAUAAAUUGGUUUUACUCAUAUAUAUCGUAAUUUUCCUAUCAAUGAAAUUAAUCAAUUGCAAUUUGUUUACUUCAAAAAUUGUCAACAUUCGGGUGUUGGUGACUACUGCUAUAAAAGUGUUGUACUAGACAACAGCGACAAAUUAUGCUUUUCAGAUGACCGUGGCUGGUUGUUUGACGACAUAGUUGAUAGGAUUUCGAUCAUCACAUGGUAGUUCAUGUAUAGGUUUGGCUUUUGGGUUCCUUACUUGGAUUCAUUGUUUCGUAUGCUUCCAUAAUAGUAAGGGGAUGCUGGAAAUUUAGGUAUCAAAGAACCAAGACAGACAUAACUCCAAUUUUCCUUAUAUAUAUAUAUAUAUAUAUAUAUAUAUAUAUAUAGUACNNNNNNNNNNNNNNNNNNNNNNNNNNNNNNNNNNNNNNNNNNNNNNNNNNNNNNNNNNNNNNNNNNNNNNNNNNNNNNNNNNNNNNNNNNNNNNNNNNNNNNNNNNNNNNNNNNNNNNNNNNNNNNNNNNNNNNNNNNNNNNNNNNNNNNNNNNNNNNNNNNNNNNNNNNNNNNNNNNNNNNNNNNNNNNNNNNNNNNNNNNNNNNNNNNNNNNNNNNNNNNNNNNNNNNNNNNNNNNNNNNNNNNNNNNNNNNNNNNNNNNNNNNNNNNNNNNNNNNNNNNNNNNNNNNNNNNNNNNNNNNNNNNNNNNNNNNNNNNNNNNNNNNNNNNNNNNNNNNNNNNNNNNNNNNNNNNNNNNNNNNNNNNNNNNNNNNNNNNNNNNNNNNNNNNNNNNNNNNNNNNNNNNNNNNNNNNNNNNNNNNNNNNNNNNNNNNNNNNNNNNNNNNNNNNNNNNNNNNNNNNNNNNNNNNNNNNNNNNNNNNNNNNNNNNNNNNNNNNNNNNNNNNNNNNNNNNNNNNNNNNNNNNNNNNNNNNNNNNNNNNNNNNNNNNNNNNNNNNNNNNNNNNNNNNNNNNNNNNNNNNNNNNNNNNNNNNNNNNNNNNNNNNNNNNNNNNNNNNNNNNNNNNNNNNNNNNNNNNNNNNNNNNNNNNNNNNNNNNNNNNNNNNNNNNNNNNNNNNNNNNNNNNNNNNNNNNNNNNNNNNNNNNNNNNNNNNNNNNNNNNNNNNNNNNNNNNNNNNNNNNNNNNNNNNNNNNNNNNNNNNNNNNNNNNNNNNNNNNNNNNNNNNNNNNNNNNNNNNNNNNNNNNNNNNNNNNNNNNNNNNNNNNNNNNNNNNNNNNNNNNNNNNNNNNNNNNNNNNNNNNNNNNNNNNNNNNNNNNNNNNNNNNNNNNNNNNNNNNNNNNNNNNNNNNNNNNNNNNNNNNNNNNNNNNNNNNNNNNNNNNNNNNNNNNNNNNNNNNNNNNNNNNNNNNNNNNNNNNNNNNNNNNNNNNNNNNNNNNNNNNNNNNNNNNNNNNNNNNNNNNNNNNNNNNNNNNNNNNNNNNNNNNNNNNNNNNNNNNNNNNNNNNNNNNNNNNNNNNNNNNNNNNNNNNNNNNNNNNNNNNNNNNNNNNNNNNNNNNNNNNNNNUUUGUGAAUUUUAGUCAUCGGAAUCACAACGUGUCUACUAAUGUUGUAUAACUUGUUUAGUAGGUUAUACAACUUUGUGAACCAACUCUAUAUAGGAAGCAAAAUUAUCAAAAAUCUCGUGAAAUAAGAUGUGUUCAGAAUGGUGAAAUACGCUAUGGUUCAAAAAUCACGUAAAUUGGGUAAAGUCUCGGUGCCGAUAGUAGCGGUCAACCCUAUUUACCGUUAUUAUUCCUAUAUGGAGCCCUAUCGUCGGAAGGCAAAUGUCUCAAAAUUUUUAUAUAGGCGGUUGUGUCUCAUCUACGUGAAAGUUUUUCGUGUGGAAGGUUUGACCAAACUACUUAAUAUAGAGGGAGAUAUGAGCGUUUUCGUGAAUUUAUAGACUUUAGCCGACGAUAUAUUAAAAAAGUCGUCGGCUAAGGUCAAAAAUUUUUGGGAGGAAAAUUUUCAAAGGACUUUAGCCGACGAAAAUAUAUGAAAAGUCGUCGGCUAAAGUCGAAAAAUUUUCAAAAUUUUUUGGCGGUCAACCAAAAUUUUCAAAAUUUUCAAAAGAGUUUAGCCGACGAAAAUAAAGAAUUUUGUCGGCUAGAGUUCUUUAUAUAGGAGUUUUACCGAAGGUGGAUGGUAAGAAGUCUAUUUCGCCUGCCAGAUUUUCUUCUCGGCCUAGCUCCGCCGUCAAGCCACCGGAGACCGCCACACUUGUCCCAAAAGCUUCGCUGUCGUCUCUACUUCAUUGCUGGACAGGUGGUGCAUCGAGUGGCGCCGCCGUGAGAGAUAAAUCGAGCUCCAAAACUCCGCCGGUUCGGAUUCGGUGUCGAUCGAAUUUCUCCUUCCUUAGGUCACCAUUUGGUGAGUUCUAUAUAUGGAUAAGUUGAGUUUGAUUAGUACUACAUUCCCCUAGAAUUUGGUAGCUCGAUUCGGUAUGUGUGAGGAGAAUCGAAGAUUUGAAGUUUUUAGGGUUUAAAAUUGGGGAUUUUUAUAUUUUGAUUCAAUUAACCUAUUUAGGCUUAGAAUUGGGCUUCGACUUCUUCUAGAAAGUUGUUCGAAAUGUUGAGAGGAAGAUUCUGUCAAAUUUUGGUGGUGAUUGGAGGUGACCGAAAGUUUUUGCAGUUUUUUUUUCAAAAACCAGCAACUUUAGCCGACGAUAUUUAAAGGUUUAGCCGACGAUAUUUAAAGGUUUAUUCGUCGGCUAUAGUAUUUUUAAAUUUUUUUAUAAGGUUUAGCCGACGAAUUAUGGCAUAUUUCGUCGGCUAUAGUUAUUUUUUAAAUUUUUUUAUAAGGUUAGCCGACAAAACAGACUAUAUUUCGUCGGCUAUAGUUAUUUUUUAAAAUUUUUUAUAAGGUUUAGCCGACGAAACAGACUAUAUUUCGUCGGCAGUAGUUAUUUUUUUAAAUUUUUUUUUUAUAAGGUUUAGCCGACGAAACAUACUAUAUUUCGUCGGCUAUAGUCUGGGAAAAAAUUUUUAUUACAGACUUUAGCUAACGAAUAUCUUAAUUGUUUCGUCGGUUAAAGUCUGGGAAAAAAACCGACGACAUGUUUUUCGUCGGCUAAACUGCGGGACUAUGGCCGACGAAAUUUUUUUUUUCGUCGGCUAAAGUCAUCACUGACGACCUUUUCCCGACGAAAUCUUAGCCGACGAUGGCUCGUCGGCUAAGAUCUUAGCCGACGAAUUAAGCUAACAAGCCGACGAAAAUUUUUCGUCGGCUAAAGUGCUUGUCCUGGUAGUGGAAGUAUUCCAUCCAAGCGAAUGACAAAAACUCCCUAAAAACCCACCUGAGGCAUCACGAAACACACCCCCCCAAGCUGCUGGACCUUGAUUGCCUUUUGCUAAAUCGUCUGUGUUAACUUUGAUCCAAGGAAAAAACGGAGGCUGCCAUAAGACAUGUUGAAUUCUAUGAGCCUUACCACCUUUAGGAGCAACUCCAAGAGAGGCCAAUAAACGGGCAUCAAGAACACCCUUAUAGUGACCAGGAGCAAAAAGGCUAAUUUGACGAAUCCAUGCCAUAAUAGAGCAACACAUUGUAUAGAAAUUAGGGGAUCGAUUAUCAAACCUUAGCUUAUUCCGAGCCUUCCAUAGAGCCAUGAAAGUAAAUAUGCCAGCUGCUAGCCACAAAUUAAAAAGCUGCGAGGAGAAAGGCUUUCGACAAUAGCUCUUCCAAAAAUCUAUCAGGGAGUUGACACUACCAGAAGAAAGGCUUUAGCCGACGAAAAUAAAAAAACCAGGCCAACGUAAUUUUUUUUUCGUCGGCUAAAGUCCACUUUAGCCGACGUAAUUUUUUUUCGUCGGCUAUGGUCAACUUUAGCCGAGGAAAGUAAUAUUUCAUCGGCUGAAUAAUUUUUUUCGUCGGCUAUAGUCUGUGAACUUUAGCCGACGAAAUUUUUAAAAGUUUAACCGACGAAGAAAAUUCGUCGGCUAAAGUGGACUUUAGCCGACUAAAUUUUUAAACUUUAGCCGACGAAAUUUUUAAAAGUUUAGCCGACGAAAAAAUAUAAUUUCGUCGGCUAAAGUGCCUUAUAUUUGCAGAUCUAGACAACAACUCAUCUGAGAAAAAAAAACUAUACGUAGAACCUUCAAACGCAAAAAAGUCGUGAAAUAAGAUAUGACCAGAACGCUGAAAUACGACUACGGUUGAAAAAUCACAGUAUUCCGGUAAAGUCUCGGUGCCGAUAGUUGACUUACCCUUACUAUUCACUAUGUUGCAGAUUUGGCGUUUGGUGUCUGAUUGACUAUUGUGAUACCUUUUCGGAAGCGUAACGGCGGUACGAGUCAGAAUCAUUGCUAAUGCCAUGAUGUAUAGGCUUUUUUGGCCAUCCGAGUCCGUUUAGGGCUUGAAAUGCAGUUUUCUUAUUUUUCGAUUUAGAGUUGACCGUUUCGAUCGAGCCCUUAACGUUGUCGAAUCCAGUUGAAUUUUUUACCAUAGACAUCUUUCGUCAUAAUGAUCAUAUCUGACGGUCGNNNNNNNNNNNNNNNNNNNNNNNNNNNNNNNNNNNNNNNNNNNNNNNNNNNNNNNNNNNNNNNNNNNNNNNNNNNNNNNNNNNNNNNNNNNNNNNNNNNNNNNNNNNNNNNNNNNNNNNNNNNNNNNNNNNNNNNNNNNNNNNNNNNNNNNNNNNNNNNNNNNNNNNNNNNNNNNNNNNNNNNNNNNNNNNNNNNNNNNNNNNNNNNNNNNNNNNNNNNNNNNNNNNNNNNNNNNNNNNNNNNNNNNNNNNNNNNNNNNNNNNNNNNNNNNNNNNNNNNNNNNNNNNNNNNNNNNNNNNNNNNNNNNNNNNNNNNNNNNNNNNNNNNNNNNNNNNNNNNNNNNNNNNNNNNNNNNNNNNNNNNNNNNNNNNNNNNNNNNNNNNNNNNNNNNNNNNNNNNNNNNNNNNNNNNNNNNNNNNNNNNNNNNNNNNNNNNNNNNNNNNNNNNNNNNNNNNNNNNNNNNNNNNNNNNNNNNNNNNNNNNNNNNNNNNNNNNNNNNNNNNNNNNNNNNNNNNNNNNNNNNNNNNNNNNNNNNNNNNNNNNNNNNNNNNNNNNNNNNNNNNNNNNNNNNNNNNNNNNNNNNNNNNNNNNNNNNNNNNNNNNNNNNNNNNNNNNNNNNNNNNNNNNNNNNNNNNNNNNNNNNNNNNNNNNNNNNNNNNNNNNNNNNNNNNNNNNNNNNNNNNNNNNNNNNNNNNNNNNNNNNNNNNNNNNNNNNNNNNNNNNNNNNNNNNNNNNNNNNNNNNNNNNNNNNNNNNNNNNNNNNNNNNNNNNNNNNNNNNNNNNNNNNNNNNNNNNNNNNNNNNNNNNNNNNNNNNNNNNNNNNNNNNNNNNNNNNNNNNNNNNNNNNNNNNNNNNNNNNNNNNNNNNNNNNNNNNNNNNNNNNNNNNNNNNNNNNNNNNNNNNNNNNNNNNNNNNNNNNNNNNNNNNNNNNNNNNNNNNNNNNNNNNNNNNNNNNNNNNNNNNNNNNNNNNNNNNNNNNNNNNNNNNNNNNNNNNNNNNNNNNNNNNNNNNNNNNNNNNNNNNNNNNNNNNNNNNNNNNNNNNNNNNNNNNNNNNNNNNNNNNNNNNNNNNNNNNNNNNNNNNNNNNNNNNNNNNNNNNNNNNNNNNNNNNNNNNNNNNNNNNNNNNNNNNNNNNNNNNNNNNNNNNNNNNNNNNNNNNNNNNNNNNNNNNNNNNNNNNNNNNNNNNNNNNNNNNNNNNNNNNNNNNNNNNNNNNNNNNNNNNNNNNNNNNNNNNNNNNNNNNNNNNNNNNNNNNNNNNNNNNNNNNNNNNNNNNNNNNNNNNNNNNNNNNNNNNNNNNNNNNNNNNNNNNNNNNNNNNNNNNNNNNNNNNNNNNNNNNNNNNNNNNNNNNNNNNNNNNNNNNNNNNNNNNNNNNNNNNNNNNNNNNNNNNNNNNNNNNNNNNNNNNNNNNNNNNNNNNNNNNNNNNNNNNNNNNNNNNNNNNNNNNNNNNNNNNNNNNNNNNNNNNNNNNNNNNNNNNNNNNNNNNNNNNNNNNNNNNNNNNNNNNNNNNNNNNNNNNNNNNNNNNNNNNNNNNNNNNNNNNNNNNNNNNNNNNNNNNNNNNNNNNNNNNNNNNNNNNNNNNNNNNNNNNNNNNNNNNNNNNNNNNNNNNNNNNNNNNNNNNNNNNNNNNNNNNNNNNNNNNNNNNNNNNNNNNNNNNNNNNNNNNNNNNNNNNNNNNNNNNNNNNNNNNNNNNNNNNNNNNNNNNNNNNNNNNNNNNNNNNNNNNNNNNNNNNNNNNNNNNNNNNNNNNNNNNNNNNNNNNNNNNNNNNNNNNNNNNNNNNNNNNNNNNNNNNNNNNNNNNNNNNNNNNNNNNNNNNNNNNNNNNNNNNNNNNNNNNNNNNNNNNNNNNNNNNNNNNNNNNNNNNNNNNNNNNNNNNNNNNNNNNNNNNNNNNNNNNNNNNNNNNNNNNNNNNNNNNNNNNNNNNNNNNNNNNNNNNNNNNNNNNNNNNNNNNNNNNNNNNNNNNNNNNNNNNNNNNNNNNNNNNNNNNNNNNNNNNNNNNNNNNNNNNNNNNNNNNNNNNNNNNNNNNNNNNNNNNNNNNNNNNNNNNNNNNNNNNNNNNNNNNNNNNNNNNNNNNNNNNNNNNNNNNNNNNNNNNNNNNNNNNNNNNNNNNNNNNNNNNNNNNNNNNNNNNNNNNNNNNNNNNNNNNNNNNNNNNNNNNNNNNNNNNNNNNNNNNNNNNNNNNNNNNNNNNNNNNNNNNNNNNNNNNNNNNNNNNNNNNNNNNNNNNNNNNNNNNNNNNNNNNNNNNNNNNNNNNNNNNNNNNNNNNNNNNNNNNNNNNNNNNNNNNNNNNNNNNNNNNNNNNNNNNNNNNNNNNNNNNNNNNNNNNNNNNNNNNNNNNNNNNNNNNNNNNNNNNNNNNNNNNNNNNNNNNNNNNNNNNNNNNNNNNNNNNNNNNNNNNNNNNNNNNNNNNNNNNNNNNNNNNNNNNNNNNNNNNNNNNNNNNNNNNNNNNNNNNNNNNNNNNNNNNNNNNNNNNNNNNNNNNNNNNNNNNNNNNNNNNNNNNNNNNNNNNNNNNNNNNNNNNNNNNNNNNNNNNNNNNNNNNNNNNNNNNNNNNNNNNNNNNNNNNNNNNNNNNNNNNNNNNNNNNNNNNNNNNNNNNNNNNNNNNNNNNNNNNNNNNNNNNNNNNNNNNNNNNNNNNNNNNNNNNNUAACCAUCGACAAUUUUGUCUAAAACCAGAAGCAACCGACCAAAAACCUGGCCAAAUUGAGGAUUUGCAAUAGCCCAGCUUGCAGGCAGAUAGAAUAGGAUACCUUGACCGUACGUAAUCCCCCCAUUGAUAAUGAGAAGAGAAAGAAUCCCAAGCAAACUUUAGGAUAGCAACUGAAUUAAGAGAGGAAAGAUCAUGAAUACCAAGCCCACCUUCCAGCUUUGGGGCACAAACCUGAGCCUAACGAAUAGUGACGAUUUUCCGAGUCCCUAUAUUACCAGACAAAAUAAAGUUUCGUGCCCAUGAAGUUAGCUUCUUCACCAAAUACACCGGCCACUGAUACACAGAAAAACUAUGAAGCAACAUACUUUGAAAAACUGAUUGCACCAAUUGAGUCCGACCAGCCAUAGAAAGAAGCCGUCCCUGCCAACCCAUAAGUCUUGAUUUUGCUUUAUCAGCAAUAACUUGAAGAUGACACCUCCGAGGCUUGCCACAAAAAAUUGGGACACCCAAAUAAAUAAAAGGCAAUCGACCUGCAUGGAACCCCAAUAUUCGUUGAAUUGUCGCUUGCCUAUGAUGAUACUUGGCACCAAGGUAAAAAGUAUUUUUCGCCGCAUUAAUAUAUUGACCAGAAGCUGCACUAUAACGGUAAAAAAACCUUCUCAAAUGGCUAAGAGAUAAUUUAUCCCCACGACAAAAAACAAUAAGGUCAUCUGCAUAUAAAACAUGAGAAGGGGGAGUGCAGGUUCUAGGAAAAGAUAUAGGCUUCAAUCGACCCGAACCAAGUAACAUAGAUAAACCACAGCUGAGAGCUUCAUCGGCAAGACAAAAUAAUAAUGGAGAAAGAGGAUCCCCUUGCCUCGCACCACGAGAACAAGAGAAAAACCCAUGAGGAGAACCAUUAAUUAAGAUUGAUAACCUUGCCGACUUAAGAAUAGUAAUAAUCCAACUGGUGAAAAUAUUAGAGAACCCAAAAUUCUUGAGGACUCUAUGUAGAAAAUCCCAAUGCAGCGUAUCAAAUGCCUUAGCAAUAUCCACUUUGAUUCCCACAUUACCACCGUAGGCCUUGCGAUCAAGGAGAUUAAAGCAUUCAGACACUGUGCCAAUGCAACUAGUAAUCCGCCUACCUGGAAUAAAAGCACAUUGCGCUGGAGAUAUUAUACGAUCAGCAAUUGGUCCCAAACGAGAAGCCAAGAUCUUUGGAAUUAUCUUGAAAAGAAAGUUGGCUAAGGCAAUCGGCCUAAAUUGAGUAAUUUCAUGGGCAUCCUGAACUUUUGGAAGAAGAACCAAGAAGUUGCAAUUGAUGUUAGGAAGCAGCCAAUUUUGCAUAAAAAAAUUGCCUCACACAUGCAACAACAUCCGAACCGACAAUAUCCCAACAAGAUUGAUAAAAACAACCUGGAAAUCCAUCAGGGCCUGGUGCACUGGAAGCAUCCAUAGCAAAGACAGCAUUUUUGAUUUCUUCAGUAUAAGGGAUUACUGUAAGCCAAUCAUUUUCUGCAUUGGUGACCAAAGAAGGAAUAACAUAGCAUACCUCAUCUAGAUUCCUUGGAGUAGAGGAGGAAGAAUAAAGAUUUUGAUAAAACCCCACUACAUGAGCUGCAAUAUCUGAGGGUUCAAAAAGAAUCCUUUCUCCAUCAUGAAUUGAAGACAUUCAGGCACUAGUAGAACGAACCUUGGCAUAGGCAUGGAAAAAUGAAGUACUACGAUCCCCAUCCGUGAGCCAUUUUACUCGAGCUCUAUCCUUCCAAUAGCUUUCUUACAUCUUGACCGCAUUCAAAACACGAAAUUUUGCAUCAACCUCAUCUUCAAAUUUUUGGUUAGUCAUACCAUGAAUAGCAAUGUCCUGCUGAAUUGCAGAUAAAGCUUCACGAGCCUUAUUAACAUUCUGAUGGACAUCCCCAAAUACCAUUUUAUUCCAAUUUCGCAAGCAAGAUUUCAAGGCCUUCAAUUUUUGCACAGUGACAUACAUCGGGCAGCCCCAAAACUUACUAGAAGUCCAACAUGUAGCUACUGUGUCACGAAAAGUAGGGUGAUUCAACCACAUGGACUGGAACCGAAAAGGCUUUGGACCACUUGGGGAGAGCUUUGAAGCAGAGAAAAUUAAAGGAGUGUGAUCAGAAACUACCCGAGGUAGGGCAAUACAACUAGAAUAAGGCCAUGCUUCAAACCAACUAGUAUUGCAAAAGGAUCUGUCUAAUCGAAGCUCCACAUGCACCCUAGUUCCACAACCAUUUGUCCAAGUAAAACGGGCACCUACAGUGUCCAAAUGGACAAAAUCACAAGCAUCUGACAUAUUCUGGAACUCCAAGCAAGAAAUACGAUAUGGAGGAGGACCCCCUGACUUCUCAUGAGCUCCCAACACAGAAUUAAAGUCACCAAUUGCCAUCCAGGGGAUAGUGGUUUGAGCACUAAUAACUGAGAAGUCAUGCCAUAAAUCCCUGCGCUUAAUGUAAGAAGUAGAAGCAUAAACAAAAGAAAAUUGACUAAGCUCAUUAUCAAAAGAAACCUGAAUAGUAACUUGUUGCUUCGUGUUAGAUAUGAUCAUUGGACUAGGAACAUGACGACCUCUUAGCAACCAAAGAUUUGGAAGCCUGGAUCCUCGAUCAUUAACCGUAACAAAGUCCAAAUUUAAAGCAGACCAGAAUGCUGAAGAGAUUGAGUCAAAGGCUACCAUCGGCUCAGAAAUACAAACCAGAUCAAGUCUUUGAGUACGACAAAUAUUUAAAAGUUCAGAUUGAGAGUCAGAGUUACCGACUCCCCUAAUAUUCCAAUAAAGAACCUUCAUUAUGCAUACUUUUGAUUUUUUUUCCAGUCCCUUUUUGGAUAAGGACCCUCACUAGCAGCAGCAACAACAACAUGCUUGGCUUGUUGUUUCUGUUUUUUCUUCUGUGAUUUUGAAAGAGCCUUAACAAAAUCGUCCUCCACUAGAACUCCUUUCUCAACAUGGCUAGUUAUUAAAGAAACAUCCUUUGCUAAAACACCCACAUGCUCAAAACCAGGGGGGACUGCACCUGUGGAAACCUCAGUUUGAUUAUUUAAUUGGUCCUCCACUACCGUGUCAUGCCAACUUUGACUCUGUGGAGAAUUAUAAGUCCUCUCUAAGCUAUGAUUAUUAUGACCACUAUCAUCCUCAUAUAUUUCCUCAACGCUAGAAUCAUCAAUAUCAUCAUAAUCCUCAUCAUCCUCAUCAACCUCAUUAGCAUGGCCAGCAAAAACAUUCAUACUUAUAUUACCAGCCACCAGAUGAGUAUUGUGCACAUUCUCAAUCACAAAGCCAUCACCUUUCUCGUGAGCAUUUUCAACCAUUACUUCUGUAACAUUCUCAUGAAGGACUGAAAACUUAUUUCCAUUAAGCACCGAAUCAUCGACACGAUUGGAAGAGGGUUCCGUGGGUUCAUUGAUAACCAAACCAGCAAUACGAUCCAGCUCGUUGUCCACCACCUCCUUUAAAGCUUGGUCAACAAAUUGUGUAAUCCUUACAUCUGAAACUGACUUUGUAGGAAGAGAUUGCUGCGCCGAGGGUUUGUACGUUUUUCACUCUGUACUCUUGACGAAUGACCUAUUUAGGGUGCUUGGAGCCCUCCACCACCCUUUUAUAGUGCAUAGGAUCAUCUUUAGCUGACUCCUUGUUACGGUGUUUGCAACGAUCAAUGGUGUGCCCGACCAUACCACAAUUAUCACACAUAUUCUCAUACACAACAUCAAUGGGAAAACAAUGUGUUUCUCUCUCAACCAUCAAUGAAAACGGUAAAUUACCUGCCAGAUCAACAUCGACAAGAACUCUAGCAAAAAAGCCAAAUUCUCUUUCUUUGGUAGCUUUAUCCAAUUGCAAUGGAGUUCCCACACCUCUAGCUAUCUCCAUAAGAUGUUGCGGAUGCCAGUAGUCCUGGCUUAAACCAUACAGCCUCACCCAAAUUUGGGAGUGAGUUUGACGCAGAGCAUCACCAGGCUUGAAAUCAGGCUGCCACUGUGAUAGCCGGAACAAACCGCUAGCAAGAGUGCAAGUGCCUCCACCCCAAACAUAUAUAUCUAUUGUUUGGAAACAAAUUUAAAUAGUGCAUGUGGUUGUACGUAAGCGUAUGAUCUCUUACUAAGUCUUUUUGUUCGUGUAGUAUUGUGACGUACGUAAUGACAUCAACCAACAUGUAACACAAAGUGAUCGAGAGUAGAUAUCGAUCGAGAGCUAGAAAAAUAAUCGAUGAAACUUGUCUUGUUCACUUCAUUGCUUAACUAAAAGAAAAACCCUAAUUGUCUUUUUUAAGUACAAGUUUGAACAUGAAAUUAAUAGUUUGAGGUAUGAUCUUGAAGGGUGGAACUACUUUUGUCAUCUGCAUUCUUCUUUUAAGCAGUAUAUAUUCUUGUACGUAGUAAAACCCAAAUUAAGUCAUAUGAAUAAGAACUAUUUGUCUACAUUCGUAGAAGCUCAUUCAUAAUUGUGCAUAUUUCCCCAAACAGUCCCUAUUCACAUUAAUUUCUGUCUCCUCACAAAUAACAUACAAGUAACAAGAGGAAUAAAAAUCCAGUAGCAAUGGAGGGAUUGGAGGGCAUCGAUCCAGACCACAAAUCAAUGGCCGGGAAAAAAAAAAGCUAGGGUUUUCCAUCCCACGCAAAACACAUUGAAGAAUGUAAUGCCAAACCCCGUAAGGUUGCAGGGUCUUUUUCCCCAGUAAAGACUAAAACAUGCCAGCUACUAGUAAAGGCUCAAUAUAUGAGACUGGGAAUAUGGAAAUCAAUCAGAUGAUCGCUAUUGAGAAUCUGAGAUGAUCGAUUAUGAAAUGGUUGCACGGUUCCCAAACAACUGGAACAUUUUCUUUGUAGUUUAGCCUUUACUGAAUAGACGUACUGGACCAGUUUGCACUUGGUUUUCUAGUUAGCUAGUAGUUGAAGACAAUAGUUCAUAAAACCAGUCAUUGUUUUGCUCCUGCAGAAAUGGCACUACAUGCAUGUGAAUAUCUUUGGAAUCUUUUUAUGGAUCAUUACUACCUCCAGCAUAUAUAUAACAAAGGCAAGGGUUUCGUUAUUCGUAGUGUACACUAAUAAAAAUUUCCCCAUUGGUGACUGAUAGGUUUAAGUCCCUAUUGUGGACAAUGCACACUGAUAAGAGUGUAAAAUGCUAUUAUCACCCCUACAGCCACUCUUAAGGGAUCAGUCCCCUCUAUAGCAGGUGCUAUUAGGUCAUUAGACACUGAUAAAACAUCAGUGUAAAGUUAUAUGAAAAGUUAAAAAGUCUACUGGUGUCAUUGCUGCCGACGACGUUAAUUACCAGAAGAGUGCGAAUGAAGAAAUGAGAUUCAGUAACAAGGAAUUUAGGAACGCAUCCAAAAGACAAAAGGAAUUUAGGAACUUGUCCUUACCACCAUCAUGAACUGAUAUUAGUUAGACAAGAAGGGAAGAUAUCUAGAGUGACAUGUGCUAAGCAAGACCUAACAUUUGGAUUCUACAAUCUAAUAAACCAGAAAGUUCUGCUGCACAAGCACCACAAUUUAUAUCCAAAUGUUAAUGAACACUAGUCUCACCAUCGAUCUGCAAAGUGUGCCGAGUUUUUUGUCAAUUAAAACAACCAAAUGGUGUAGAAGUAGCUAAAUUUUACAUUAGGUAAGAUUGUAAGAACAAAAUACAUUAUUGUCCUACGUUCUUCAUUUGGUUUCCUUUUCGUACGUAGUUGAACUGUUGAAGCUUGUCAUCUAUCUGUGAAGGAGUGGUGGAGCUAGCAGUAGAAGACUGGUUAUACAGUAGGCUGGUACUUGUUUUUAUAUAUAGAUUCUUGCACAUUAUAACACGUACAGUAGACCCUUUGCUGUUUCUCACCGUACGUUAGUCCAUCAGGCAUUUGAUUAAGCACAUCUAGCAGAAUUUACUCAAUUUUGUUUUCAUGCAAUGCUAGAAUAGAGUGAACUAGAGAGAAUAAAAUGGAAAGAAUUAUUUAUUAUAAAAUAAUUGAGUAGCCUCCUGCUACUGUGAGAUACCUAAACUACAUAUUAUCUAUAUCUCUUCAUCCAACAUUUAUAACAGAAUUAUUCUAUGCAAGGUGCCAUUUCGGGUUACCCCGAUCUCUAGUUCUUCGUCUUUUUCUAGCUCAACGUCCAGCUGCAUGCUGAGAUAAGUACACCCUGUGGCUUCUGUCGAGCGAUCGAGAAGAAGAAGUAAUCUGUCGAGCGAGAAAUGGGAAAAACCUCUGGUUUCGAAAAGGAAGGAAAGAAGAAAGGAAAAUGGUCUGCUGGCGAAGACCAGAUUCUCAAGGACUACGUCAAGAAGCACGGUCCAGGCAAAUGGGGCAAAAUAGCAAAGGAGAUUGGCAAGUUCAUAAUUUCCUUCAUAUAUAUUUACUUUCGACAUACAUCGUUGUGCUUAAUCAAUAAUUGUAAUCGCCAUUGUUUCUGAAAUUUUCAAUUAAUUCAAUUAAUUACCGACGGCCUUGUGUAGCUUACGCGGAAUUUGCAUGCAUGUAUUGGAAGCCAAAAUUACAAAUUUACACCAGUAGCGAAUGGAUUAAUUGGUAAAUUGGUUGCUUAAUUAAUCAUUGAUUAAUUAACUGCGUGUGCAGGUCUGGGGAGAUGUGGGAAGAGUGUGAGACUGAGAUGGUUCAAUUAUCUAAGGCCCGAUAUCAAGCAUGGCAACAUUAGGGAAGAUGAAGAAGAUCUAAUUAUCAGGAUGCACAAGCUUAUAGGCAAAAGGUACUAAUAUAAUAAAUUUCUUCCUCUUAUCAUGCAAGUCCCGCAGAUCUAAUUUUAAAUUUAAGCUUAGUAUUCGUAAUUACUUACGAACAUUUGCAUAUUUGAUCAAUAUUAGGUUUCAUUUUUAUUUUUUUAUUUUUUAGAAUUCAAAGAAAAUCUACUUGCCUCAUUUCAGAGCUUAAUAGAAAGUAGACUUGUGCAGGUGGUCAUUGAUAGCAGGAAGGAUUCCGGGUCGAACUGACAAUGAAAUAAAGAACUACUGGAUCUCCACUCUAAGUAAGAAGCUGGCAGAAGAAAAAAGAAAGAAACCAGAAGUGCCGAGAAACGGGAUUGCCAAGGAGAGCUUGCCAGCCCCCAUUGAGAUCGACGAUGGUCAUCCACAUCCGACCAAAUGCAAUGAAGUUCCGGGAGGAGGAGGAUUGGUGUGUUUUGCCAGUAAUGUUAAUGUAGAAGAAGAUCAUCAGCAUCAGAGUCGUGAUACCGAUAACAGUACUACAAUGAGUGCCGGAGUGGGAGUCCAAAUCAGAGGCGUGGCAAACAAUGUUCAACCAACCGGGGACGAUCUCAAUGAUGACGCUAUGCCCUGGAACGAUUGGAUAACGGAUCUGAACGAAGGGCAACUUGACCUAUCUGAAUUUCUCCAAACUGACUUUUCGAACUUUUGGGAAGAAUCAGAUAUGUUGAUGAACUUUGAAGUCGGAGGUUGCAGCACCAUUAACCAUGAGUGGCCAAAUAAUUGCGUGGUUAAAUAUCAUCCCGAGCUUCUUGUUUUUCUUUCUGUAUCGGAAAUAUUGAUUCUUGCAUAUAUUCAUUCUUGAUUUGCAUGGCAAUGCCGGCCACUAUAUUUGUAAUAAGAUUAUUGAUCACUUUAGAAUCAACUAAUUAAAAGUUUUACUCAUAUAUAUUGUAAUUUUCCUAUCAAUGAAAUUAAUCAAUUGCAAUUUGUUUACUUCAAAAAGUGUCAACAUUCACCGUGGCUGGUUGUUCGACAUAGUUGAUAGGGUUUUUGGGUUUAUUGGAUUCAUUGUUUCGUAUGCUUCCAUAGUAGUAAGGAUGCUGGAAAUUUAGGUAUCAUCAAAGAACUAAGACAGACAUAACUCCUUAUGAACUAAGACAGACAUAACUCCUUAUGAAUUUAGGCUUCAAUAUGUUGCCUAACUAAUUUUCUAACUUCAUCAAUCAUGCACCAGAAUCCAGUACUGGCCGGGUCAAGAUUUUCAGUGAGGAAACGGUGUGAUAAUGAUGAAAAAAAUCUCUAGCGGGGAAUCAUAUCAAGAACCUGGAAAUCAUAUAUAUCUCCCUAAUAAUAAGAAGCUACCUUGUUGAAUUGAUUGGAACAGAACCUUUCCUCACAUUUUCUCGAUUCAUUACCUUAGCGGGGAAUGUUAAGGACUAUGAUCUUAUGAGGGUCACUUAAUUAUUAUUUGAAAUUAUUUAAUCUUCUAAUUCAUCAAAUUUUUGUAUGCUCAAUUAUGUGCUCAAAACAAAAACAAAAACAAAACAAAAAAAAAAACUAGAAUUUGUCAAUGACAGAAAGCUAGCGAUGUGAAACCACAUGUCAUCCACAUAUAUCUAUUGUUUGGAGACAAAUUUAAGUAGUGUGGUUUGUACGUACGUAAGCAUAUGAGCUAUUCUCUUUGUUUGUGUAGUGAUGUUACGUACGUAAUUAAUGACAUCAACCAACGUGUAACACAAAAUGUUCGAGAGUCGAUAUCGAUCGACAGCUAGAAAAAUAACUGAUGAAACUGGUCAUGUUCACUUCAUUGCUUAACUAAAACCAAAACCCUAAUCGUCUUUUAAGUACAAUUUUGAACAUGAAAUUAAUAGUUUGAGAUAUGAUCUUGAAGGGGGGAACCACUUUUGUCAUCCGGAUUCUUCUUUUAAGAAGUAUUAAUCUUGUAGUAAAACCCAAAUUAAGUCAUAUGAAUAAGCUCGUAGAAGUUCAUUCAUAAUUGUGCAUAUUUCUGAAAAAGACUGCAUAAAUUAAUCUAACUUUUGAAGUUUUCUCCGAAACAGUCCCCAUUCUCAUUAAUUUCUGUACGUCUCCUCAAAUAAUAUACAAGUAAACAGAUAGCGUGAGGAAUAAAAAUCCAAUAGCAAUGGAGGGGAUUGGAAGGCAUCGAUCCAGACCACAACUCAAUGGCCGGAAAAAAAACGAAGGAAAAAUGGGGUUUUCCAUGCCACGCAAAACACAUUGAGGCCAACACCCGUAAGGUUGCAGCAUCUUUUUCCCCAGUGAAAGACUAAACCAUGCCAGCUACUAGUAAAGGCUCAACAUGUGAAUAUGGAAACCAAUCAGAUGAUCGGAAACCAAUCAGAUGAUCGAUAUCGAGAAUCUGAGAUAAUGAAAUGGUUGCAUGGUUCCCAAACAACUGGAGCAUUUGCUUGUUCUUUAGCACAUACUGAAUAGACGUACUGGACCACUCUGCACUUAGUUGAAGACAAUUAAAAGCAGUCAUUGUUUCGCACCUGCAGAAAUGGGCAAAUGGCACUACAUGCAUAUGCAAAUAUCUAUGGAAUCUCUUCAUCGAUCACUACUUCCAGCAUAUAUACAUAUAUAUAUAUAUAACUUUUCUCAGGUGCGGACAUCCGUACCGUUUUACGGUGCGGAUUUUCGUCCUUUCACCACCGUACGGCGUCGGCGAGGGCGCGCCUCCACCCCAGCCGACUCCAGCAGCUUCCCCGACCACUUUCCAUCCCCGAUGAGUCCGCCGAAUUCCAAUUUUCCGACCAGAUUGACUUUGUUUGAAGUUUUGAGUGAUCUGGCCGGAAAACUGGAAUUCGGCGGACUUACCGGGGAUGGAAAAUGGUCGGGGAAGCUGUUGGAGUCUGCUGGUGCGGACGUCCGUAGCAGAGACGGACUGUAUAUAUAUAUAACAAAGGCAAGGGUUUCGUUAUUCGUAGUGUACGUCCAAUUUAUAUGAAAAAUUGAAAAUCUACUGUUUCAUUGCUACCAACGUACAACAUUAAUUACCAGAAGAGUUCUGAAAAUUAUAAAAAUAUCUUAUUGCAAGCGAAUGAAGAACUGAGAUUCAGUAACAAGGAAUUUAGGAACGCAUCAAAAACAAAAAAAACAAAAAACAAAAGAAGGAAUUUUGGAACUUGUCCUUACCAUCAUGAACUGAUACUAGUCAUACAAGAAGAGAUGAUAUAUAAAAGUGACAUGUGCUAAGCAAGCCCUUACAUUUCGAUUCUAGAAUCUAGAAAAACAAAAAGUUCUGCUGCACCAGCACCACAAUUUAUAUUCAAAUGUUAAUGAAUAGAUAAUUCCUGUAAAGUUUCAUCUAAUUGAGAGAUCAUUUGAGCUUUCGAAAUUGCGAUUUACACGAACGGUCUCUUUUUGACAGAUUUUGUUCUAUUAAUUCAUUUAAUCUAAUUCGAUACCUAAAUGAUAUCUAAAUUAAAUGAAAAUUUACACCCUUCAAUAGUUCAAUUAUUGUUGCUGUUUCUCACCGUACGUCAGUCCAUCAUACAUUUGAUGAAGCACAUCUAACAUAAUUUACUUUUCAUGAAAUGCUAGAAUAGAGUGAACUAGAAUAAAAUGGAAAGAAUUAUUUGUUAUAAAUAAUCGAGUAGCCUCUUGUUACUGUGAGAUAACUAGCACUACAUAUUAUAUAUACGGUAUAUACCUCUUCGUCCAAAAUAUCUAACAGAGCUAUUCUGUGCAAGGUGCCAUUAUGGGUUACCCGAAUGUCUAUAGUUCUUCGUCUUUUUCUAGCUUGCAACGUCCAGCUGCAUGCUGAGAUAACUACCCUGUGGCUUCUGUCGAGCGAUCGAGAAGAAGAAGAAGUAAUCUGUCCAGCGAGAAAUGGGAAAAACCUCUGGUUUCGAAAAGGAGGAAAAAAAGAAAGGAAAGUGGUCUGCUGGCGAAGACCAGAUUCUCAAGGACUAUGUAGAGAAGCACGGUCCAGGCAAAUGGGGCAAAAUAGCUAAGGAGAUUGGCAAGUUCAUAAUUUCCUUCAUAAAUAUUUGCUUUCGACAUACAGCGUUGUGAUAAAUAAAUAAUUGUAAUCGCCAUUGUUUAUGAAAUUAUUUAAUUAAUUCAGUUAAUUAACGACGGCCCUGUGUAGCUUACGCGGAAUUCGCCUGCCUGUAUUGGAAGCCAGAAUUACAAAUUUACACCAAUAGCGAAUGGAUUGAUUGGUUGCUUAAUUAAUCAUUGGUUAAUUAAAUGCGUGUGCAGGUCUGGGGAGAUGUGGGAGGAGUGUGAGACUGAGAUGGUUGAAUUAUCUAAGGCCCGAUAUCAAGCAUGGCAACAUUAGGGAAGAUGAAGAAGAUCUAAUUAUCAGGAUGCACAAGCUUGUAGGCAAAAGGUCCUAAUAUAAUAAAUUUCUUCCUCUUAUCAUGCAAGUCCCGCAGAUCUAAUUUUCAAAUUUAAUUAAGCUUAGUAUUUGUUAUACUUAUGAACAUUUGCAUAUUUGGUCAAUAUUAGGUUUCAUUUUAUUAUUUUUAGAAUUCAAAGACAAUCUACUUGCCUCAUUUCAGAGCUUAAUACAAAGUAGACUUGUACAGGUGGUCAUUGAUAGCAGGAAGGAUUCCGGGCCGAACUGACAAUGAAAUAAAGAACUACUGGAUCUCCACUCUAAGUAAGAAGCUGGCAGAAGAAAAAAGAAAGAAACCAAAAGUGCCGAGAAACGAGACUGCCGAGGAGAGCUUGCCAUCCCCUAUUGAGGUCGACGAUGGUCAUCCAUAUCCGACAAAAUGCAAUGAAGUUCCUGGAGGAGGAGGAGGAUUGAUGUGUUUUGCCAGUAAUGUUAAUGUAGAAGAAGAUCAUCAGCAUCAGCGUCGUGAUACCAAUAACAGUACUACAAUGAGUGCUGGAAUGGGAGUCCGAAUCAGAGGCGUGGCAAACAAUGUUCAACCAAACGGGGACGAUCUCAGUUAUGACCCUGUGCCCUGGAACGAUUGGAUAAUGGAUCUGAAUGGAGGGCAACUCGACAUAUCUGAAUUUCUCCAAACUGGCUUUUUUAACUUUUGGGAAGAAUUAGAUAUGUUCAUGAACUUUGAAGUCGGAGGUUGCAGCACCAUUAACCAUGAGUGGCAAAAUAAUUGAGUUGGCCGGUUAAAUAUUUUCCUGGAGCUUUCUUCUUUUUNNNNNNNNNNNNNNNNNNNNNNNNNNNNNNNNNNNNNNNNNNNNNNNNNNNNNNNNNNNNNNNNNNNNNNNNNNNNNNNNNNNNNNNNNNNNNNNNNNNNNNNNNNNNNNNNNNNNNNNNNNNNNNNNNNNNNNNNNNNNNNNNNNNNNNNNNNNNNNNNNNNNNNNNNNNNNNNNNNNNNNNNNNNNNNNNNNNNNNNNNNNNNNNNNNNNNNNNNNNNNNNNNNNNNNNNNNNNNNNNNNNNNNNNNNNNNNNNNNNNNNNNNNNNNNNNNNNNNNNNNNNUCUCGCCGGUCGCCGGAAUCUGGCUGGUAUUUUUUUUUUUUAAUGUCACCGGACCUUGCCGGAAGUAUACCACACCAUUGCUGAAGUUUAAUUAAGGGGCAGUAAUAAUGAAAAAUGUUUUACUAGGGGGCAAUAAACUUCUACAAAUUUUUAGUUGGGGGGCAGUAAAUUUCUAUUGAGGUCAAUAAAACCUUAUUGGGGGCAGUAAUGAUGAAAAAUAUUUUACUGGGGGCAGUAAACUUCUACUGAGGGAGUAGUAAACUUUUGCUGAGAUUUUACUAGGGGCAGUAAACUUCUACUGCGGUCAAUAAAAACUUAAAUAGAAGGCAAAAAAGAUGAAAUAUCACCACAACAUCCCCAAAUAAUGUAUACAAUGCAGUGGACCAGAUUUGAAGAACCUGACCGAAAUCUCUGCAACUUACAAAUAAUUCUAGAUUUACCAGCCAAUUUCUUCUCUAAUGUCGGUGGAAGGGUGGGACAAUAGAUGCAAGAGUCUCCACCGGCCCUUCCCGCCAGCGAGGCCAGUACUGGUUGAACCUCAGACUCUAAAUGAUUGCGAGGCUAGAUCUCGCAAGGGAAUAGCUCUGGCGACGUCGUUCGAGCUCCUCUCGUCGACAAACACGUGAUGAUCAAAACCUCAAACGAAUGUGAAAAUGCCUGGCAGCCCGCGCAUUAAGUUGGACCACCAGCACCUCAGACCAUAACCUCCCUUCGUCUCCUUCUCUAAAUCAGAUCUUAUCGGAGCCAGAUUCUAGACCUGCGGCGAGGAGUGAUGUCGCACAACCAGAUCAGCUCUUGAAAACGGACCUUAGGAGUCCAGAUCUGAUCGGUGAUGGUUGUCGCUGAUGAUGAGAUAGAGAGAGAGAGAGAGCCGGAACCGCGACGAGGAGCGAUGUCGCACAACCAAAUCAACUCUUGAAAACAAACCCUAGGAGUCCGGAUCUGAUCGGUGAUGAGAGAGAGAGAGAGAGAGAGAGAGAGAGAGAGAGAGAGAGAGAGUACUUNNNNNNNNNNNNNNNNNNNNAAUCUCUAGUUCUUCGUUCCCAGCUGCAUGCUGAGAUAAGUACCGUGCAGUUAGGAGCAAGAUCUCUUGAGCGAAAUUAUAGGAAAUAACAUAUGAUCGACAUGCUAUAUAACAUUAGGAGGAUUUUUUUUUUUUUGGUUGGCCUGUGUUUACUGUAAUACCAAAUUCUCCAAAUGUUUAUCUUUAAGGUAAGAGUACAUGUGUGGGUGGAGAUUGUUGGUUACGGGACUUAUGGACCACGAAUAAAAAAAANAAAAAAAAAAAAAGGCCAACGCCAAUGCUGGUAUGCAAUGGUGUAGCUAGCUAGGGGCGAGAGGGUUCAAUUGAACCCUCUAAAGUUUUAAAUUUUUUAAUUAGCCUUAAUGAAGAUUGGAUGUUAAUAUAAUGAAUCAUAAAUUGACCAUUCUUUUUUGAGUAAAUCCUUAAUUAAUCAUAAAUAUUCUUCAACACCAAUGAAAUGAAAUAAAAAUUUAUACUGUUAAAAUACUUAAUCCAAAUUAAUACAAAUCAUGUCAAUGGUUUUUUACCACACUGAUAUGUACUUUAAUGCUUUAAUUUCCAUUUACGAUUUUUUUUCUUUACAAAUAAGUUAAAUGGAAGCAACACAUUAAUGUUUGUCAUGCAUUGGCACUAAAGAAAAAGCAACAUAUUCUUUUCAAUAUUAAUCGUGCAUGAUAUGCAAUUCUGAAAUUUAUUUUAGAUGAUUAUUUACUAGUCUUUUCAGGAACAAUGUUGAUUACGAAUUUGUAAACAAACAAUUGAAAUUAAGUUUGUGUCAUUUUUUAAAACAAAAUUAUGUCAUUGUUAGAGAGCUGAAAAUGAAUUUAGUUGCUUAGUCAAUAAAUCUUGGCCAUUCUAAGUGGGAUUUCUGGCUACGCCACUGCUGGUAUGAAAUGGUUCAAGGAUAUCAGUCAGACCAUUUCGAGAGAAGUACCAAACUACCGAUAGCAGUAAUUCAACAUCAACCGAUUCUUUUUGAAAUUAACAAUGUUGUGGCUUGGUUGGUUAAAGUGUUUAAUUGAUAACUUUGAGGUCACGAGUUCAAACCUCAUUGACAUAUAUAGGGUGUGUGAGUUAUUAAUAAAAUAUUUAUAAAAAAAAAUAUUAAAAAAAAAAUGCUGUGGAAUGUGUACUUUUUAGGGCUGUGCUCUUCUUAUAGCGACAAUUUUACUCUUGUCAAUUUUCAGGUACCGCGAUUAGGGUAGUCCUUCUCUUGCACCAAAACACCAGCCUUGAGUGUGUACUCAAACGCUUUAGUCAUCAGCCCCCCACUACAGCUCAUGUCCACACGAACCAUAUUCUUCUGGAUCACACUGCAAAAUGUACAGGCUCAUUAUAAGAAAAUGCCAUCAAAAGAUUCAAAACAACCAAGUCAUACAUUGGGCAUCACCAUUCCAUAGAGAUAAGAAAGCAACCAAUCGGUCUAAACAAACACAGAUUCUAGAUACCACCAGUACUGAAAAUUCAGUAUCUUGAAGAACAUAUGAAUCAUAGAUCAACUUAAUAUUCCAUCAGCAACAUACUAAUACAUACAUGAUGGAGAUUAAGAUUGUGCAUGCCGAACUAAGUAGGCUCAAAACCUUAUACUCAGUUAAGCAAUUAGCUAUAACUUGACCCUUUUAAGUUUUGGGAAAAAAGUUCAAUACUUUAGGGAUAAACAGCACAGAUCACAUUUAUACAUACAGACACACAAAUGACUGUAAAAUAUGAGCGAACCUCAUGAUGGGAGUCCAACUAAAUUUUCUUCAUUUGCAACAGAGGGUUCAUCUUGUUGCAAAUUUUCUUAAAGAUGAGCCCCCAUGAUGUUCUAAUGCUUGUAGUCUUGUUGGUUUUCCUCUCUUUGAUUCAAUAAAAUUUCUUGUUUUGUCAAGACAUGCUGCUGCAGUGCUGCUCGCUGAGACUCGCUCUAGCUUCCUUGUUUCUUCAAUACUACAAGCAAUAGAUCGAACAUCCUAGCUUGUGAUUCAUAUUGCUACAAGAGUUAAAAACCUAAAAUAAUACCUGAACUAUUACGAAAUGUACUUUUUGGUACCUAUGAAUUUUUUUUAUUUGAAAUGGUACCUUAAGUAUUGCUCUAUCACCUGAUAUGGUACCUCCGUUAGUUUUUCCGUUAAAUUCGCAUAUGUGACAUAUAUUUGAAUGGUAUAGAUACCCAAAAUGGUACCUAGGCUAUUGUGGAAUGAAUUUUUCGAUAACUGUAUUUUUUUUACCUCAAAUGACACCCCCAAUAUCUGACUGUAUAUGAUCAAUAGGUAAACCGUAAACAUAAUAAACAUAUUAUCACUAUAAUUCAUAAAUAUAUUAUAUUUUUUAAACAUAAUAUUUAUAUAUAUAUUAUUUCUCUUAUGAGCAAUUUGUUUAUAAAUAAUUAUAAUAUAUUACAUCGUUACUACAUAUUGGAUUUUCUUUAUAAAUAGAAUAAACUUGUAGAUCUAUUUUUAUGUAAGAAAAUAUUUAUGGAUAAAAUACUAAUAAUAAUAUGUUUAUGAGUUUAAUAUAUAUAGAUCAAAAAGUAGUUUAGAAUUUUUAUUUAAAGUAAAAAAGUUUAUAGGCACCAAAAAUUGUCUUUCGUAGUAGAUUAGGUACCUUUUUAGGUAUUUACCCUAUCCAAAUGCAUGCGACAUAGGCAACCUUAACGAAAAAACUAAUUGAGGUACCAUAUCAAGUAACAGAGCAAUACUUAAGGUACCAUUUCAAGUAAAAAAAUAUUUGUAGAGACCCAAAAAUAUACUUUUCACAAUAGUCCAGGAACUAUUUUAGAUUUUUAUCCUUGCUACAAUCAGUGUGAAUUGCUUCAAAUAUCAUAACAAACAUGUCAUAUAUUAAAUCAUAUCGGGAUUGUCUAUGGUAUUAAGAUGCAUGACAUACACUCGUUUUACAACUAAUUUAACCUAAAUUACUAGCUAAUUAAACUUGGUGGUUACAUAGUUGAUGAAAUUCAUUAACGAUUCCCUGAAUUUUUGUGUCUACGUACGUAUAUCGUAUAUGACUAAGCUUUGUAAGCUUCAGGCUAUCAAGGAAGGCAGGUUGUUGCUACUUAAUUAGAACAUUGGCCAGCUCUCUCAACGUGCACUUCUGGAAUUCUUGUAGCAAAACGUGCAACACAAAUUAAGCUGAGAGAAGGGACAAAAUAAAUAAUUUAUGAAAUUUGUCUUGUUCACUUCAUUGCUCAAAAAUGGAAACCCCUAGCAGUCCCUUUGAUCGAAUUAUAUCUUGAAGGAAGGUGAGGACAAGCAAAGUCGUUCAGACGAAUCAUGAUGAUUCUAUGUCCCCAUUUGAGGCAUCUUUGCACGUGAAAAUUACACCUCAUGCAGUACUACUGCCUGCUGGGCCUAAUUUCUCUUUCACAUCAGAAUUCACAUGCAUAGGACUGGGGGACAGAGAAAUCGUCUUUUUACCUAUUUGCUUGAAGAAAAGUUAGAAAAAACUUGGAUGUUUUUAUUUUUAUCCUCAUUUUUAUGGUGUAAGACUUGUUAACUACAAGCAAGAGCCUGUAGAGCAACCGACAAAUUUACCGUAGAACAGUAUCGAGGACUAUUUAGACUGUACCGUCCCAACUUGGCAAGAAGAUUAGCAACGAAAGUGGCUUCUUAAAAUUUUGAUGCUUAGCUAAUUAGUAAUUACUAUGCACCAAAUCUGAAUUACCACGUACCAAAUCUGCUGGCUUGUCAACGCAUUUGAACUAAAUAGAAGAUUUGAUUUUGAUUGAGGGAGCUUUCAAAUAAAUUAAUAAAUUUUAAAAAUAAGAAAAAAAACCCUUCUUUAGGCUAUUUUUUUAAUAUGUAGAAUGCUACGUUCACUUUUGAAUUAUUUUUUUUUUUUUAAAGACAAAUAACUUGAUUUUAAAUAGUCAUUACAUAUCAAUUCGUUGUCAUGUAUAGACAGUCCUAUGACUACUCACCCAUCAAUUCAUGUUCCCUUGUAGACAAUAAUAAACAAUUAACAAAGGAUAGAGAAAAUAGAAAUUAGACUAAGCUAAUAUAAUUCAUUUUUGAAUGAUACAAAAUGCAUAGUUGGUAAUAAAGUUUUCUCAAAUUUACGAUAUAUUAUACCUGCAGAUAUAUGGACACCAAUCGAUCUAGAAUGUAAUUAUUAACUUAAACUUAUAUGCAUGCAAUUAAAUUAAGGAAUUCUUGGAUCUAAUUUUGUUUUAUUUUUUAAGAUCACUCUUGUUUCAUCUUUCUCUUCUCACACAAGUUUGAACACGAAUUAAGAAGAGAAACCACUAGUGUAAGACUAAGCAGAUGAAUUUAACUAUUAUCAACUAUUGGAAGAACCUCAUCAAUCAUUACGCAUUAUUAAAGGAAGGAUAACUUUUUCAAAGUAUUCCCCCCAACCAUACCAACUCGCAUUUAUUUUGUCUCCUUACAAAUAAUGUACAAGAAAUUAAACAGUGUAUGAACAUUUAAAGUUUCAUAACACAUGCUAAAUUGCUAAUUAACCAAAGAUAAAAAGCAGAGGGUUUUCACAUCCCACGCAAAACACAUGCAUGGGAGGGAAAGUAGCGCCAAACCAUAUGGAUAGAGCACCGUGUGAAGUCGCUUGUCCAUAUCUUUUGAGUUGCAGUGUCUUUUUUUCCCAGAAAAGACUGGAGCUUGCGCGCAUAUGCCAGUAAAGGCUGACAAGUGAUCGAAUCCACGAUGAUCCACGUAUAUGUAUCUGGAGCCUUCGCUUGGAGAUUAGUAAAUACUGCAAUAUAUAUAUACGAAUAUUGCAGUUAUUUGUCUAGCUAGCUGUAGUAGUACUCGAAGACACAAUUUCUAUAGUGUUUAUACUUCAAAGCUAAAACCAGUCGUUGUUUUCGCACCCUGCGCAUAGAGCCCUACGUUAAUCAUCAUUACUACCGUGUAUACUUGUUUGAAAUGAAAAAAAAAAUAAAAUCAUAAAUCGAGAAAAGAAAUGAAUCACGUUAUUAAUUUUGAACGGUUGAUUCAUAAACUCAACUCAUGCUAUGUAAUCAUUCAGUUCCAGUCCAUUCCAAGAAAAUAACUAGUAUAAUUAUAAUUAUUUUCUUUUCCUGAAAUUUGUCAGCGUGUAUGAUAGCUCUAGCAAGGUACGUUAAUCGUCACACAGUCAUUUUCUGAAGGUUCUUUCUCAUUUUGGGUGAAGCAGGUCAUUUGAGUAUUUGAUAAGGAACAUCUCUUAGCGGAGGGAUAAUAUAUUGCAUUAAAAUCACACGCCGAUUUAUCUUGGAAAUCCAGACCGAACAGGUGGCAUGAUCAUGUAGAAACAGAUUCCACUCGAAGACUACUAUACACAGCCUAAAUCUGGCUAUAAAUAGAGCAAGCAUGUUGCAAGAGAAAAACCACUAACAGCAAACACAAGCUAUACGCCAUAAGUUAGCCUUGUUCUCUCUAUCCGAUCUUUGCCUUUAAGCCAUCAUCACCAUGCUCGGCCUAGCAAACAAUGUGACUACCAAGGUGGCCUCAGUAGUCCACUCUACUCAGCAGACCAUUGCUGGGGAGCUUAGCCUGUUUGCUAUGUCUGAUAAGAAAAUCUUGGAUGAGAUUUACACAACUCAUGUCCAUGCUGAUGAAUCAUUUGAUGAUGAUUCUCUCUUCGUCAUUGUUGAGAACAUUCUUAAGCGUGCAACUCAAACGGUUGACAAAAUUGUACAGGUAUAAACCACAUUGUAUAAUGAAGUCCUAUGCAAAAAAUGACCAUUUUUUGAUCUGCUAGAAACUGCCUUUUUCUUUUUUGGUAGUGACUGCUACGUACAUUCUUGUGGUUGUUGCAGGGUACCCAAGUGCAUGUGGAAGACAUAGAGGAGAAGAUCCCCAAACCCAACUUCAGUGUACCACUGUGCACUCUUAAGGGAAUCUCAUGCGAGGUCCAUUAUACCAGCGAAUUAAACUCAAUAACUUUAUAAAUUAGUUGUUAAUUGAUCGUUAAUUACAUUCUAUAAUUUCAGAUGCAAUGCAAGCCUCCUGGUGAGGAAAUCGCCCACAAGACAACACUGGCGAUACUCAACAAGCUGUCACAUUAUUCAUGGGAAGCGAAGGCAUCACUGACCCUAGCAGCUUUUGCCAUGGAAUUUGGUGAAUUCUGGCUCCUCGCAGACCUUCGCGAAUCAAACCACCUUGCCAAAUCAAUUGCAAUUCUCAAACGAGUCCCUGUUCUCCUCAAGCCUUCUCAGCUGCAAAAGCGCAGGCAAGCAAUACUUGAGCUUAACAAUCUGAUCAAGGCAACAUUGCAAGUGAUUGAAUGCAUCGACCAGUUCGGCAAGCUUUCCGUUUAUCCCCCAAAAGAUGUCCCUGCUUUGUCGAUAGCAUUGGAACACACCCCGGUGGAUAUCUAUUGGGCUAUCAUGACUGUUGUGGCUUGUGCCACUAAGGUCACUUUACUCACUAGUGAUGAGUAAGUUCUUCGAUCUCCAUCGUUUUUCAAAGAAUUGACCUUGUGGUUUGAAAUCGACAUCUGUUUAGUUUUUGUGGUUUUAUUUUAAUCUGAAUAGUCAUUAAAGUCAUAAUUUUUCAUCAAAAUAAUCUUUAUUAUUUUAUUUUAAUCUGAAUAGUCCUUAAAAUCAUGAUUUUUUAUCCAAAUAGUUAUUCUGACAAUUUUUUCAGUUAAAAAAUCAUGAUUUUUCAUCUAAAUAGUCAUUUCAACAAUUUUUUCAGUUAAAAGAAAAAUCAUGACUUUAAGGACUAUUCAUAUUAAAAUAAAACCAUAAGGACUAAACAGAUGUCGGCUUCAAACCACAAGGACUAUACAAUAGUUUACCCUUUUUCAAAAUAUAUUUCGGAUAACUUUACAACGGAUAUAGGCUGACAUGCAUUGUUGUUGGAGAUAUAUUGAACUUGUAUACCAGUUUAUGAUAUUUAUGCUAUUUUUGUUUAGGGAUAAGGAAUUUGAUCUAUCUCCCUAUUCUCAAAAGAUUCACUAUGUGCUUAACAAGCUCAAGAUUCAGCUGAUAGUUUGCCACAAACAAAUUGGUGGGUUACUUGCAUAUUUUUGGUUACUCGAGGUUUACAUUCUCUAUGUUGUACUACUCUUAGAAAUGAAAUUUAAAGCACUACUGUUCUUGUUGUUUGAUGCAGAGGAGGCAAAGAAUCACAGAUAUAUCUUAAAUCUGCUUCGAAGACCUACUGAAAUUAUGGAAGUUUUUAAGGGUUUGAUAUUUACAAAGGAUAAUGUCCAGCCACUGAUUGAUGGUUCCACUAAACAAACGGUAUACAAAUCUCUCUUGUGACAUCACUUCUACCAAGUGUUACUACUAAACUGAAAUUUAAUCGUGCCUAAUUGGUUUAACAGGUUAACAUCGACGUCCUAAGGAGGAAGAAUGUGCUACUGUUCAUUUCCGGCCUAGACAUUACGGAUGAUGACAUUUCGAUUCUGAAACCGAUCCAUGAGCUCACAAAGAAAGAGAAUCAGUAUAAGAUUGUCUGGGUGCCAAUUGUGGAGAAAUGGACUGAUGAACUUAGAAAGAAGUUUGAAAUCCUGAAGAACAAGAUGCCUUGGUUUACAGUGCAGCAACCUGGACCUAUAGCAGGUAUCAAGGUCAUUAAGGAGGAGUGGAACUUCAAGGGUAAGCCUACAUUGGUGGUGAUGAACCCACAAGGAAAGGUCGAACAUUCUAACGCUCUCCACAUGAUUCGGGUGUGGGGAGUCAAGGCCUUCCCUUUCACAGAGAAAAUAGAAAAAGAGCUUUCACAUUCUCAUGGAGAAAUUCACUCUGUUGUUGAAGGAGUUCACCCAUCUGUGCCAUCUUGGGUACGUAAUUCUCCUCAGCCGAUCAAAGUGCAUAUACAAACUCUCGUGAUAUUAUUUGUUGCCUAUAUAACCUUUCACCUCCCAGUGCAUUAGUACAUCAAAUUAAAACAUGACAUUAUGAUGAACAAGGAGCCUCCAUUGUCUAUACAUUUUCACUACAUUCAUAUAUAUAAGAUUAGUGAAAGACCAAUUUCAUUGAAUAAUGGAACAAUGAAACAUUGAAACAUAAGUGAUCGAGGAUAAUUUUUGUGUGAAUCAUAUGAUCUGAUUAAAUAUUUUGACCUCAAACAGCUCAAAGAAAAUAGGUACAUCUUCUUCUAUGGCGGUAAAGACAACGAAUGGAUUCAGCAAUUCACAAAGAAAGCAACUGCCCUUGCCAAUGAUCCAAUCUUGAAGGAAGCAAAGAUUUACAUAGAGUUGGUAUGCGUUGGAAAAAACAGCAAAGGAGAAGAUGACAAUGGCAUUCUAGGCCGCUUCUGGACCAAUAUAGAAAGCUUGUUCUUGACCAAAGUGGACAAGCAGGUCGACUCAGUAAGUCAAGAAAUCCAGAAGCUUCUCUCUUACAAGAACGAAAGUGGAUGGGCGGUGCUUACCAGAGGAUCGACUGUGUUGGUCACAGGUCAUGGUGUCUCGGUAUUGAAGGUGGUAGAGGACUUUGAGAAAUGGAAGGAGCAUGUCAAGGAGAAAGGGUUUGAGUUUUGUUUCAAGGCCUAUUAUGGGAGGGUAGUUCAAGCUAGUCGACCCUGCUGCCGUCUUGACAUCCCGGGGUCUACCGGAAAGGUGCCGGAGUCAAUGAAGUGCCCGGAUUGCCAGCGUAAUAUGGAGACUUAUAUCAGUUACAAGUGCUGCCACAUUGAUGGUCCUACCGCACAUCACUAAGUGUUAUUUGUACUAUGUCAUGUAUCUUUGCUAGAAUAACUCACAUGUCAUCCCUUCGCCGUGAUGGAUGGACAUGUUGAUGUAUGCCAAGCUUAUGUAUGUUGUGUUUAGUCCUGUUAUGUCUACUAUGGUGAUGUUGUACGGAACAUGUUGAAUAAAAGACCUACUUUUUUUCCGAUACAAGAACAAAGACCACCUACUUCAAAUUUGUGUUUCGUGAGUAUGUAAAUAAAGAGUGUCUAAUAUUUUGCUACGAAAACAUGAUCUGGUAUCUCAUAUGCAUAUUUAAUUUUGAUUUAUCCAAACAUGUGAACUCAAAUACCUAAAGUAUUUAACUGAUUUUAUUUGCGAUGUUAAUUAGCUCCUCAGAAACUUAAGAUAUAUAUAAGAGAAACAAGAAACAUAAGAUAUAAGAUAUAUAAGAAAAAAAUAUUACCAUGAAUCUCAACAUAAUAAGAGUCGAUCACUCGAGUCCACCAUCACGCCCGUCCCUCUCUUCAAUAUUAAGAGUUAGUUUAAAAGAAAGGUUUGAAAUACAAAAAGAAGGGGACAAAUAUAUGCGUUCUCCAAACUACAAAAUAGAAAAAUACAAAUGAUGGAAAAUCUAAAUUUCCAUCUACAUUUAGUUUGGAGGAGUGGUGGAGAUCGAUACCAGUAGCACGUGCAAACAAAAAGAUAUUAACAUUUGGUAUCCUUAAGAAUAAAAUUUAAAAAAAAAAAGAAAAAAAAAAGAAACAGAUGCAUGGUCGACUUUAUUUAUCUGAAUAAUUCCUUUGUAAUUUGAGUUAAAACAUCGUUAAGGUUUCGCAAAAUUAACAACGUACGUAGGUUUGCAUGAUAAUUAUAUAUAUAGGUUUGACAAAAUUAACUUGUUGCUGGAUAUACAUCACUAACAUCAGUUAAGUAAAUAUUUAUGCACAAAAUCUGGAAUUCCCUUAUGCUCCUAGAACUACCAAUAUCGCAGCACACAUGUUAGCAGCUAUGCAUGAUACCGGCCAAUAGGGUAUGAAUAGCACAUAUGUUAAUUUCUUAAUUGGAUGCUUUAGCUUUUGAUUGUAAUCAUUCAACUUAGUUAAUACAGUCCUUGAUGUUUUACUCGGAAAUAGAAAAAAAAAACGGUUAAUUUCUUUGUUGAAUAGAAAUAGAUAAUUGUAUUACUUAUCCAUGAUCAUAAGACACAUAUAUCUAAGGAUUAAAAUAUCGGUAUCGGGGUAUCAAUCGGUAUUUUAAAAAAAAUAUAUAUUUGAUACAUCCAGAAAAAAUAUAGGUAUUUUGGGAAGAAUUUUUUUUCUGAAAUAUUUAAAUUAUUAAAUUUACAUAUAAAUAUUACAAACAUCAAUUUCAUCUACAUCUAGAACGAGAAUCUAGGUUGUUGAUAAAACGCACGUUGGUCCAUAAAAGUACAAUAAUCAAACCAAGACAUAUGACUCAUAUAUUACGAAUUGUAGUAUUGAAUAUGAUAAUCAUAUAUCUUCUUGGAGUAGCCGACUGUUUCCCCUAUAAGUGGAUAGUAAUGAUGAAUCCAACUAAAUGACUGAUCACUAACUUCUGCGCAUUAAUUAUAGCCAUAAAUAUUAUAGCCAUAUUGAUUGUUGCCUUCUUGAGAUUCAUUUGAGGUUCUAGUCCCACUACCUAAACUAAUAGACUCAAAACUUAGCGUAACUGAAGCAACAUCUUGAUCAUCAUUUGCACCUCUAGUCCUUCUCCCAUACAUGGUAUCCUCUUACACUCCAUACCUAAUACUUCUAAAGUCAUGAUCAUGAUCUUAUACAUGAUUGUAAUUUUCUUCAGAUGAAAAAUUGUUCAAUCCUCCCACUGUAGAAGAUUGUCCAUAUUCAUUUAGAUAUACUCGAGGGAAUUACUCAUCUUUCGAAUAUUCGUUGAACGUUAUUUUUCUUUAUGUGAAUUUUGUUUACAGAUAUUUCUUUAAUAUAGCGAAAAUGUAUCGUUAAUAUCCUAAAUAUUUGAGAUAUUUCCUAUAUAUCAAAGAUAUUUAAUGGUAUCGGAGAUACGGUGAAAGAUAAGAUAUUUACCGCUAUAGAUAUAUCGGUUCUUCAAAAAAAGAAGAUAUCGGAGGAUGUAUCGGAUAUAUCACAGAGAUUUUAAUCUUUGCAUAUAUCAAUCAACGUCUUACGCAAAAAUAACAACUCAAGCUAACAGACUAAUUAACGGGCACCCGCAUUGCAAAUAUAUAAGGGCCUGAAUUAUUAAGUCUUCACAACAUAACUUCAAAGACACUGUUAAUUUUUAUUUUAGUAAGAUGUUUAUUUAACAAAAAUAAUAAUUCUGAGUUUAAACGCCUGAAUUAAAAGGAAAAAAAAUUAAGGGCCGGGUAGUCCUGUUCCCAUGCGCAUGUGGAGUACUCUAGAAGCCUAAUCUCCCAACAAUGAUGAAUGCGAAAAACCUUUCUAUCCAAAUUAACUAUUAAUUAAACUUUUGUUCUUUCGAUCUCUUUUUGAAAAGAAAUCCAUCUCCUCUUUCGAGUGUCCCAAAGAUAGUAGACAAAUUCAUAUGGGUAUUUUAUCUAUUGCUAAUUAUGCUGUACAAACGAUCAUCAAUUAGUAGAUCGAGCUUCUGGCUCCUUCGAUCACCAAUUCACCAUUUCUUCUGGCUCUGGCUCUUUCUUGUUUGCCUGGCAAAACUGAACUGGAAACCACAAUACCAGAACCUGCACUGUAUUUAAUUAUCGUUAGCAAUAUUUCCUAUCUCCAAUAAUUCAAGCAAAAAAAUUCAACAACCACAAAGAAAGGAUAUAAACUCUGAGGUUAAGCUGCAACCCUGAGAUUAUUGGGGGCCUUUUCUGAUAAAUUGUUGAUUUCUUCUGUACGUUAGCAAUUUCUUGUUUUUCCUUGAAUGAAUGUCACAUUUUCCAUUAAUUCCAACUCCAUCACAAACCAAUUCGCAUGCGCAAAAAGCAUUUGGUUAAUCCUAGCUAUCAGUCACGUACAUAUUAUCAUCAACAACAUAAGGUCGAUAACCUGAUCACAUUUAUCUGUUACUGUACUCUAGGCAGGUGCAUGUGAUGCAUGUUAAUUUCAUAUGAAAGGAGAAGUAGUUAGUGAUUGAUCCUACUAACUAAUGAUGUUUAUUAAUCUCCCACCAACUAUCACGUACAAUUUCGAGAUGGAUCGAUCAUCGAUGUUAAUUCUACAGCUAGCAGCUAGAGGGAUGAUAAAGAUUAAUGACUCGAAUUUAGAGCCUUUGAUCCGCAUGCAUAGUUGCAUAUAGAGACGAAUAUAUAAUUAUAUAUAUACCAUCCGUAUAGAAAAAAAAAUUCUACGCACCAAGGUGCACUUGUACCAUUAAUGUGUAAGUGCUCAAAUCGCCGUAUGGGAAGAUCAAAUGAAAAUUAGAGACCCUAAAUUCCUUAUUUUUAGUUUUAUUUUUGAUCUGAUCAAAUCAAACGCCCAUAAUAAAAAUAUAUCAUCUUCGACCUAGUGUUCUCAUCUCCUUAUUUGGAAAUACUUGAGACUAUUUUUUUUGUUUCAAUUAUGUUAACGGUAUUAGUAUAUAUGUAUGUAUGACCUAAUCAAAAUACUGCAAAUUAGUUACUCGGUUCACUUGCACCUUGAUGCAUAGAAGAGUUUUCACCGUACGAAAACCAUUCAACCAACUAUUGUUUGGUCGGCUGGCAGAAGCAUAUGCUCUUUAUUCAAACUACAAGCAAACUACAACUAGAUAGAACGAUAUGCUCUUUAUUCAAACUACAACUAGAAACUAGAAAAAAAAAAAAAAAUAUCAAUGAAAAUACGUUCAAAUUAAAAAAGUGAACACCUACACUAGAAAGCAAUAACAUAUAUAAGCUAAACAAAGAUCCUAAACAAUGACAUGAGCCUUUAAUUUGCAAUGCAUUUGUAAUGGUAUGUGAAUCAUCUCAAUUUGUUGGAGUUUGUAUCGGUGUCAUUCUGGCUACAACUAUCAAUACAAUGGGUUAUAAGCCCGCUUUUGCUUCAAAAAAUUUAAAAUCAAUAGAGGUCUCAAGUUAGCAGUGGCGUAGCCAGAAAUCUCACUUAAAAUGGUCAAACUUUAUUGAUUAAGAUACUAAAUUCAUUUUCAGUCACUCUCUAGCAAUGUCAUAAUUUUGUUUAAAUAAGUAACACAAACUUAAUUUCAACUAUUUGUUAUAUACAAAUUCGUAACAAACAUUGUUCAUAAAAAGACCAGUAAAUAAUUAUCUAAAAUAAACUAUGAAAUUUCGUAUCAUGCACGAUUAAUAUUGAAAAUAAUGUGUUACUUUUUCUUUAGUGUCAAUGCAUGAUGUCAAACAUUAAUGUGUUGCUUCCAUUUAACUUAUUUUUAAAGAAAAAAAAUCGUAUAAAUGGAAAUUAAAGCAUUAAAGUACAUAUUAAUUUGGUAAGAAACUUUUGACAUAAUUUGUAUUAAUUUAGAUUAAGUAUUUCAAUAGUAUAAAUUUGUAUUUCAUUAUAUUGGUGUUUGAAAAAUAUUUACGAUUAAUUACGGAUUUUUUAAAAGAAAAUGAUCAAUUUAUGAUUCAUUCUAUUAAUAUUUAAUUUUUAUUAAGACUAAUUAAGAUUUUUUAAAACUUGAAAGGGUUCAACUGAAACCUCUGGUCCCUAACACCAUUGUUAGCGACGGAUAUUAGAAUCAAGUGAAUUAUGCGUAUAUAAAUUCUUUGCGAAUAUAAUUAUCCACAUGGUUAAACUUUUUGACUUGGAGUGACUCAGCCCAAGAAUUCUAGUGCCCUAAUUGGCUAAUUACAACCCAACCAUAUGAAAAACGUGUUGUGCAUUGUUGAGGGUUUCACAUUUGUUAAUUUUUUUAAUUAUCAUUCAAACCAUCAAACCUGUAUAAUUAACUUAAUUAAUCCUUGUAGCUUUUUUAGACAGAUAUUUAUCUCUUUUGGUCCACUGUUUCUUAAUUUUAAAAAGAAUGGCCCUGCAGCUUGAAAGUGAAGCCCUUUCUAUCAGAUUGUGCAACACGAGGGAACAAACAAUCGUCCAUCUCCUUUCGACGUGUGCGGAUCAAAUAGAGCUAACAAUCACAUCGUUUAUUAAUUUGUCCUUUUUCAGUGUACCAUCAUUCUUUAAUCAGAUCACUCGAUCUGAUGUUUUCUUUCUCGUUUCCAGAAAAAAAAAAAAAAUAAGAAAUAAAGUUGUUCUGCUUUGUUCCCACAAUUUAUUUUGGGAUCCGGAUCCUCUCCUAACCUUCCAAACAACCUGAGCUGCCUAAGCUUUCUUUGAGAUGAUGACACGUAUAUCUUCAUGAUCCAAUGGCCUGAAUCACUCUUUUCUUCUUUUUUCUUGGUUACACCUUUUUCUUCUUUUUUUUCUGUCGUGUACUCUUCACUUUCUUUUUUGGGUCCGAGUGUACUCUUCUCUUUCAUUCUCUCUUUCUCUUUCUCUCCUCCCACCCUUUCAAGUCCUCUACCGUUACAGACACAGAAGAAGCACAGUUUUUGCAGCGAAAAGAAGAAGCACAGUUUUUCUUUUUUCUCAAUAAAAGUCCAACAGAACAAACACUUUAGGGUCUUAAAUUAGGUCUAGUAGAAGCUUAAAUCUAAUUAGCUCUUGAACACCAACCCCUUAAGAGAACUCAUUCCUUGAGUAAUGAGUGACCUUUAUUUGCUUAAUGGAUCUCCGCCAAAACUACAAAGCCUCAUAUUCUAUCUUCUUUCGGUUCAUCUUUUUCUUUUGUUCUUGAAAAAGAUCCAAAUUGCAAAAUUCAAAACUUUUUUCUUUCUUUUUAUCUACUGAUCAGAUGACAACAAGAAGAUAGUAUAAAGCCGAAAAAAUGAAUUCGAAGGAGAAGAAAAUAGUAGAUAUAUAAUUCAUGAAGUGAGAUCUAUCCACCAAAUUGAUCGAGUUGCUGUUACUUUUGUGGCUACCUGAAGGAGAUUGCCUAAAUAAAUGUCUUAUGCAUAUCAAAGAAGAAGGCUCAAAUUAAGUUUCUACUUUGUGGUAAUUUAAAUAAAUAUGACCUAUCUUAGCUGUAACAUGCAUGUUUUAGACAACAUAUCCUGUGAUCAAGAAACAAACACAAACACAAAUCAUGGAUAUCAUUUGUUUUUUUUCAUAUAUUAAUUUCAUUCAGGAAAUCAAUCAUGACCAGAAAAAGAAGCCAUAUUUUCUUCACCUGUUUUCUUUAUCAUUUAGAGAGUUGCAUCAUUCUAUGAUCGAUAUCUUGGCUUUCACAUUCGACAAAUUAUUGUCCUUUCUUAUCUUCAAGAUCAUGUUUUUGUGGAAUCUAAUUAAUUUCAUCUACGACAUAUGCAUAUAUGAUUAACAUUUUCGGUGCAGUGUCCCAUCAAUUGCCUUUAAUUAACUUUGUAUCAUGAUUCAUGACUUUGGAGGAACAUCAUGUUAGAUUAUUUACCAGCAUAAAACAUCAAAUCAUGAACAAUGUGAUUCGCAAGAUAAGACUAUUCAUCAUCCAUACUCCAUGAAAGGAUGAAGUGUGUUGGCCAAUCCGAAAAGUUGUGGUAAAAAACCAUACUACGUACAUCUUUAUAACUUAUCUUAAACUUAAGAUAUAUACUGUAUCACUAAUUAUUCAUAGCGAUGCAAAAAUAAAUUCUAACUGCAAAUUAGUAGAAUAAAUCACUAAAACAACAAUAUUUAUUGACUAAACUUCAUUUAUUUUUGUGAAACCACCCACAAACAAUAGGCCGGUAGGCGCGUCGACCAUUUAUUCGGCAUUGGGCCUCAACUUUCCGGUGUGGCGGUGUUGUACUACCCUAAGAUAUUGACGAGCUUAUGGUGUGAGUGUGCAAUACAUAUAUAGGGAAGGUGGAGCCAUACACAAAGGCAUGCAGUGUCCAUGGCACCCCUAAUGUUUGAUUAUAUAUGUCUUUCAUCCUUUGGUUAAAUUGAGUUGAGCUUGUGUUAAUUUGCCUCCUCGAUCAGUUCUAAUAUUUGGCUCCGCUAUUGUGACUACGUCUAGCUAGGCUGCAGCGCGUUCAACCCAGAAUUGUGCCAAGUAAUGUAUGCAAUGUUCUAAAAGAUGCUAGGCGGUAGGUGGGCGGUAACCCACAGUCUAGAGCCUAGACCAACUUAAACUGAGAUUAGGCGAUUUGUUUUUUUUUAAAGAUUUAUUAAUUAAAAAAUAUUUUAUAUACUCAAAUACUUGAAAACAGUUAAAUAUGAAUAAAUUAUUCAACAUAAAUCUUGUGAGACCCAUUUAUAAGAUAAAUUUAUCCAAAAUUUAGUAUAACUUUCUUACACACCUCUAAUUCUUUAGGAUUCAAAUUUGUCAACCAACAACUUUUUGUUGGUUAUAGGACCAUUCAAUAAAAAGAUGUCAUGUGUUCUAUAACAUAACUAUGGUUAACUGACUUAACUCUUGUGAAUUAUAUUAAUAAUUAAUUAAUGACAAAACUGAAAUAAUAUUUGUGUAAUUAAGUUUCUCUCUCUCCUUAUCUCUCUUGCCCAUCUUAUCAGAAAACCCAAAAACAUAUCCAAGUAAUAUCAGAAAACCCAACAUGUCUCAGUAGUAAUACCUAAACCCAACAAGUUUACCAGAGAGAAGCAACGAAACCCAACCCCAACUCCACCCAAAUCUGCCAAACCGUCAGAAUUUUCCGGCGGCCGUCGGCUAAGUUGUGUUCCCACCGAGCUUCACCAUGGCCUCCAUUCUCUCCAAGAAGCAAAAGCAGAAGCAGAACACCAUGAAUCUCUUCGACCUCCGAGCCCAAGGGCACACCUCCUCUCCUCCAGAAUCCACGUCAACAUUCCUUCUUCACUUUUCUCCUCCCUGAUAUGGGGUUUUACAAAGUGGCGACCAUCGGCUAAGGCGGAGGCCGCAGAGGAGCAGCAGUCAAGGAGGUACGUAGUUGUCGACGGGAGAGGGAGAAGGCGGAGAGGUUUGAGAUAUUAUAAUUAUAAAAGAGUAUUUACUGUUAUUACUUUUUCUUUCUCAAUUAACUAUAAUUAGAGUUAACUGUAAAUUAUCACAUAUGACAGUUUUUUAUUAGAUGGUCUUAUGACCAAUAAAAAGCUGUUGGUCGGCAAAUUUGAAUCUAAUUUUUUUUUUUAACAGGAGCUAGAUAGAGCAGACUAGCAGAGUGCUCUCACACCUCAAAUUUAUUAAUAAAAAGAAAGAUUAUAAAUAAGUUGGAUGACACUAAAACCAGUAUCCUAAAACACCAAACAAGAGACAUCAAACUACACUAUAAAAUAAGUCAAUGAAAACGAAAGUUUAGGAGACCGAACUUAUCUCGUUGAUACAUGCCCCGAAUGAAGUGGGAAGGUUCAUCCCACCAAGAUAAUGCAAACAUCGAUAAACCCAUAUUGGUAAGAGCAUCGGCCACCUGAUUACCUUCCCUGAAGAUAUGAGAAGAUAAAAAAUUCAUCUGAGAAAUACGGUGCAAACAAUUACCCCAUGCUACUCGCAAACGCCAAGGGACAAGAUGAGGAUCCCGUAAGAAAUUAAGCACAAUUGUUGAAUCCACCUCAAGCCAAAUAUGCUUCCAAUCUCUAACCCAAGCCAACUCAAUAGCUUGAAUAACCGCCAUAACCUCUGUAUCCACCGAGUUAGGAAUUUCAAGGUUUGAAGCAAAAGCACCAAGGAAAGAGCCGUGAAAAUCCCUAAAAAUUCCACCAUAACCAGAUUUCCUUGUAAUCUUUUGCCAUGUACCAUCAGUAUUGACUUUAAUCCAACCAAAGAGAGGUGGAUGCCAAUUAACCUCUGUAAUCCAAUUUUAAACACAUCAUUCACUCUUAUACUCUUAUACUUCCCACAAUAUCAACCCCACCAUAAAAAGAAAACAAAUUAACCGGAGAGCUUAGUAGCUUAAACGGGCUAGGCGGCGUUUAGGCGGCUGCCUAAUUGCCACAGCCUAGCACAAUGGCCUAGAAGAAAAACAAGACGGCUUCUUACAGCCUAGAGCCUAGACGAAGACUAUGCGGUCCUAGACGGGACUUUUUAGAAGCAUGAAUGUACGUUUAGACCUAAAUACAAUGAUAGCUUUACCCAUGAACUUGAGCUAAACCUAGAUUUUCAACAAAAGUCCUCGAGCUCUAUUUAAUUACACAAUAAAGGUCCCAAGUAUUAUUAUUAAAUAAAUAAAAGGCAUUUGCCGGUCCUUUUCCAGAAGUCUCUCAAAUCCAAUGCAAAUUCACCAAAUGGCAACGUCUUCGUAUUGAGCUGGACCACUCUUACAAGGCUACUGUCCUAGCUCAACCUUGCUAUAAAUACAGUCCCUCAGCAUACACUGAACUCCAAGAACAACCAGUUCCCUUAAGCAAAUCCAUAAGCCAGAAUUAAUCACAGCUCCUUCAUUUCCUUCCCUUCUGUGUUAACUAAGCCAUCUGCUUCACCAUGCUAGGCAUAGCACAAAAUACGGUGAGCAAGGUGACCUCAACUGUCACCAACAUUGAGGGUGAGCUCGGCUUGUUCACCAUGUCUGACCACAAAAUCUUAGAGCUCAUUUACACCAGCCAUGUCCAUGAGGACGACUCCUUUGACGUCGAUUCUCUUUUCUUGAUCACCGAAAACAUCAUCAAGCGUUCUACCCAGAUCGUCGAUAACAUCGUGCAGGUAUACAUAGUAUGCUGUGCUAGUCCAUUAUGCAGUGUUUUUCAAUGUGUGAAUUUGUAUGGACUUGUUGUGAUUCUAUCUGUUUAGAAGUUUCUGUAGAAAGCAUCUUGGAACAGUAGUGCUUCUGCUGGUAGCGCUUUUGCGAUGAGGUCCAUAAGCUUUUUUCACCACAAAUAUAAGUGCAUGCAAUAAACGAAAAAGGCUUUACUUUAACGUACAAUUAUUGUUUUUGUUUUUGCUUUUUUUUUUUUUUUCUUGGUUAAUUGGAAACAAGAUGAGAUGAGAAGAAUCGGAACUUUACUUUGCUGCAAAUAAAAACAGAUUAGAGAGAACGAUUAAGUCGUUUUCAGUAACGAUCGAAGCAGGCAUCUUAUAGGGUCACCAACACCACGCAUUCAUGUAUUUGACAAAAGACAUCAAUUUCAUGGACAAGAACAAAAAAAAUUCAUUAAAGGUAAUUGAAAAAAGAAAAGAAAAAGUUGUUCUUUACCAUGCAUGAGUCCUGGACCAAGAAAAUGAAUCUCUAUACAAUCUUUGUCACCAAUUAGAUAUCCAUUUUGAACUUCUAAAAUAUAUAGUUGAUUUAUAGUAAUUUUAAGUUUCUAAAUUAUGUUACUGUUUUUUUUUUUUAAGUUUCUAAAUCAUGUUACUGUGCAAAGCUAAUUAUACUCAGAAAGUUCAUAGGAUUUUUAGCAUGGUUAUAUUGAAAAUUGAUAACCCUUGGUAAUGUAUGGGAAAUAUAUAUAUAUAUAUAUAUAUAUGUUAUUUGUUACAGUUAACUUGAUAUGUACAUAUAUAUAUAUAUAUAUAUAUAAUUGAUCUUGAAUAUUAUUAGAACACUAGCUAGAUUCCAGUUAUUAAUUACUUGUGACUUGUUGGCUUUGUUGCAGGGAACCCAGGUUCAUGUUGAAACCAUAGAUGAGAUGCCCCCAAAAGCCAGCUUCAGCUCCCCAUUGUGUACCCUCAAAUCAAUUGGUUGUGAGGUGACUAAUUAUUACUUACACUGAAAAUUUUCCUAAUUUAGGAUUUUUUUUUUAUUCUUUCUGAGUUACCUAAAUUAACAACCUUUGUACGUGUAUGAAAUUUCAGCUAUCUUGCAAGGCUCCAGGUGACGAGAUUGCCCACAAAUCAACACUUUCAAUACUCAACAAGCUAUCGACCUAUUCCUGGGAAGCCAAGGCAGUCUUGGCCUUAGCUGCCUUUGCUUUGGAAUAUGGUGAGUUCUGGCUCCUUGCCCAAAUCCAUCAAUCUGACCCGCUUGCGAAGUCUGUCGCAAUCCUUAAGCGAGUGCCCGUCCUUCUCAAGCCCGCUGACCUCCAGAAACGGCGCCAGGCAGUGGUUGAGCUUAACACUCUGAUCAAGACUACAUUGCAAGUGAUCGAGUGCAUGUUUGAGCUGGAGAAGCUUUCUACUUAUGAUCCAAAGGAUGUGCCUGCAUUGGCCAUUGCAAUGGACCAUAUCCCAGUUGAUGUCUACUGGUCUAUCAUAACCAUUGUUGCUUGUGCUACUAAAGUCACCCUUCUCACCAGUGAUGAGUAAGCUUUCGUGUCAACACCAUUUGAUGAUCUCUAUAGUUGACGUGAUUAGAGAUAGUGAAGAACAUUUAUUUAUUUAUCUAAUCUGAAUUUGAUGUAGGGACAAACCACACGAUUUAUCCCAAUAUUCUCAAAAGAUCCAUUACAUCCUAAACAAGCUUAAGAUCCAGCUGAUAAUCUGCAAGAAACAAAUAGGUGGGUACUUUUUUUUCUUAAUCAAUUUGUAUUCGUUGUGUAUCUUGUACUACAAGAAAUGCUGAAGAAUUAGUAUUGAAAACAGAGGAGGCAGAGACCUAUAGGAAGCUGAGGAAACUUUUUCAGACCCCUACCGAAGUUAUGGAGGUGUUCAAGGCCCUGAUUUUCACCAAGGAUACAGUGCAGCCAAUCAUUGAUGGUUCGACUAACAAAACGGUAUGUUCGAUCCCCCUAUCAAAUACCGUAUUGUGGAAUAAAAUUUAUAACAUAGUUUAUCCAUAGUUUUAAACUUGCAUUGUACUAAUCCAUGUAAUUGGUUAUCCAAAUUCCAAACAGGUUACCAUUGAUGUGCUGAGGAGGAAGUAUGUGUUGUUGUUCAUUUCAAGCCUUGACAUUUCUGAUGAUGACAUUGCAAUUCUCAAACCAGUUUAUGAGGGAAUAAAGAAAGAAGAUAAGUACAAGAUUGUGUGGAUUCCCAUUGUGGAGCAAUGGACUGAUGAGCUACGAAAGAAGUUUGAGAUCUUGAGGACUAAGAUGCCAUGGUACACAGUGCAGUAUUUUUCACCAGUUGCAGGCAUCAGGUUUAUCAAGGAAGAGUGGCACUUCAAGGGUAAGCCUGCAGUGGUGGUAAUGAACCCACAAGGCAAAGUAGAAAACACCAAUGCUCUCCACUUGAUUCGAAUUUAUGGAAUGAAGGCAUUUCCUUUCCAUAAGGGCAUAGAAGACACUUUUACUAGUGACAAAGAGUGGAUCACCCCCAUUGUGAAUGAUAUUCACCCAACCAUUCAGACAUGGGUAAGCAAACUCAUAUUCACAAUACAACACAAACCAUUUGACAUGUUAUGGUUUAAUUUGUAACAUUUUGACUCCUCAACAGAUCAAGGAGGAGAAGUACAUUUUCUUCUAUGGAGGCAAGGACAAUGAAUGGAUCCAGCAAUUCACAAAGAAAGCAACUGCCAUUGCAAAUGAUCCUUUUAUUAAGGAACUUAAGAUCAACAUUGAGCUGUUUUGUGUUGGUAAGAGCGCAAAAGGAGGUGAAGACCUUGGGAUUCUCGGACGUUUCUGGAGCGGCAUUGAGAGCUUGUUCUUCACCAAUGUCAACAAGCAAACGGACACUGUCACCAAAGAAGUCCAGAAGCUACUUUCCUAUAAAAAUGAGAGUGGAUGGGCCGUGCUUAGCAAAGGGUCUACUGUGGUGGUCAGUGGUCACGGCUUCACAAUCUUGAAGGUGCUCGAGGACUUUGAGAGAUGGAAGGAGCUUAUCAAGGAAAAGGGCUUUGAGGUCUCAUUCAAAUCGUACCACGAUAAGGUGAUUCAGACCAUGAAGCACUGUGUCCGCCUUGACAUUCCAAGUGUUGCAGGAAAGGUUCCGGAGACAAUGAAGUGUCCCGAGUGUCCUCGCACCAUGGAGACCUAUGUGAGCUACAAGUGUUGCCACACUGAUGGUCCUAUUAACGCGCAUCAUUAGAUCUAUGGUUUGCUUUUGAGAGACUGAGAGGGUGUCUAAUGCCACUAUAGCUAGCUGGUACGAGGGAUAAGUGUUAUGCUUUGUUUUGUUUGUCCAGUGUCAUCGUUUGUACAAUAAUAAUGGGCAUUAUCAUUACGUUGGUAAUGUGUUGUCCGCCUAUGUGAGUCUGAUUUGUGUGUUUUCAAUACUAGAGGUACUAAAAUCUUAUGUUCAUCUUCUAAUGUAAUCUUAUUUAUGUUAUGCUAUGCUUCAACAGUUCUCUGUAUCUUUUCGUGCCCUCUGGCUUGAAGAUUUUCAUACUGAUGUAGCUACCUUUAUCUUUUUCUCCUUUUGGUUGAGAAAAUCUAAAGAAAAAAUGCCAAGCUAGCUGCAGCAGAAGGAAACAAAGGGCCCAAGAGAAACACACUAUCACACCCCCAAGAACCAAUUACAGCAUAUCACACACAUCUCGCUCAUAAACCCAAAGGCAGAAAUAUCAUCAACAAACAACAAGAUGCAGACAAAUUCGCAAGAAGGAAGUGAAAGCCUUACUUUCUGCUACAAGGAAUCAUAUGCACAACAGCACAAGGAAUUUUACUAACAAAAAAAUUGAAAAAAAUACCAAAUAUGUCCACAUAUUCACGGCUCUAAAACAGUUUCGAUUGCUAAGUUGAGGAAUAUUGAUCCUUAAAGGACACCAGUACAUAUAUAGAACCUAUCAUUUGAUGUUGUAACUAGUUGAUCUGUGCGAAUAACUAAACUUAUUCUUUCUAUCAAACGAGUAAGUCUCCUAAUGUUAAGAGUGCAUGUAAUUAGUGUUAAUUAAUUAGCUGUUAAUGAGUUUGAUUAAAUUAGCUACACUGUUAAUUAAGCUUUCAGUUUCAUAGUUAGUUCCUCAUUCUGUAAGUCUAUAACAACCAAAGAUCAAUACAAUUCCAGAGCUUAAUUUCUUUCUUCUCCUUCAAGCAAAUCCUUAAAGCUUUCACCUUAAUUAGUGGAUCGAUGAAAGUUACAAAUUAGAAGAAGGCAAUAGAAGUGCUAAUCGUAGUAGCUUCUGAAACGAAUAAUAUAGACAAAAGGGAAUGCUUAAUCUACAAAGUAAACGAGUUACAAAAUAACAUCAUCUAGGGGAAUAAUAAUAUUGUUUCAUGGCAUAUACGGUUUGCACUAUAGUGACUCCCAGAAGAACAGAAGCUGCAAUCAAAGAAGUAACUUUCCAGAGGCUUGUUGAAGUAACAUUCCACGUUAGAUAAUUACGCUUCAACUGUGCAGUAGUUCUUAGCUCACGCCUCAUUCUUUGAAGUUUUUUGUCCUGUGCAACCUGGUAAUGCUCAUUUACUUGGUAGCAGUCCGUCAUACAAGAACUCCUUAAGCGAGGUAUCAUUGUAAAGCUUGUUGAAGAAUUGGUACGCUUUUAAAUCAGCACUCCGCCAAUUAGUAGUUAUUAUGUUUUUCUCACAAAACAAAUUCAUAUCCUUUUGCGAAGCGAUGAGGUUGUCCAUCAAAACAACAUAUGAAGUUACUUUCUGCGCACAUCCAUGAUAGCAUUGCUCAAAUGCAAUCAAGUUCCUGAAUAGUGAUUCUGUCAACUCUCCAAUGACUAGUGGUGGAAUCGUAAACACUCCAUCUUCGAAUUCUAUAUAUGUUAUGAUAUUCCUAUCACUGGAAUCCAUUCUGAACACUACUCCUGCCUCUGAUAGGGUAGUGGCAGGAUGCAUAAAUUGUGUCUUAAGGCCGUAGAAAGGCGGGCGAAAAUUGUUAUAAACCCUGUCUUCCAAUUCUAUGUUCACUAUGCUGUCACCGUCACUUGCGACGUCUGAGAGAGUAGUAGUUGGAUGCAUUUUCAGUUGCGUUUCAGGACCAUAAAAAGAUUGCUGAAAUUGAUCUUCUUUGAAUUUGAAAACACUUGAAAUUCUUAUGAGGUCAAGUAUGUGCAAAAUUUUGUCAUCGUGAUCAUGAUUAUGAUCAAAGUCGGUGUCGAGGAAAAUUGUAUUAUGAUCUAUGAAGCGCUUGCUGUUAAGCCCCAAUUGUGGUUCUGAGUAAAAGAUGACAAGCAAGAGUCUUUUGAGGGAGCAAUCAACAACCUCCUUCGUAAGGAUAUGUAAAGAGUUGAGAACAAACCAAGGAAGCUGAUUCUCUAGUAGCAAAAGGUCAUGGCAUAAAUACUGAAACAUGAAAUCCAUGUUGAAGACGGGGUCAUUGAUGCUAAUAUCUUCACUAAAACAAAGCUUCCGAAAUAGUUCGAUUAUGAACAAACCGUCAAGUUUCAUCAUUUCAAUGAAGUCAUUCUUGUUGAGAUGAUCAAGCGGUUCUGCAUAAAACUCACGGGCAUGUUUCUCAAACUCAAUAACAUUAAUGCCUUGAAUUAACGUUUCAAAGUUAUAUUCUUUCGCAAGAGAAGGUUACGCAAAUACCAGAGUUUCACAUUUUCCAUGGGUUGGAAGUGUUUACUGCCUCGAUCAUGAAAGGGUCCCAUUGCCACAACAUCAGGAUGAUAAGCCUUUGGAUUUUGUCUCCUGAUCACCUGAGGAACUGUGAAAAUGCAGCACUUGGCAGAUACAGGUGAAUCACAGUGAAGCUUUGCACUGAUGUUGUUUUCUAAUGCUUCAACAUUGAUUUCUUUAUCAUCUUCCAUGACAAUGAUUCAAAUUUUUCAAUCCAAUUAGAUAUGCACCUACACCAAAAGACUGAAACAACAACAUAAGUUGCCACCAGAACAAAAACAAAAUUUUAAUCGGAAAAUAAUAGCGUUCAUAAAUCAUAAAAACUCAUAAAAAUUAAUCAGAUGCUCAUAGAAAAGAUGACCAGUAUUAACAACAAAUUCAAUGAAGUUCUGGUAGUGGUACGUACCGAGAUACCAACCUUAUUUACUGCAUUCUUCAACUUAGUGAAGGGGUCAAUCAUUGAAACUUAGAAGAGAAGGGGUUUAUAUAAAUCUGUUCAAACACUCAGUUCUUUAUAGAGUUAAUUAACAGUUCCAAGUCGACAUCUUCGAUCAGCAAAAGGAAAGGUCGAAGUAAAGUCCCAGAAUGGCCUCUGCAUAUUGCUGGUCAAUCACUGACCCAGUCAAUAUAACUUCUCCAGCACGAAAAAUAAUAUUUGGAUCAAGAAUCAAGACUAGUCCAUGCAUUUGAUUCUUUGCUUCUAGAAUGCAUUGUCUGCAUUCAACGAUGUUGAUCUUAGACUACAAUUUGAUGCACCCAAAUUCUCAAGAAGAGGGAAGUGAAUGCCUUAUAUACUAUCAAUUCUGCUAGCUCGACGAGUCAUAUGUAUGAGGAAUUCCAUUUUACUAACAAAAAUUACAAAAUAUGUAUGAGGGUAUUCAAUCUAAUUUCCGAGCUUCUUAUUAUUGCUCCACAUAUUCACGGCUCUAAAACGGUUUGGAUUGCUAUGAGGAAUAUUAUUGAUCCAUAGAUGAGAUAGGACACAAGUACACAUUGAACCUUUAAUAAUGGAUAUUGUAACUAGUUGAUAUGUGCAAAUAUACAAGACCAAGUAAAAAGAAUCCUUAGUGGACACACAAAUAAUGAUGGUGAAUUUGACUAGUACAAGCCUGCACUAUAGUAUAUAUGGUCUGCAACAGAGUGAGAAGCAGAAGUAUAAAGGCUGCAGUCAAAGAUAUAAAUUUCCAUGGAUCAGAACAGUAGGUGCGCUUGAACUUUUCUCGCCACAUUUUCCAUUUGUGAUCAUAGUGUUUAUUGAGUUUAGAGCAGAGUCCACCGUAGUAGAACUUAUCGAGCACAGUGUCAUAGUAAAGCUUGACGAAGAACUUUGAAGCAUCCUCAGCGCUGAGCCAGUUAUCUAUGAUUUUUCUCUCACAAAGAAACUCCAUGUCUUUACUGGAACCGAUGAGGUUGUCCAUUAAAACGGCAUAAGAUGUUAUCUUGUGUGAAUGACCAGGAUAGCAUUGCUCAAAAGCAAUCAGGUUUCUGAACAAAGAAUCCGUCAACUCUCCAAUUGCUAGUUGUGGAAUUGCCAGAGUCCCAUCCUUGAACUCAAUGUUCAUUAUGCUUCUAGUGGAGGAUGCCCUUCGGAAGCUAACACCGGCCUCUGAGAGUGCAAGCGCAUGAUGCAUCAAUUCUGUUUCCGAGUCGUAGAAUGAUAGAUCAAAUUGAUCUUUAAAUGGGAAGACUAUUGAAGUUCUUAUCAAAUCAAGUAUGUGCAAGAUUUUACCAUCAUCGUCAUCUUCAUCAUGAACAUUAUGAUUUAGAUGGCGCAGAUAUGAAAGACAAUUAUGUGCCAGUUGGUGAUGUGAGCUGAAGACAGUGAGCAUCAGUUUUCUGAGGGAGGGAUCAUCCUUGGGGUCCAAGGUAAGGGUAUAUAAACAGUUUAGGAGAAACCAAGGAAUCUGAUUUUCUAGUAGCAAAAGGUCAUGGCAUAUAUAUUGAAACAUGCAAUCCAUGUUAAAUAUGGGGUCACUGAUGUGCCUAUCUUCCUUAUCCCUAAACUUCCUAAAUAGUUCUAGCAGGAAGCAACAAUCUAGUACCAUCAUUUCUACGAAGCUGCUCUGAUUAAGAUGAUCAAGUGGUUCAGAAUAAAAAUCACGGGCUUGUUUCUCAACCCUAAUAAUCUCUUCAAUCAAGAGUCUCAAACUUAUAUUCAUGCGUGAGAGAAGGUUUCGUAAGUACCAUUGCUUCACUUUUUCCAUGCGCUGAAAUGGUGUACCGCCAUGAUGAAAGGGUCCGAUUGAGACGACAUCAGGUGUAUAUGCCUUCGGGUUAUGUCUCCGGAGAACUUGGGGAACUCUGAAGAUGCAACAUAUGUCAGAGAAGGGUGAAUCUCCGCCUAGGUUGUUCAUCAUCCUGUCUUGCAAUGCUUCAACAUCUGUAGUAUCUGUGCUAUCAUCUUCUAUGACAAUUGAAAUAUGACCUGUGCUACUUGUUAUACCAUUGAUUGCCAUGGCUGUUUCUUUGAAUCUAAUUAAGUGUCUCGAAAGGCUGGAAAAAAUUCGAAUGAAAUUAAAAACCAACAUUGUAACUUCAAAACAACUAAAAGAAAAAGGCUUUUUGUAAAAGGACCUUGAAAUACAAGUGUAACUUACCUUACUAUACAUCUACAGUAGUGAUACAGCUAAAAGGAUCCGGCUAGGAGUUGGAGUAUUGGAGCUAUGAAAUUAUUUGAAACCAAACCGAAAUAAGGGAACUAGAUCGAUGAUGAUACCAGAAUCUUUCUCAUCUUAAAUAGAUUCAUAAGUCAACCUUCUUUCGUGCAAUUGUGUGUUGCUUGAUGAUCAAGUUAGAGUUGUUAUUAAGCUAAUAAUAUUGCAAUUCCUUAUACCAACCGUUAAUUGUCUGAUGAUCCAUCAACUCUUACUGGGAAAUUUCUUCUCUUUUUCUGAUGAACCAAAAACCGGCUAACUAAGAGUAUUUUAAUUCUAGCAACUUACAAACGCAAGCUUAAUUUGCAGACAUGUAUUAACAAAUUAGGUUUAAUCACAUUGUCUCCUGAGAGUUAUUGAUAUCUUAUUGUCACUUGAUUUCAUGGUCAUUGGCAUGGGUCUAUAUAUGUCAAAAGACUAAUUAAGCCUGGCAGACCUUGAGUUUAAACAACAUACCUGAUUGAAGUAAAAAAUUAAGGGAGCAAUUUGUUGACGAACAAAUAAGAGUUAAAAUUACAUGCAAUAAAUAACUAUUGUGGUCCAUCUUCGACCCAAACUUAAAAUGCAUACUGCAUUUUCCUAGCUAACACAUUGAAGGAGACAUGUGCACAAAUAAUUUUAGAAAAAUAACCAAACUCAGAUUAGACCACUUCUAUGAAAGCAUCUCCUACUGAGUUCGUCACCAGACAGUGUUCCUAUGCCCUUCGACCCAGUUUAAGUUUCAGUUUAGGUUUACGCGUAUAAUUAAAUUUUUUUUUUUGGUUAAUGAUCGAGGAUAGGCGAAUAAUCACCUAUCACUCUAUGUUAUUAAUAAAAGAAAAAAGAAACAAAGGAGGGGGAUCAAAACCAAAACCUCCUAAAACAAAUGACAGACUAGCUGAAACGAAAUUGAGGCAUAUCUCUAACAUCGUUAUUAUAAGACAAUAAUAUGAAAUGUGGAGGCUCAUCCCACCAUAUCAAUUCAGAGCAUGACGUACCUUGAUUUGUCAGAGCAUCAGCUAUCUUAUUCCCUUCACGAAAAAUAUGAGUAGCCUUGAAAUUCAUUUUAGAGAUUCGGUAUAAGCAAUUCAACCAACGAACUCGAAGAGGCCAAGGAACAAGAGAAGGUCUGCGAAUAUAAUCAAGUACCAAAGAUGAGUCAACUUCCAACCAAAUAUGUUUCUAAUCACGAACCCAAGCAAGCUCAAUAGCUUUAAUAACAGCCAUUAUCUCCGUUGAAAUUGAACUAGGAAUUUCAAGAUUAGAGGCAAAAGCACCUAGAUAGUGGCCUUUGUAAUCUCUAAACAUAGCACCAUAACCACCCACUCCCUCUUCAUGCUUCCAAGAGCCAUCAGAAUUUAUCUUCACCCACCCAAGAGAAGGAGGAAUCCAAUUAACUUCAACCACUCUAGGAGUGGCACGAGGUCGACAUGGGGCUCCAAAACCNNNNNNNNNNNNNNNNNNNNNNNNNNNNNNNNNNNNNNNNNNNNNNNNNNNNNNNNNNNNNNNNNNNNNNNNNNNNNNNNNNNNNNNNNNNNNNNNNNNNNNNNNNNNNNNNNNNNNNNNNNNNNNNNNNNNNNNNNNNNNNNNNNNNNNNNNNNNNNNNNNNNNNNNNNNNNNNNNNNNNNNNNNNNNNNNNNNNNNNNNNNNNNNNNNNNNNNNNNNNNNNNNNNNNNNNNNNNNNNNNNNNNNNNNNNNNNNNNNNNNNNNNNNNNNNNNNNNNNNNNNNNNNNNNNNNNNNNNNNNNNNNNNNNNNNNNNNNNNNNNNNNNNNNNNNNNNNNNNNNNNNNNNNNNNNNNNNNNNNNNNNNNNNNNNNNNNNNNNNNNNNNNNNNNNNNNNNNNNNNNNNNNNNNNNNNNNNNNNNNNNNNNNNNNNNNNNNNNNNNNNNNNNNNNNNNNNNNNNNNNNNNNNNNNNNNNNNNNNNNNNNNNNNNNNNNNNNNNNNNNNNNNNNNNNNNNNNNNNNNNNNNNNNNNNNNNNNNNNNNNNNNNNNNNNNNNNNNNNNNNNNNNNNNNNNNNNNNNNNNNNNNNNNNNNNNNNNNNNNNNNNNNNNNNNNNNNNNNNNNNNNNNNNNNNNNNNNNNNNNNNNNNNNNNNCACCAGGCCAUAUAGAAGAAGGAGCAUAAGAUUUCCGUCUAGAGAAACGAUUGCGAAUAAAAGCACAACCCUCAGAUUGAGCUGUAUAGAUUUCCCAACAACGUUUCAAUAAGAGAGAUCGAUUAAGCAGAACUAGUUGUUUGAGCCCCAAGCCACCUUCUGCAAUUGGGGAACAACAAGACUUCCAAGCCACAAGAGGGAUCCCUCUUUUAUCAAUUGAGCCAGACCACAGAAAGUUUCGGCACCAUACCUCAAUUUUUCGCACCAUAGACACAGGCCAUUCAUAUACUUGAAAAGUGUAUACCAACAUGCUAAAAAUAACAGACUUGAUAAGCUGCAAACGUCCUGCCAUUGACAAAAAAGAACUCACCCAACUCGAUAACUUUAUCCUUAUUUUGUCAACAAUCUGAUGGAAAUAAGAAGCACGAGGUUUGCCAUGAAAAAUAGGGGCACCCAGAUACAUGAAUGGAGCAGACCCCAAGGGAAUCUUGUCGCAAUUAAUCUGGCAUAUAGUGCAGAUCAAAAUGUCUUUAGAAUGAACAAUUUUACAAGCAAAUCAAAAUUGCUCUGGCAAAUCAAAGUACGUCAUAUUCUGAGUUAAUACGGGGGGAUGAGCCUCCACCUUUNNNNNNNNNNNNNNNNNNNNCCAUUCAUAUACUUGAAAAGUGUAUACCAACAUGCUAAAAAUAACAGACUUGAUAAGCUGCAAACGUCCUGCCAUUGACAAAAAAGAACUCACCCAACUCGAUAACUUUAUCCUUAUUUUGUCAACAAUCUGAUGGAAAUAAGAAGCACGAGGUUUGCCAUGAAAAAUAGGGGCACCCAGAUACAUGAAUGGAGCAGACCCCAAGGGAAUACCCAAGAAGUUCGAAAUAGAAUGCCGCCUUGAAUGUAUACUAUUUCCAAUAAAAACCUGAGACUUCCCUUUGUUGAUAACUUGACCUGAAACUCUACCAUACUCAUCGAAGAACCGUAUAAUCCGCGAUAAAUUCCGCCUAUUUCCCCGACAAAAAACAAUAACAUCAUCUGCAAAUAGGAAUGAGAUGGAGCAAGAGUAUUUCGUGGAGAAGAGAUACGCUGCAGUUGUCCCGAUGAAACAAGUAAAGAGAUCCCACGACUAAGGACUUCUUCUGCUAAGCAAAAGAGCAAGGGAGAAAGAGGGUCACCUUGACGCACACCCCUUUCACAAGAAAAAUACCCACAGUCUCCCAUUAAUCAACAGNGAAAGGCUUGGCUGACAGAAGCAAGGCACGCACCCAUUGUACAAAGAUCGGAUCAAACCCAAAAGCCUGAAGAACAUGAAGAAGAAAAUCCCAUGACAGAGUAUCAAACGCCUUUGUAAUAUCAACCUUAAUUGCAAGGUUACCCCCAUGACAUUUUGAGUUCAACAAAUUAAAGCACUCUGAAGUAGUUAAUAUACAGUCUGAUAUGUUCCUCCCUGCAACAAAAGCAUGUUGUUGAGGAGAAAUAAUACGAGAUGCCACUGAUGCCAACCUGAUAGCUAUGAUCUUUGGGAUAAUUUUAAACACAAAGUUGGUGAGGGCAAUAGGGCGAAACUGCUUUAUGGAGUCGGCAUGAUCAACUUUGGGGAUUAAGAUGAUAAUACCUGAGUUAAAGGAAGGAGCCAAAUAACCAUGUUGAAAAAAAUACUGAACAGCCUUAACAACAUCAGCACCAACAACAUCCCAGCAAGAGACGAAAAAAUGGCCAUUAAAUCCAUCUGGCCUCGGGGCACUAUCAGGAUCCAUUGAUUUGACAGCUGCCCAAAUUUCCUCUGAUAAUGGAACACUAGUAAGCAUCGUAUUUUCCUCAGGAGUUACCAUAGAGUGAAUCACUUUGGACACCAAGCCACUAUCUUCAUACUCUGCAUGUUUAGUAAAAAGAUUUUUGUAAUAAUCAACUAUAUGAUUUUGGAUAUAAUGAGGAUCCUGAAGCACCUGAUCUCCAUCACGAAGCAGAGUAAUAGAAGAACGAUUUCGGCGCACUUUACACAAAGCAUGAAAAUAAGAAGAAUUACGAUCACCUUCUGAUAACCAUCGCAACCUUGACUUCUCACGCCAAAGAAUUUCCUGAUGCCGAAUAGACUCAUUCAAAAUGGCCUGCAAUUCAGUCUCUUUUUCAAACUCUUCAUCUGAUCCCCCAGAAGCUGCAAUUUUAUUUUGAAUAUCAGCAAGGGCUGCAAGGUCAAACUCAACUCGACGGUGAACAUCCCCAAAGACCUCCCAGUUCCAAGUACGGAGAGAUUUUCUUAAGGUACGUAGCUUACAUUGCAGGACAGAAUAAGGACAACCAAACGAAGUAGUAGAGGACCAACAUCCUUUGACAAAACUCAUAAAAUCCUUAUGCUCCAACCACAUUUUUCUAAACCAAAAGAGACUAAAACGAGGCCCUGUACACUUAGAAAAGGACAUUAGUAGUGGAUUAUGAUCAGAGCAAGUUCUGGGUAAGGUGCAACAGUCAAACUGAUCCCAUUCCUCCAUCCAAUUCAAAUUAGCAAGACUUCUAUCUAAUCUUAGCUCCACAUUACCACGAAAACCACGCCGUCUCACCCAUGUAAACUCUGCCCCUUUAGUAUCUACAUGAAUAAGUUCACAAACAUCUGACAUUGCCUGAAAUUCCUCACAUGAUCGCCGACAUAGAGGAGCACCUCCUUUCUUUUCAUGAGCACCAAGAACUACGUUAAAAUCCCCAAAAACCAACCAUGGUCUUGUAAAGAAACAUGCUGAUCCGAGGUAGACAACACCCGAAUCCAUGGAGCCAGAGAAGUCUUACAUGUUACAAGUACCAGUCACAUCAAGAAGAUAUCCAAAAAUAUGAGAUUUGUUGGAGUUACUCCUCCUUUCACAAAUUUGUGUGUUCUUGCGACGCUCUCUUAAAACUGGCGCAUGCAAAUUAAGGUUGCAUAUAUGAAAGAGGAAACUCUUCUGCAACACGUUAACUGCUACUAUAAAAAUCUCCCAGAAAUCUUAAAGCCAAUGCAUUUAACAUCAACCAACGUACCAGAAGGAAGAUAUAGCAGUAUUAUUAUAUUUUUUUUUUGGCUGAAAGAUGAGUGAGAGAGGAAUGACCCCCUAACACUCUUAUGUAUUAAAAAAGAAAAAAAGAAAUAUCAAGAGAGGGGGAUUAGACCAAAACCUCUCAUAACAAAAUAACAACGAAACAAAACUAUGAAAACCGAAAUUGGGGAAGACCCAUAAGGUCACUACUACAAUAUGACAAAAUAAAAGGAGGAGGUGAAUCCCACCAAACCAGCUGUGUUAAUGACGUACCGUGAUUAGCCAGAGUAUCUGCAACCUUAUUCCCUUCACGAAAAAUAUGAGAAGAUCGAAAGGUCAUAUUCGAUAUGCAACGUAAACAAUUAAGCCAACGGACACGUAGAUGCCAAGAUACAAGCAAAGGAGACGGUAGAUAGUCUAACACAAGUGACGAGUCAACCUCUAACCAAAUAUGCUUCCAGUCUCGUACUCAAGCAAGCUCAAUAGCAACUAUAACUGCCAUCACCUCUGCUGCUACUGAACUAGGAAUAUCAAUGUUGGAAGAAAAAGCACCAAGAACAUGACCUUUAAAGUCACGAAAAACAGCACCAAAACCUCCAACACCCUCUGCAUACUUCCAAGCUCCAUCCGAAUUAAUCUUCACCCACCCAAUGACUGGAGGAUGCCAAACAACCUCAAUAAUUCUAGCUGCCAUCAGUAGUUGAAGAAGUUAAUAUAUAUGUAGUUAAAAGAUUGUUACUUGUUCUUUUUCAGGCGUAUCGAACAAGUAUUUUAGGAUAAUGAUAUGCAUGUUGAUGAAAAAUCCUUCUAUCCAACAUUAAUUUGAACCCCCAAAUAAUCAAAUAAUGCAUGACAUGAAUGGACUUAAUUAGACGAUCAAUACCCUCGAUCGAAUGUACCAAUUUAUAAUUUUUGUUCCACAUCUCACAUAUACUCCAAUUUACGUACUUUAAUAUCAAUUAUCUCAUUUCCAUGAAAAAUAUUGAUAAAGCAACAAAAUACCAUAAAUCACCAUCACUGCAAAUUUAUUACAAAGAAGAUAAACACUCAUUAAGCUGCUCGAAGAGAACCAACCACAACACACUACGAACUCUAUUAACUGGUCCUAGCUAGAUAUCUCACUCGGCAAAUCAACCAGUGCGUAGAGUUCCCUUUCUUCUUCAGACCAUCGAGUCGCAAGGACAAUGCAACGAAUUGUGACAUCUUUCCCAAUCCUAGAGAGCGGCUUCUCAGGGUUUAAGAACACAGAGUCAUCAUCUCUAGGGAUAAAAUGAUAUUCCGGUAUCUUGUUAGCAGAGAGAAACACAUUUUCAACAGGACCGCAUCGAAGAAAAACUCCGUGCCUCAUUACCUUGUAAACAACCCCAUCUAUGAUCUCUCCGACGAAAAGCUUGAAGGUGAUGCAGUUGAAAACAACCGGAUACUUAACUUCACCGGUGUCCGGCCUCACCAUUCCUUCUCCUAUGCUCUCCACAGUCGUCACAGCCAGAAAGUAUCCCAGAUCUUUUGUUGCCCUUUCUGUAGCAAAAUCAUCCAGCAAGCGGCGAGACACUUCCGUUUGGAGCUUCACUCCAUCUUUGUUCAGGCUUUUGGGAGGAAGUACAACACUCCGGCUCAACUCUGCUUUGAGAUACAUUGCACUUCUCUGUUUCAAACCCUAAAUGAAAUUUCCAUAUGAGAGCAAGCCACAGGUAAUAAUCAAGCGAAGAAACAAAAUACCUGGAAAAGAAAAAUUGUUCUUAUCUGGAAAAGAAAAAUUGUUCUUAUAAUGAAAGAUAAUGUAGCAGUAGAGGUUUUCAACACGGAACAAAAUAUGAACAACAAUGUCUCAAGAAGAGGAAAUUACAGAACUUCUCGCUUACCUUCAAUCUCAGAUAGGAAGCUCUAUCUCUCUUUUCUCAGUUGAGCUUGGUCUAAAAACAAAGCCAGAGCUAGCGUUCACUUCUUUUUAAGCAAGAAGCUUGAGUGUACACAGUCAAAGCUUCUCAGGGACAAAAGUAAAGCAACACCGUAUCCUAGUAAAGACACAGACCAUUGCCCAAGUAAACACUAAAUAGUACAAUACUUGUACAUUACACAAUCAAUGAGAAGUUUCCUCUUUUGUGAAUGUGUCAUGAACUAGAAGCCUAGAAAAGAGUCCCCCUCUCCAAGAGAGACCAAGACUCUUAGAAAGAUAAAGAUAUAUAACAUUUGUUUGGUACACCAAACUUCGAACCCUGAAAGCUUUAUUUAUUAGAUGCCAUUUUUUCAUUUCUCUCUGUCUCUUGUCAUUUAUUCAAUCACACUUACAUACCACCGCUCACCUUCGUACAGAUAUGUGAUUGGUUAAUUUUGAUUUAUUUCUAUUUUUUUGUGCAGCAUUGAAAUCCAUAUUGUAAUGCAACUGCAAAUUUGAAGCUGCUAGAAAUCAAUGGUGAAAACACAAGAAAAAAGAAGAAGAAAGAAUUCGAAGCUAGAAAGCUAGCAUAAAAUCUAAGAAAGAAAGAAAUCAGAGGAAGAAUACGUACGACGAACUGAUAUUACUUUUUCUCUACGUAAUUUAAAAACGGCUAACAAAUUAAAUACUUGUAGUAAAUUAAGGAUAAAUCUCCGCAUACAUACUAAAUUAAUUUUUGAAAUGAAUACUAACUUGAUUAUUAUUGAGUUUGACCUAUGCUUUUAACUGAAACAAGAUAAUAGUAUAGAUUCUCAGAUUUAUAUACGAUAAUUGAGGGGGUUAAUUUAUGAAAUGUGAAAUAUAUGAUUAAUUAUUCUUUUUUUUUUUUUGUUAAACCAGAAGCUGGGGAAAGUCGAGUCCUCUUUGUGUGGAUUAAGAGCUUAAUUAGCUGUUUAGUGUGUUGCUUUGUUGCUUAAUUAGCUGUUUAUCUCAUUCCUAUCUGGACAUCUGGUCCAUACUGACCAUUAUUAUAUGACACGUACGUGACAUUAAUCAGUGUACGUUUCUUUCUCUUCAGUAAUAGAAGCCUCAUACGUUCUCUUUCAUUUUCCUCUUUCUCUGGUUUUCAUCGUAAACUUUCACUCUCUUCGAUCAUCAACUUCAAAUUUAUUGAGAUAAAGAGAAUAUACAAUCUAAUAGGGGUUGCAAAAGAGCCUGAAGAACAAACCGAAUGACAUCAAAUUAAGCGGUGAUUUUACCUCAAGCUCCUAAUGUCAAAAUUUCGUAUCCUAAUUUCAUCAAAUUAAAUAUCAAAUUCAAAAUGCUCAGAUAUUUGGGGUGUGUUAAUAGCAAUAGUCUAUUUAUAUUGCAUAUCAUAAAUGUAUUUGUAUAAUUGUAUUUGUUCCCAAGUACGUACACGUACAUUUGAUCAGUGAGUUCAAUAGAACAAGCACAACACAAAUAAAAUUGUAUAAUAUGAAGACAAACGGGAAGUACACUAUAUAUGUGACUCGCCCAAUUAACACACUAUUUCAGUGGCUGUUCGAUUGAGUACUCAAUCACACUAGUGUUCGAUCACUACUUAAUUUCGUGCUUGUCUUCUUCAUGCAUGCAUGUUCUUGUAUUAUUGAAAUUGACAUGUAUGGACCCAAACAAAAAGCUCUAUAAACAUCGAUCAAUCCAUUAUCAUAUCUUCCGGGACGAUCGACUCACAGCCCAAAGGAGUAGGGACAACGUUCAGCCAAAUGAAUGGUUGAUCUUUCCCUCACUUUAUUAAAGCUUCUUCUUAUCAUAGAGAGAAAAAGCAAUAGAAUUGCUUUUCAGUGCAUUAAUUAUAAUCAGAAUCAAACCUACUAGUCCAACUAAGAUGGAAGUAGACAAAUGACAUAUAUAUAAGAGGCACAUUCAAAUAUCUCAAAUACAUACAACAACCACACACAAAGGAAGAGAGAAACGUAGACAAUUCUGAAUAAAUAGCUAGCUAGCAUAACUUCACCACUUAUGCAUAUUAACCCGAAUGUUGUUUGACUGACUCCACGCUGUGAGAAUCAAAAUGAAAAUACCUAUCCCGAAAGCCAAAAUUCUCCAGGGGUUAGAGAAUUUCUCACUCUUGAGUAAAGCCAGCCAUGUAUACCAUUUCGAACUGUAACAAUCAUUCACCUGUUUGCACAGACCAACAUAGUAGAACUUGUUGUGCGGGAUGUCCUUGUAGAGGUUGCUGAAAAACUUACAGCCAUCUUCAUCACUCAUCCAGUUGCCUAUCACUUUUUUCUUACAGAGUAAAUCCAUGUCAUCCUGGGAAGAGAUAAGGUUAUCCAUCAAGAUGGCAUAGGAUGUGAUUUCGUUGAGAUAAUCAUGGUAGCAUUGCUCGAUUGCGAUGAAGUUCCUGAAUAAUGUUUCCGAUGACAUUCCAAUGUUUAGCUUUGGAAUCUUAAGAAUCCCGUUCCUGCAAAACCGGCCUUCUUCGAAUCGAAUGUCCAUUAUGCUCUCCCUUGUGACGCUUUCGAAUUUAAUGUCUGCCUUUGAGAGAUCAGUUGCGGUACGAAUUUGAUGUAGAUCAGGGUCAAAUAUAGCUCCAUGAAUAUCUUUAUCGUCUCUCUUGUAUUUGCUGCUCCCACUGCGCACUUGAUGCUCUUCAGCUGGGCCGUUGGAUAUACCUUCUUUACCAGCGUCUUUAAGAUCUCUCUUUUCUAUGGUCCUCAAUGGAAUAACUAUCGAAGAUCUUAACAGAUCAAGUAUGUGAAGAAAACGACCUUCAAAAUGAAACUUGUCUCUGUGAAGAUGAUUUUUAUAGGAUGAGCAACUUUGCUUAAGUGAAGGUAGUGUGCUGAAGGCUUCAAGGAUGAGAGUAGAGAGGGAGUCUUCACUAGGGUACAAUUUGUGGGUAAGGUUAUACAAACUGUGGAUGACAAACCAAGGUAGUUGAUUCUCAAGGAGCAAAAUGUCAUGGCAUAGAAAAUGGAACAUGCAGUCCAUGUUGAACACUAGGUCAUCAAAGGCCCUGAGAUCGGGAUGGUUAAAUUUUCGAAAUAGUUGAAGUAGGAAACAACCGUCAACUAUCAUUAUCUCGGUGAAGUCUUUAGAAGGAAUAUGAUCGAGUGAUUCUGCAUAGAACUCUCGCGCGCGUUGCUCAAAUCCGCCUUCGCGAUCGCUCUUUUGAUCUGAGAGCUUAAUGACUUCUGCGGUCAAUCCUUCCAAAGUUGUAAUAUUCAUGCCUACAAGAAUUUCAUUCAAAUAGCUCUGUUUCACUCGUUCGAUGAGUUGGAAAUCUUUCUCGCGUAUGCCUUCCUUGCCUCCUUUACCUUCCUCCUUGGCUCGAGUUUCUGGAUCAUGGUGAAAAGGUCCGAUUGAAACAACGUCAGGUGUAUAUGCUUCUGGGUUUUGUCUCCGGAGCACGUUAGGAACUCUGAAGAUGCAUUUCUUGCAUUUCUCAUUGCGAAUAUCAAUAGCUGUAUGAUCUCUACCGAUUUUAUGAUUUGCAGCCAUGAGUGCUAUAGAUGAUCAAUCCCCAGCUAAUCAGUUCAGUCUCCUGAAAAGGCUGAAACAAGUUAUAAUUCAAUGGAAAACAUUACAUAUAAUCAAAUAACAUAGAAAUGAAAAUGAACAAAGUACAAAAUGCACGUAAUGAUCGUAUGCACUCUACGUAGCUAGCAAUGAAGAAGGAAAACAUUACUAUGUAUUGUACCUGGGGGAGGGUUGAGACUUCAGAGAGAAUUGUGCAGUAUAUCAAUGGUGAGGACUGAGGAGGGGAAUUUAUAGAACUUGAGUUUGGGUUAGGGUGGUUUCAACUUGCAGCAAACCAGUUCCUUUUAACAAGAGAUGGAUGGCUCUAGAAUGCAAGAGUGAUAAGGAAAUUAUUAAGGAGGUAGAAAGUUGUUGUAAUAGUAAUUGUGGUUUAGGUAGGCUCUCAAUAAUUGAAGGAUAAGUUGAUCAAUUAACUGUUACAUGCUAGUGCGAAGACCUAUAAAUUAAUCGUGACUCAAAGUCCGCUCCCUUUAGUUACUCCUCCAUGACCGGCAGGACAGCUUCUCCAAACUAAUUAAAUUAAUUUGUUAGGUUAAAUCGAAUUAAUUCUAUUAACACUUAUAAUUAAUUAAGUCAGGGAUUAGGGCUUAUAUAUAUUGCCCAACAUAGACUUGUCUUCUUUUUUCUUUUUCUUUUUUGGUUACAACAUAGACUUGUCUUCCUCAGAUAAAGAAGAAACAAAGACUUGUCUAGCUAGUACGUUGUCGUCUUGGGAAGAAUCUAAAAUGUCUUCCUCCACGAGAAAUAGAGAGAACAACACAAGUUACAAAUUAAAGGAGCCUAAAUUAUUGUAUAGAUAUAUAUACAUUUACCUCUACGUUAUAAGGAGGUAAUAUUUUGAAAAUUUUACAGACUUAAUCGUGAAAAUAUCAUCAACCUCACCAUACAGCUGUCAUAAUAAUUCAGAGACUUUUUUUUGUCAUUGUGAAAUAAAGCAUAACCUUAUAAAUUAUCUAGUUUCAUGAUAAAGGGAUCGAGUCUUUCAUUGAUGAAUAUUGGUUGCUAGGGCCAUCAAUAUUUAAAUCAUAGAACGUACAUGGGAAUUUGAUUGCUUCUAAGUGACGUGGGGUGGUGAUGCACAAGAGAACGAAAACGAUUACAAAGGCAGAUGCAAGUAUUAAUUUGAGGCCGAACCACUCAGCUAGCUAUAAAGAUAUUUUCUUCCUAAUUGUUUUCCUUCUUGUCAAAAAAGAAUGACAACCCACGUAUCGCUUAUGUUUGGCAUCGAACUAGGACAUGAAAGACAUAUACGCAAAUUUACUCACAAGCAAAUAGGACUCCAUUAUUUAUGAUAACGUCGAACAAAUAUACAUCGGAAUACACCAGCAAAAUAACAUAACAUUAAGGUGAACAUUCAAAUAUCUCAAAAGGAAAAAACUUGUAACCAUGCAGAAAGAUAUUGAGGAAAAAGUGAUAAACCAUUGUGAAUCACUAGCUAGCUAGUAAGCUGUCACUUCUGCAAGAAAGUCCGAAUGUUGUUUGUCUGACUCCAUAUGCUGAGACACAAAACGAUAAUACCUAUCGCAAAAGCCAAAAUUUUCCAGGGGUUGGAAAAUUUUUCACUUUUGAGUGAAACCAACCAUAUAUACCGCCUCAGUUUGUAACAAUCAUUCACCUGCAUGCAGAGAUCAGCAUAAUAGAACUUAUUGUGCGGGAUGUCCUUGUAUAGGUUGCUGAAGAACUUACAACCAUCUUCCUCACUCAGCCAGUUUCCUAUUACUUUUUCCUUGCAAAGUAAUUCCAUGUCUUCCUUGGAAGAGAUAAGGUUAUCCAUCAAGAUGGCAUAGGAUGUAAUUUCAUUCGAAUAACCAUGGUAGCAUUGCUCGACUGCAAUGAGGUUCCUGAAUAAUGUUUCCGACGACAUUCCAACGUUUAGCUGUGGAAUCUUAAGAAUGCGAUUCCUGCAAAAUCCGCCUUCUUCGAAUCGGAUGUCCAGUAUGCUCUCCUUUAUAACAGGUUGGAAUUUAAUGUCUGCCUUUGAGAGAGCGGUCGCAGUGUGCAUUUGAUGGUGAUCUGGGUCAAAAAUAGCUUUACGAUCGGCUUUAUUGUCACUCUUGCCUUCUGGACUGAUCUUCUUUUGAUCGGCCCUUGCACUAUGCAUUUGAUGUUCUUCUGGGUUGGAUACACCUUCUUUACCAGCUGCUUUAAGCGCUCUCUCUUCUAUGGUCCUUAAUGGAAUAACUAUGGAAGCUCUUACCAGAUCAAGUAUGUGCAGGACAUCAUCAUCACAAUGACACUUGGUUUUACUAAGAUGCGUAGUAUAGGUUGAGCAACUAUGCUUCAGUGAUGGUAGUAUGCUGAAGGCUUUAAGGAUGAGAAUAGAGAGAGAGGCUUCAUGACCAGGGUAUAUAUCAAGGGUAAGUCUAUACAAACUGUGGAUAACAAACCAAGGUAGUUGAUUCUCUAGAAGCAAAAGGUCAUGGCAUAGGAAAUGAAACAUGCAAUCCAUGUUGAAUAUCGGGUCAUCAAAGGCCCUGAGUUUCGGAUCGUUACACUUCCGAAACAGUUGAACUAGGAAGCAACCGUCAACUAUCAUCAUCUUGAUGAAGUCUGGGGAAGAAAUAUGAUCAAAUGGUUCUGCAUAGACAUUGCGGGCUCGUUCCUCAAACGUACUUUCAUUCUUCUGACCUGAGAGCUCAGUAACUUUCGCAGUCAAGUCUUCCAAACUUAUAUUUUUCAUACCUGCGAGAAUUUCAUUCAAAUAGCUCUGUUUCACUCCUUCCAUAAGUUGGAAGUCUUCCUCCCCUUCCUUGCUUUCUCGGACUGCCUUGUCUUCUUUUCCUUCCUCCUUCCCUCUCUUUACUCGAUAGUGAAAAGGUCCAACUGAAACAACAUCAGGUGUAUAUGCUUCUUUAUUUUGUCUCCGGAGCACCUUAGGAACUCUGAAGAUGCAUUUCUUGCAUUUCUUGCAGUCAUCGCCAAUAUCGAUAGCGGUUUGAUCUUUACCACUUCUAUGAUUUGCAGCCAUGCGUGCUAUAUAUGAUCAAACCCAAAUAAAUCAGUUAGAUCGAUCUCCUUGAAAGGCUGAAGCACGUUGUAACUAAUGGAAAUAUAUAAUCAAAUUACCCAGAAAUUAAAACGAAAAAUAUAAAAUAAAACACAUGAUAUGAGCAUAUAUAUAUAGACACACACACCCUGGUUAAUUAGGAAAGAAAAGCAUUAAUAUAUGUAUAUAUAUAUUGCACCUGAGGGAGGGUACAAUUUUUGCAGUAGAUCAACGCUAGCUGAGAAUUGGGAAUCUGUAGAAUUGAUCAAGUGGGUUAGCUAGGGUUUUUGCAGCAAACCAAUUCCUUUUGAAACAGAGAGAUCUAGCUAGACUGAUAAGGGAAUUGAUAUGGGGUACAGAAAAUGGUUGUGAAAACUUCUUGUUAUAUAGGCACUCUUUUACUUACAGUCAACACGCUGGAGAGUUUGCUCAUCAAGUUGAUCAGUUGUUUACAUGCAAUUGCGAAGACCACGAAUAUCAUAACUACAAAGUCUGCAAUUCUAAUAGUUUCUUAGGUCAUUUUUUUUGACAAAUAAUCGUUUUUAAGUCCACAACAACCCUUAAUCGUCAGUUGAUGAUUACUCUUCUAAUAUGGCUGGCAGCUUCACCAAAUGAACGUUUGGAUCAGAAGAGGACAAUCGACAGGUCGAGAUAGAGUAUUAUUGGGUUUCAAAUGUACGAGCACAUAAUUUAACAUGUUAGGUUUACUGAAAUCUAUUAAAAAGAAGUCUUCUUAUUUUAGUGUACGUUCUUGUAGUUUUUGGCCUUCGAGCUCCAGGUCAAACUCCAUUAUUGUUGAGCGAUCGAGUCCUAAUGUACUCCAAAGCCUUAACCAAGUACGUACUAAUAAGCAGGUACUAAUAAGCAGUCAGGAGGUCUAGUCAGAACACUUUCUUCUCACUGGCCACAAACAACAAUUUUGCGGAUCGAAUGCGAGUUAUGGGGUUCCUCAUCUUAACUCUCAACCACUAGCUAGGUCACAUAUUGUUGUGUACAUAGUUCAGUUUACUUUAUUACUUAACCUCAAAGGAUCCUUGAUUAGUCAUUAUUAUGACCUCAAGAUUCUUAGAGUAACAAAGGUAUCUCGAGCCAAAAUUACUCUAUAUAAACUCCAGAUCCUGUUACAUCCAGAGGAGGGUAAACCAAAGCCUAUAUAGAGCUAAUUAUAUUAUACACCAUAAUCACUAGCGCUCUCAAGAUCAAGUUAUUGACCAACGCCGAAUAUCUCCUAGCUAGCUAGUGAUAUCUAGAGAAUUUUCCUUACAUAAGUACUUAUUUUUGUCUAAUCACCAAGGGAAUUUGUACGGGCAACACAAUUGCCAACAGGUAAAUAGUGAUUGCAGCCAAUACUGACGUGGAUUGUGAUGCAAGAAACACAGAAAACAGAAAAAUGAAAAUAGCAAAGUCCGAAUUAUUCAGUUGGCUAGUACGUGGAUGCUUCAUGAAUGCCUUCUGAAUUAUUGUGUGAUGCUGCUAGUUUCAUAAAAUAGUUUCAUUGACAGGGAUAGGAGCCAGGCGAAACUCACCUAAUGUAAUUGCAUGUUGGCAUAUACAAUAACAAUGGUAUCGCCACCAACGAAGACUUUCAUUUAUAAAGAUACUUUCAUGACUAAUCAUAGCAUUAUGGAAAUAUGAUUGCUUCAAAGUGACGUACGAGAGAACAAAUUAAGAUGAUCGAUCACAAAGGCAAAAAUGCAGGAGACCCUGCUAGACUGGCCGGUGUUAAUUUGUUUGAAACCUAGGUUUAAUUUAGGGUUUAGUUUCUAUGCCACCCAAGAACACGGCAUAUGUUCAAGUCCAAUGGUCAUGAUGACUGGUGUAAAAGCAACACAGUGUUACAUAAUAUUAUCUGAUUCUUAGAAUGUUUUAGUAAAAGCAAAGUAGCAUGGGGUUUUGUUUCUCCUAGCAAUCGUUUGCUUAAUCUUUUUCAUGUUGCAUGAAUUUUUCCUAAGCCUAAUUAAUUAUAAGAGGAAACUAAUUAACGCAAAUUAAUCAUUAGUAAUUGGUCGUCAUGCUAAUUGGCACAUGAUGCAGAAUAUAUGAAUGCUAAAUAAACAGGGGAAAAUUCUCACUAGCCCUAAAUUUAGACAUUUUUUUCCCACCAAUAAAAAGAGAUUCUAAAAUUCUCAUCAACCCAAUAGACUCCUAAUGACUAUUCCCACUAACAAAAUUUUUGACUUUUAUGUUUUUUUCGUGACUAAAUUACCCUGCUCUCUUAUCUUCCAUUCCAAUUCGUCUCACUUCCACCUCUCUCUCUCUCUAGAGCAGCACACUUAUGCAGAAUCGUCACUCUUCGAUCACAACCGUUCCGUACUCCCCUACUAAACACUCGUUUCUCUCUAUGAGCUAGUCGGCUUCAACAAUGGCGACUCUAAUGCAGAAAAUCAAGGACAUCGAAGAUGAGGUACACUCUUUUCCAUCGCCACAAUGUCUCUUGUGCUUUAUCUGCGAAUUUAGAAACCCUAGAAAUCUAAGCUCUGUGAUGAGUCAGUGAAAAUCGAAAGAAGUUAGCACUGUUUAGCUCUUCAUUUUCGGAUGCUUAGGGCUUAAAGCGAGAUUAAAAUCGCGUCCAAGAUUAUGAGGCUUAAUUCAGUUUUGUGUUUGCUUAACUUAGUUCAGAUGGUUGAGAAAUCAAUUCGAAUAGAAAAGUAAAAUAGAAUUAUAAAACGAUGAAAAUUUGCAUAGGUAGUGAUCAUUCUUAGGCUGGAUUGGAUUUAGUCUCUAUCAGUGAAAUCAAAUCAAGGAAAACAGUAAGACGAUUGAAAUUUUUGAGUGUGGCUUUUGUUUUUGUGUCGAAUUAAUAGCGAUAUUGAUUGUUAAAUUCAGCAUAUCACUUGGAACAAACAGGUUUUGGUUUCUUGUUUUGGUUACUUCUGGACCCUCUAGUAGUGUACCUACCUGAUAUGCAUUUCACAUUUUCAGUUUGAUUGUAUUGAAUAUCUGUAACUCCAGUUUUUUAUUUUAUUUGAUUUAUUCAUGUUCGAUAUGUGCUAGGUUGUUGUUGAUAUUCCAGUUCGUUAUAUUUUUUUGGGUAUCAACUAUUUGCACACCACCUGUUUGUGUAAAUGUCUCAAUGAAUCUGCGCAAAUCUUUACAUUGAGUCAAAGAUUAAACUUUUGAUGUCUUACACUUUCCUGUAAGUACUGGUUACCUUUCUACAUAAGGCACACAUGUAAGUAUUUUGCAUGACAAGCUGAAUUAUCAUGGCAAUGUCUGUGCUUUGGAUCGCAAAUAAUUCAAUUCAAAGAAAGACGCAUGUGAUGUAUAAAAUGCCGAAUAGAAUAAAAGGAAUCAGUGUUCAUGACUCAUAGGUUCGAGUCUAUGUAUUGUAGUUGGGUGUUAUUAUGAACUCCUCAUAUUAAUCAUGACUUCUGUUUUACCUUGUAGCCGUUGCUGGGGUGAUUUGUCACACAAAACUGUUGGAAACCAUUCAGCAAUUUUCGAUAUUGGAGGAGUCCUUGGUGGAAUUUUAGCGGGAUUGAUAUCAGAUAUGUUUGAGCUCCAGCUGUUACAUCGAUUGCAUUUUUGUUACUUUCAAUUCCAGCCCUUGUUCUCCACCGGGCAGAUGGAAGCUUAUCUAUGUUUGCCAAUAUUGUUCUAAUGUUUAUUGCCGGAUUGCAGGUGAAUCGUCCAUAUGCGCUCAUCACAACAGCUGUUUUGUUCUAUUAAUGAGCAAUAAAUGACCACGUACGUAGCUUCUUUCUGGUCUAUUUUUUCAUGUUGGUUUUGUUUUAUUAUGUUUGUUCUAAAAGUUUGCUUUUAUGGUAAUGUUAUUGGAUGAUCGAUGCAAUUCAGUUCGAUAGACAUGUCUUGUGUUAUUUAUGUUUAUGAUCGAUACCAUAAGAACGCUAAAUUUCUCCUGGAAAAUUUAUUUCGAUGAUCGUUGUCCUAACGAGCUUGGGAAUUAUUUGUAGUUGUAGCAUUAACAAAUGAUUCUGCUACUAUGGUUAUGUUUUAUGGUUAUCAUGAUUUUAUCUACUAUGACUCUCCUACUACUAUCCUACUCUCCCAUCUUUCAUGUAUAUUGCCCCCAAUAGGAGGUCAUACUAACCCCAGUAGGAGGUCCUACUGCCCCCAGUGGGAUAUCACUGCCCCUAGUAAGAGGUCCUAGUCGAGGAAUAUUAUGCUCUUUGUGUAUGUUUUAUUGUCCUUCAAUUAGGGCAUCAAGAGUCAUUUACUUUCAUUCUUUUGGUGUAGAUUUGGAUAUAAGUUAUCUUCUCAUUCUCACAUCUUAUAGAAUAAUAUAGAGACUCCACUUCUUCUAUUUCAAAACUUUUCUUGUCCUAUUGUUCAAUGGUCGACUGCCCCCAGUAGGAGGUCAUACUGCCCAUACUGACCCCAGUAGAAAGUCCUACAGACCCCAGUAAGUGGUCCUACUGACCCCAAUAGGAGGUUCUACUGCCCCUAGUAGGUGGUCCUACUGCCCCCAGUAUGAUGCCUUACUACCCCUACUGAUCCCAGUAGAAGGUCAUACUGACCCCGGUAGGAGGUUCUACUGCCCCUAGUAGGUGAUCCUACUGCCCCUAGUAGGAUGGCCUACUGCCCCUACUGAGCCCAGUAGGAGGUCUUACUGCCCCUAAUAGGUGGGCAUAUUGCCCCCAACAGGGACCUGUUAUAAGUGACUAAAGCACAACAACUCCCGGAGUCCGGUCAACAACCCCCGGAGUCCGGUCAAUGGUCCCAGAAGCCCGGUCAAAGGUUGCCGAAGUCCGGUCAACGUCAUUAGUCGUGGGAAUUCACUUAUAAAAACUUUCUUUUAUAAUAGACUCUUAUAAUGGUCUAUUGUAGUUUAUUUAAUUCAUUAAGGGUAUAAUUGUCUUUCUGCUCUUAUAAUAGUCUAUUGUAGUUUAUUUAAUUCAUUAAGGAUAUAUUUGUCUUUCUGCUGUUUAAGUUGACUAUUGGAGAUUUUAAAAUCUGAUUUUGUUAGUGGGAAUAAAAUUCUUAAAAUUAAGGCUAGUGAGCAUUGUCCCAAUAAAAAACUACCAAAUUAUAUGCAAUGCAAUAUAUGCUAAUACAAUUAACCUGAAUAUUAUUCAAUUAAACGGAAUUUUCAUACUAUCAAAAUACACGUACGUACUGCUCAUUAAGAAAUCAAAUUAAGCUGAACAUGCAUGAAUUAAAGACACUGGCCGGAGAGGAGAAACCAUUGGGGAUUUUGUCUUUAACAGAUGUGGAACUCUUCAGAACCCUCUCAUUUUUGUAGGAAAGUCCGAAUGUUAUUCGUGGAGGUCCAUAUGCUAAGAUCCAGAAGAAAAAUAGCUACGAAGAAAGCAAUAAUCUUCCAGGGAUUAGAGAACUUUUCAAUCUUCAACGAAGCCAAAUGUGUAUGCCAUCUGAUUCUGUAAUACUCAUCGACUUGCUUGCAGAGAUGGACAUAGUAGAACUUGUUGUGUGGGAUACCCUUGUAAAGGUUGUUGAAGAACUUGCAACCAUCUUCCUGGCUCAGCCAAUUACCUAUCACUUUUGCCUUGCAAAGUAAUUCCAUGUCUUCAUUGGAGGAGAUGAGGUUAUCCAUUAAAAUGGCAUAAGAUGUAAUUUUGUUUGAAUAACCAUUGUAGCACUACUCAAACGCAAUGAGGUUCCUGAACAAUGAGUCGGCCAACGUACCAAUGUUUAGCUGUGGAAAAGUGAAAACUCUGUUCUCGAAUUGUAUGUCCAUUAUGCUAUCACUUUUGACACCUUUGAAUUUGAUGCCGGCCUUUGAGAGAGCCGUCGCAGUAGCAUUUCAUGUAUUUCUGGGUCGAACAUAGCCUCGUGAACUUUGUUUUCUUUCCUGGCUUUGACCUUUGAUGGAAUAAUAAUGGAAGAUCUAACUAGAUCAAGUAUGUGCAGAACAUCUUCACCAUUGCUACUGCCAUGACAUGAACUAAGAUGUUGUUUGUAGGAAUCACAAGAGAAAUUUUGAUAAAUAACCACUUUUAGAUGUUGUAAUUGAUUUUUAACCAUGUUUUACAAAUAGUUGAAAACUGACCAUUUUAAUGGAUACAAAGUCUUAAUUGCCCUCAAUUAGUUUUCUAAAACUCAUGGAUUUUUUUAAUUUUUCUCAAUAGUCUUAAUUGCCCAGUUCCUAAUAUAUACACAAGAGAAAACAUGGAAGAAAUCCUUGAACAUUUGAAUAUCUUCAGCAAAAGGAUUGAGCCUCCAACCUUUGUUGGAAUCGAUCUUUGUUAUUAGCAAAAUCUACAAUGUCCUUGCAAUUGCAUUCACAUUUAACAUGUAAUUUAUCAAUUCUCACUGCCAAAAAACAACCUUGGAUCAAAGCCGUAGCUACAAAUUCAAUAGCUGCCAUGAACUUGUUUUAUGAUCUCUCAAAAUAGCACCAGCACCACCCAUGCAUUUUGAGAGAUCAAUUGACUUUGAUAAAACGUUUAUGGGGAGCGAGGAUUUCAAUGGUUGGCUCGUAGCUAAAAAAUACUCAUUAACUGAGUUAUAUAUAUCAUCAAUUACAAUUGCAUUUUAUUACUCAGAAGAUCGUUAAACCUAGAAUUCGUAGUAAUUGAAUCAUAAUUACUAAUAGACUGAUAUCCCCUUAUAAUUGGUAGAUCAUUUCAUUUCUUAAAUUUCAAACAUAUAUAAGAAAUCCCAACAUAGAGAAAAAAGCUUUGCGUUUGAUGUCCACAUGUUUUUUAUUUUUUUUUUGGGGUUUUUGAAUCUAAUCUUGAAUGAAUGAUGAUGGAGAUUCAAGAAAAAAAAAAAAAAGAGAAAUUUAGAUGAGGGUAUAUGAGACUUUUGAUCAAUUGAUAUGAUUAUUUUUCAAUUCUUUAUAAAAUAUGGUUAAAAAUCAAUUACAACCCCUAAAAGUGGUUAUUUAUCAAAAUUUCUCGAAUCGCAACUACGUUUCAGUGAUGGUAAUGUGAUGAAUGCUUCGAGGAUGAGGAAAGCGAGGGAGGGCUUAUGACUGCAGCAGUUUCCAAUUAUAAGGCUGUAUAAAUAUAGAAUGGAACAAAAUAUGGAAGGAUUGAAUAUGAAGAUUCAAUCUUUUAUCAAAUCAAAAGCAACAGACACAAGAACACAAGGUUUGUUAACAACAGUGUAAACCUCCCUCGAUGAAACGUCACUGCGAGACUUUUAAAGUAGUCCACACUAAAUCAAAUCAACUAUACAGUAAGAAUAAUUACAGAUCUAUCAAGUAGUGAUAUUCAACACAAUCACUUUACUAGUAUUCCAAACUAACUUGACCUUACAACUGAUAACCCUAUUCUAACUCUCCUUGAAUCUGAUACAGAUGUGAAGGAACUGAACACGCCUUCUUUUCUUUUCAACUUCACUGAUCUCAAUCACUUAUGCAAAUGAAUAAUGAAGAUCAUAUCAAACAUAGGAGAGAUGAGAGAAAUAGCAUGAACACAAUAUCAACUCAUAAGCAAUGUAUCAAAGUUUUUUUCUAUUCUCCAAAUCUCUAUCUUUUCAGUUUCUCAAAAACCUAUUUAUAUAUAAGAGACUUCUCCCCCUCAGUUAAUGCAUAUCAACACAUAUUGAUUUGUUUAAGAGAAUCACAGCAAUAUGUCAACUGCACUUUGUUUUGAUAUGGAAAAUAUAUCAAUCAACUAAUCUGCUAUAAUUUGGGAAAACACAAUUUUCCAAUUUAAACCAAUAGGCAGAUAAGAUAUUUUCCAAAACAAAUGCAUCAGAGUUUAAAACAAAUCAAAUAUAGACAAAGAUAUCUUUUAUUUGAGAAACUCAUUUAAUGCAGCAUGUAAUCACAUAGAACAUAAUUAGAAAAUCAUGAAUGUUAUGUAUAGUGAAUUAUCUUGAUUGAGAUCAGAUCCAUGAAUUUUCAAUCUUCUUUCAAUCCUUGACAAAUUUCUUUAUCACUUUGAUUUUGCUCUCUUCAAUGUGAUAUCCUGUCAAAAGAAUACACAAGAUAAAUAUAAAUCUUGAUAUCACAAUCUAAUAGUAAAUGAAAGAAUUUCUAAUCAUAUUAGAACUUCUUUACUUACUCAUUAGCAUAAGAGAAUUUAAAUCCAAUAUUAAUACUAAUCAAAUUAGAAUUAAUAGGGAAGUUCAAUUAGAUAUUCAAGCACAUAAAACCUAAUCACAAUAGGUUUCUUUAUUUUCCCACACAUACAAGUCCUAAUCAAAUUAAGACUUAUUUCCAACGUAGAAGGCUAGUUAUAUAAGAUAAUUUUAAUCCAACUAAAUCAGAAUUAGUGAUAGAAAUUAUCAUAUCCAACUAGGGAACACAUAGAUUAUGUACAUGCAAGGCAUCCUAGCAUUUUGUAUAGGAAUGCCAACAUAAAUAUAUACUAACAGGCUGUAUAAAAUCUCAAGAACAAACCAAGGUAGUUGAUUUUCUAGGAGCAAAAGGUCAUGGCAUAGGAAAUGGAACAUGCAAUCCAUGUUGAAUACCGGAUCUUCAAUAUCCCUUAGUGUUGGAUCAUUACACUUCCGAAAUAGCUGAAUGAGGAAGCAACCGUCAACUAUCAUCAUCUUGAUGAAUUCUUCGGAGGAAAUAUCAAGUGGUGGCUCGGCAUAGAAGCCGCGGGCACGUUGCUCAAACCCAAUCGUGCCUUCAUUCUUUCGAUCUGAAAGCUCAAUAACCUUUGCCGUCAACAUUUCUGUUGACAUCAUCAUGCCCUUGAGCACUUCAUUCAAAUAACUCUCUUUCACUCGUUCCAUGAGUUGAAAUUCUUCUUCAUUGCCUUCCUUGCCUUUCUUGCAUUUUUUACAUAACUUGCAUUCCUUGCACUUCUUGCAAUUCUUGCAUUCCUCGCAUUCUUUUUCUCCCUUGCUUCCCUUCCCUCGACGAUGAAAAGGUCCAAUUGAGACUAUGUCAGGUGUAUAUGCUUCCGAGUUUUGUCUCCGCGGCACCUUAGGGACUUUGAAGAUGCAUUUCUUGCAUAAUUUCUCGCAUUUCGUGCAGUCAUGGAAUUCCAUAUCAAUAGAAGCGUGAUGCACCGCCAUGAGUUCUGAACAAGUUACAAGUAAAUUACCAUUAUUGAAGUUAUCAAGUAAUUGAAAUUUAACAUUCAUAUAAUUAAUACUGUACCUGAGGGAGGGCUGAACUGGUCAAAAGCUCAAAUGGUAGUGAAUGUUGAUCAAGAUCGAUCAAGACGAAGCAGGCAGAAUAUUUGUAGAGAUUGAUCUAGUUUUGGGAGGGUUUUUGCAGCAAAGUUAUAUGUAUCUUGCAACCUAAGAUGAGACAGAAACUGAUGAUAAAGAAAUUUAGAGGUGCAGAAAGUUGUUCAGACCAUUGGUGCUUUUAUAGUUGAGAGGAAUUGCUUAUGUCGAUCAAGCUGAUCAGUUUCUCUACUCAGCUAGCGAUGACCUCGAGACUUAAAGUCCGCUUCUAAUAGUUUCUUUAAUCCCUUCGUCCUCGAUAAGUACUUUUUCUUUUCAAAAUUGCAUACACCAACCCUUAAUUGGAAUUAAUAUGAUCAUCCUAGUCCUAGGGUAUGUUUUUUAUAAUCGAAUUCACAUUGGUCUAAAUUGUCAGCUAAAUUUAUCAAGUUUUUUUAAAGCAUUUUCAAAACCUGUAAUAUGUUUGUACAUGGGGGUAACGUAUGUGUUCUCCUACAUGGAGACAGUAAAAAAUUGCUUGAAAUUUAGACCCCGGAAAGUCAUAUUUUGUUUCUUAGCUCAAAAUUAGUAUUUUAUGAUUUGAAAGAAAUGUGCCUGCUCCUAGGUCACAUAAUAUAGAUACGUCUUCAUCUAAAUGAUCUGUUCAUGCUUAAUCUCAGCCGGACUUUUGUGCCAUCUAACUAAUAGUUUGGGUGUGUUCAAAGACUAAAAUAUCGACGAUUAUGUAAAUAUUGAUGGUUUGAAAAAAAAAAAAUCUUCAUCGAUAUAUCGAGAAAAUAUCAAAUAUCAAUAGAAAUUUUACCAAAAUUUAUAUAAACAUUGUAUAUUCGACAAAAAAUAAAUUAAAUAUAAAUUAUCGGAAAUAUAUGAAAAUUAAUAACGGGAAUAGUAAAAAACAGAAAUUUUGGGAAAAAAUUGAAGAUCUCAUGGAUAUUUUAGUCCUUGGGUGUUAGCUUGAGGAUGAACAGUAUGAAGAAAGGAAACAGUGGUUGUGCUACUGUAUUGAUCGAGUUGAGUAAAAUGGUCACAACAAUAGGCUUAUAUAGUUUUGUACACGUGUACAAUAGCUGUAGAGUUAGAUUUUUACAACCUCCAGCGAGCUCAUCCCAACAAAGAGGAAAUUUAUUACUACAUUUCUUGAAUAAGUUCUUGCAUUUCGUGCGCAACAAUAGCUGUAGAGUUAAAUUUUUAUAACCUCCAGCGAGCUCAUCCCAACAAAGAGGAAAUUUAUAACCGCAUUUCUUGAAUAAGUUCUUGCAUUUCGUGCAAUCAUGGAAUUCCAUAUCAAUAGAAGUGUAUAAUUUGAUCUGAAUUCAUUGCAGGCCAGAUCAAUUAUUACAUUGCAGGGCAACUCAACUUUGGGAAACAUAGCUCUUAAGUUCCUGUGAUUUAGAUGACGUUAACAGUGAUGACGCUAAAUUAUAUAAUGUGAAAUUUCAUAGCUUCGUAUGGGGAAGUAUGUGUUAAAUUGUAUUAGGUGUUACGACAAAUAUAGAGCCUUCUCGUUCAAUGCAUAUGUUUAAAGGAUGAAAGAUUGACAUGUUUAUAACUUAUGAACGUUUUUCCAAAAUGAACUAUGAGAGAUCUUACUAAUCCACAUAUAUUCGAGAGACAGAAUUUAACUAUAUAAGGACACAGUUGGAUGUCUAACAGUGCGUUACAUCUCCUACAUACGAUAUUUGCGAUAUCUAAAUGUGACGUAUAAAGAUCAAGUCUCCAACGGAAAUGAAAGAUUAGAUUAAUACAGAGCAUGCCCGACCCUCGACGAGGGCUCUUGGGAUCCACUCUUACCUUUUGAAGCACUUCAUGAAUAAGAAGCUGAUGUAUCCACGAUUGGCAAGUGAAAUAGCCGGCAGUUGGAUUUUUUCGACAUGUUACCUAGUGUCAUUGCCAGUUUGCCUCGUUCAAAGCAUGCAGGUGGUAUAUUUUUCAAAGGGAAAAUGCAAUUACAUAAUGAGAUGCUUGCUAUACCAGAAUGUGUUCACACCAUUUGGCAAGUAAAUUUCGAUCUGAAGAGGAAAACAUUAUGGUACUAGGAUGCUGCGCUGCGGGCGGUGCUGUGGGAUUAAAAAACUGUAAUGAAUAAUACCUAAACAUGGUUACAUUAAAUGAAAAACGUGUGAAAUGAAGCAAUCUGAAGACAAAUCAGUCUUUAUCUGAAUCACAACAAUGAUUUUAUGAUGCUGGCUUCCAAAAUAACCAUCUUCAUGUUUUCUGUCAAUCUGUUUCUGCAAGAAACUGUGUUAAAAGAAGGACCAUGAUUGAACUUUGUUCCAGUUUACUAAUAAGCUUGACACCAGGUUGCAAAAUAAGCUUAUUCAUUGUACCUGAAGAUUGAUCUCCUUUCCUCUUUACUAAUAAACUUCCACUUUCUACAGAAUCAUUGAUCUGCUAAAUUUUUUUUAGUUGUGAUAAAAACAGCCUUGUGUUAGUAACUUAGUAUUAUUUAUUGUCAAAGUAGAUAAAGAAAAAGGAGCACAAAGACAUACCCUUAAAUCAAGUAGAAGGAAAAGAUCAUGAAACGUGAACAAAGAAACUGCCUCCUAGCGGCUUAAUUGGAACCUACAAAAAAUAGAAAUAUUUCAAUACCUGAUGCAUAGUCAUUUUAUCUCGUUGAUACUUGAGACAGGAUACUCUUGAUUCUGAUUUUGUAGCAACAAUGAAUGUAAACAGCUAUAAGAUAGGUAAAGAGUCUUUUCAAAUUUGCGUAAUAUACCUUCUGGUUUUCCUUUUAGGAGUCUGAUUCAUUUGAAUCCUGACCCUUGGCGGCUGAAUCUUGAUCUCCAAGAGGUUGUUGUAAAAUGCUGAUGACUGUAAAGACGUUCUGAAAAUGAAGUGCAGUUAUCCUGCUGAAAGCUGUCUGAAUUCGUAACACAAAAUGGAGAAGAUAUAGUACAUAUUAGGUAAAUGAUAUAUAAUAGCAAGUAAGGAACAUUGUUGUAUCCAAUAAUUAUGUAAGACUGAAAGAAAGCAUAACCAAGAUAACUAUACCUUCUUGUUCUUCCUUUCUCAGUAAUCUAGCAACCUGGAAAUAGCUUCCUUCUUCCUUGUUCACAAUCCUUAACCCCUGCAUGACCAAAAUGUGCUCUUGUUUUUUGUUCCAUCUGGGCCAACUGAGUCACCAGAGAAUUAUGCCAUUUCAAAGAGGAAUUUAAGUUUUCAUUGCUCAAAAGGGUUAAAGCACUGUUUAAUAAUAAAAAAAAAUCAAAGCUCACCUUGAAUUGUCUUUUAGACAUGUUCAUUCAGAACCCAAGCAUAAUCAUGUACUCCCCAUUAAUGUUUUGUUCAAGAUCAGUUACCUUCACAAUAUCAUAAACGCAUAAAUAUCCAGUUAACUUCAACUCAUAAAUCACAGAAUAUUACGUAUAGUCAUAAAUCAAAGAUUUAACUAAGUAAAAAAAAAAAAUUAAUCUGUACCAUCAUCUUUAUUCAUGAAAUGUUAAUCAAUCCAUCUUUAUUCAUGAUUGAAACAGUAUAAUCAAUCCAUCUGCAAAUUGCCAUGAUCAUACCUAAUUGAGCCAAAACAUGAAAAAUUUAGGAUCUACUGAACAUACCCAAUCGACCAAGAACCUUCCCCUAACAAAAUACAAAAUACAAAAUCAACACAAAAAAAGCAAAAUUUCAGAGGAGGAACCUUACUUAAAGAAACCUGAAUUCACCAAAAACCUUUGAUGCUUGAUUGAAACCCAAACUCGCAAUAAAAGUGAUCAAUGUCUUCUUUAAGAUCAAUAACCUUCACAACACUGCAAACACAUCUAUACACAGUAUUUAAACUCUUAGGAUCGAAUAAUAUGAUUGAAUCCAAAAUCGAACUAACCAACAUAAUCAUCAACCCCUCAUUUUCUUACACUAAAGUUAAAACAACUAAGUAUUGAAAGAAGCCCCACUUCAAUGAACUGAAAAUAUAUAAAUCAACUAAAUUAACAAUUAAGCUAAAGACAAAAAAUUGAAAACAGGAAAAAGAAACAUGGCUUCAAACCCGAAAGAAACCCAUCCAUUCAGAUAUUCAUCAUUGAGAUCGAAUCAAUACAAAAUAAGUACCAAACAACAUUCAAACUAUUAUUUUCCCGAACGGGCAUCACCGGAAAUUCCACAUACAACUCUCCAUUUCAGCGAACAAUUGGAAAUCAAAACCAAAUACCGAGUUAAUUAAGAUAACAAAAGAGAUCGUGACUCACCGGAAAUUGAAACGGGUCGAACUAAAUUGGUAUUCCAGAGCUCAUAGCAGUAGAUGAAAAUCAGAAAGGAAUUUCAUUCUGAGAUGAAGAGGAAACAAAGAUCUUUAAUCGGAAAGGGGAUAGCUUACCUUUGCGUUGCUCUCCCUCUCUCUUUCAGUCUCUCUCUCUCGCUUUGUUUUCGAUGAGUUUCAGUUCCUCUGUGACGAAAACUAAAGUAAAUAGAAGCGAGAGACACGCGGCGGCAGGAGGGACAGGUGGAAAGUAAGGGCAAAUGCGGAAUUAACCAGCCCAAAACACAGGCCUAGCACAAAGCCCAUCACUGUUAAACACUGUGUAAUAUAAACAGUAAUACAUUUAUGCUCUUGAAAACAGAAGGGGAGAAAAAAAUUACUUCAUACAGUUCAAUGUUUCCAUCAUAAUGUUCGGCAGUCCCACAUCAGAAAAUGCUAAUAUAUACUACCAGAAUAUACCUAGAGACAACAAAAUGGAGGAACUUUGGCAGAAUAGAUGAACCAGUUUCUAAGAAAACGAUGAAAUAAAAUGAAGGCCACAAUAAGAUCAGAGCAAGAAUGAGUUAUAUGCUACAAUGCUAGAAACAAAUACCACCAGAGUCAUGAACAGGGAAGAACAUAAGUCAAAGACAUUGUAUUAACACAUAUUUUUCAGACUGUAAGGCCAACAGAUAACUUAAACGUAGUAGUAAUUCAACACAAAUUACAACCAACAACAACUUUUGUUAAUCUCGGUUUGAAAAGAUGGAAGCAUCCUUCCAGGUCAAAAGCACAAGGGAGUCACACUAAGGUAAAUCAUACAUGGACGCUGAAGGGGCUCCAGAAACUGGUCCUAGAUAAUCAGCAUGUAAGCCAACCAAUGCCUGAAAUUCCCUUUCGGCCUCAAGCCACUUAGCUCCGAUGACAAUGAAACGUAGCGUGGUACCUUUUUCAAUCUUAGAACUCUUGGCAUUCAGAAAGAUAGGAUUCUCCCCUGGAACAUAGUUGUAAUCAGGCAUUUUCGAAGAAGAGAGAUAUACAUUCUCAAUUGGACCACAUCUCAAUAUAACUCCCUGCUUGAGCACCUUGUGCACUACCCCCUUUAAGAUCUCUCCUCUGAAAAGCUUAAAAGAGAUAGCACUAAAGGUAACUGGAAAAAGCACAUCCCCAGUAUGCUGUCUGACUUUUCCCUCACCUAUUUUCUCCACAGUUGUGAGAGCAAGAAGGUAUCCAAGGUCUUUGGUAGCCUUUCUUUCUGCAAAGUCAUCAAGCAGUCGAACAAUAAUUGCCUUUUGGAGCAUCAGUCCCUUUGCAUCCAAGCUUUCAGCAGGGAUUACAACAUUCCACUGCAACUCAGUUUUGAGAAACAUUGUCUUCCUUUUACCUGCCAGACAAUAAAGAAUGAAGCAGCAACCAAUUGUACAUUAGCUAUCCCUGAAUUCUUGUCAAAAAUGUAUACUUCCUUGCCCUAGGCCAAACCAUCCCCAUAGAUCAAGAGCCAAUAAAAGAUUGUUCAGAGAGACAAAUAAGUACUUUUAACAUCCUCCUGAGCUAAUCCUUUAACUUGGUCUACAAUUUAAUCUAAACUCUGGCAAUAUGAUAAUAUCACAAGAGCAGAUAUGUAAACCCGAAACUCUUUUAUUAACUAUCUGAUAAACAGCUGCAACUUUUAUAUUUUCUAGUAACUACCAUAUUAAGAACUUCAAAAAACUUCCAGAAGCAAGCUCAAUUAGUUUUAAAUUUUUUGAAAGCCAAUCAAUAUUCCAGUCCAGCUUAAUAAAUAGAACUUUCUACCUUCUAAAGCAUCCAGUUAAAUGAAAGAUCCAACAAGAAAGAAUUCUCAUAAAUUAACAGGCAAGAAGGAAAUUUCUUGUUUUGGAAGUCAUAAAUAUCAUCCUGUAGAAUAGUGGUCGGGUAUACUCAUCAGUAUGGUAUAACGCAAAGUGGAUAAUUGCCUAACUGAUCUGGCAAACUGUGUAUGCAAAAGUUCUGUCAAACUUUUGGGCGAGAAAACUGCUCUUUUGAGCCUAGACUGAGGUAAAAGGCACUCGAGGAAAGGAGCUCAAUGUUGACAAUCAAUGAGAGGGAUUCAGUACUUGGAUUAUAUUGAUUUUCCCAAAGGAAAGGCAGUAUGAUACUUGGACAAUGUGAUUCUCUCUUCAAACAAACAUUAACCAGAAGCAUUUUACUGACACCGCACUUGAAAAGAUGAAGAAAAUAGUUUACAAAGUUAGGCAGCAGAACAAUUUAGCUUUACAACUAAAAAUUUCAUGAUUUAUGACUAUGAAUCUGCCAUCCGAAUCUCUUUAGCUUAAACUACAACAACUCACCAAAGAUGGCAGCACACUUUCAAACAAAAGUAUCCAAACUCUUGUGUGGAAGGCAUUACAAAAACAUGUAAAGAGAGACUAAACAUUGACCUAAAGCACACAUACGCUAUCAGUAACAAGAACUAUCAACCAUCUAGAAGCAAUUGAAUCAACACCUCAACACAUCUAAUGACAGGAAAACGAAAAUUCCCUGAAUGAUUCUUCAUAAACAACACCUCCUCGAUAAAAUACACAAGACUAGUAUUUAGUCCCUCUGUAGCACAUUCACAACAAAAUGAAAUAUGUAAUAGCCUGAACCAUAACCCCAACUUCUCAUGCCCUCCAGAUCGCGCUAUCCCCAUUUCUAAGGCAAUACAAGUUCGGUCACCAAAAAUAGCCGCACAAUCUCUUUAAAUUCUCUUCAAGCCUCUCAAUUUAGUAGAUUUGCUACUCUUUCAUCGGUGAAACACGUCCCCAUUACCAAACCACAGAAACCCAUACUCCAAUAACAGGCAAAUUUCAGUAACACCACACUAAAAACAGACCAAACUCGGAAAUCACAAUACAAGAUAUAGCUGUUCUAUUUCUCAAAAAUUCCCCACUCAAUUUCCAUGAGAAAAGGCUCAAUCUUUGGUCAGCUAGACACACAUAACAGUUCAACAAACAACAGAAACCCCAUUUCUUCAAGUUCCUACCAAUCCCCUCAAUUUACAUGAGAAAAGAAUCAAUCUUUACUCCUUCACAAACUCAAAAGAACCAAUCUUUUUGGUCAGUAUGACAACCCGUUUAACCAACAAACAGAAACCCAAUUACUCUACCAAAUUUCAUUGGAGAUUCUAAAAACAAACCAAAAUUUACAAACCGAAAUGAAAUAUCUAAGCUAUAAUAAACCAAACAACGAAGUAGAGAAAUAUGGAGGAUGUACAAGGUGUAACCUUUCAGAAAUCAAAGCUUACCCUAAGGCAGAGCAGAGCCAAUAUGAAGAAGCUCAGUGAGUCGGGUUGUUGGUCCUGUCUCUGUAUCUAUGUAACGCUCAGUGAGUCGCUAUAUUGGUGAGUUGGUGGCACUGUGAAGUGCGAAGAAAGACGACAUUUUUGUUCUUAUUCGAUUUCGGAAAGAUCACACAACUAUAGAAUCGACGGUUAAAAAAGACGAAAGAGAGACGGCUGUAGAUGUGGAACCAAGCAGAGGAUUUGAAACAAAACUACUGGUUCAAUCUCUACACUUUUUAACUAGUAAGUUCAAGUUCGGUAAAGUUUUCGUGUUUGUAUUUUUAUUUUUUUAAAUGAAAAUAAGAUGAAAAUAUGUUCGCUGAGGCAUUUCUGAAAACGUUGAAAAUCAAAAAUGAAAAAUGAAUUUUUUUUUUUAACUUUACAAAGAAAAACUAAAAAUAUCAAUUUGACAUUUUUAUUUUUUCAUUUUUCUAGUUUAGAAAAUAUAUAUGAAAAAUACUUUUCACAAUUAAUUACCAAAUACAUUUCUAAAAUAGAAAAUAACAAUCUCAUUUUCUCUAUUUUAUUUUUAAAACUCAUUUUUGAAAAUCGUUUUCAAAAACGUUAUCGGAUAGACCCUAAAUCUGUCCAAAUUUAUAAACCGUAGAUGGAAUAGUACGUAGAUCAAUGUUUAUAAUAACUUAACGUGGUUUUUGUUACUACAAGUGUGUGUAGUUCUGUUCCACUCGGCAACCGCAUUUCAAUAAGGUUGGAUCAAUCAUUUUGGUUGUAUAUUUUGGUUUCUGUUUUUAUUGUUGAUGGUUCUUGGGUGCUUCCUGAUCUGCUUCAACUUCACUUUUCAGCUUUAUGUAACAAAAUUGAGCAGGUCCCUCUUGCUACUAAUGCUUCGAUGGAGGACACUCUUAUUUGGAUGCCUUCGUCUACAGGAGAUUUGACUGCAAAGCAUGCUUACCAAUUUUUACGGCAUCCAUCUCCCUCCAUGCCUUGGGGUAAGUCCUUAUGGUCUAGAUUUAUUAUGCCUAGAAUGUCUCUACAUGCUUGGAAGGUUUUGAAAGGGAGAGUAAUUUGUGAUGAGCUUAUACAACGUCGAGGAGUGGCUUGGGUUUCAAGAUGUGAGCUUUGUGGUGCAUGUACUGAGUCUCUGCAACAUAUUUUCUUGCAUUGUCCCUUUACAGCUGCUAUAUGGUCUUAUUUCUUAUCUCUUUUUGAUUUGGGGGUUACUCCUCAUACAAUUGUGGAUUUAUUUCACAAAGGUCUGAGUAUGGGACGUAGCUCACAACUUAAGGAGCUUUGGUUGAUCUGUUUUACUUCUAUUUUAUGGUUUGUAUGGCAUGUGAGGAAUAAGACCAGAUUUGAAGGUAAGUCGUUCUCUGUGGCUUCAAUUUGUCAUCUCAUUUUAGGGCACAUUAGAGCGGCUAGUCGGCUUGCAAAUGGUCAAAUGCAUAAUUCAGUUCAAGAUUUACGGAUAAUAAAGAGUUUUGGUGCAGAGUGUCGAUUGGGAAGAGCUCCAAAAAUUAUUGAGGUUGUUUGGCAUCCUCCAGUCAUUGGGUGGGUGAAGAUUAAUCCGGAUGGAGCUUGGAAGCAUGUAGAGGGUGUUGGAGGUUUUGGUGCUGCUUUUCGUGACUUUAAAGGUCAUGUUCUUGGUGCUUUUUCUUCCAACAUUGACAUUCCUAGUUCAGUAGCAGCAGAGGUGAUGGCAGUUAUAGUUGCUAUUGAGCUUGCUUGGGUACGAGACUGGAAGCAUAUUUGGUUAGAGGUUGACUCGUCACUUGUGUUAGACUAUCUACGGUCUCCUUUGCUUGUACCUUGGCAUCUACGUGUCCGUUGGCUUAAUUGUUUACGUUGCAUAUCGAAUAUGACCUUUCGAUCUUCUCAUAUUUUUCGUGAAGGGAAUAAGGUUGCAGAUGCUCUGGCUAAUCACGGUACGUCAUUAACACAGCUGGUUUGGUGGGAUUCACCUCCUCCUUUUAUUUUGUCAUAUUGUAGUAGUGACCUUAUGGGUCUUCCCCAAUUUCAGUUUUCAUAGUUUUGUUUCGUUGUUAUUUUGUUAUGAGAGGUUUUGGUCUAAUCCCUCUCUUGAUGUUUCUUUUUUCUUUUUUAAUACAUAAGAGUGUUAGGGGGUCAUUCCUCUCUCACUCAUCUUUCAGCCAAAAAAAAAAAAAAAGAAGAUUGACAUAGAGAAAAUCGACCGGCAGAAACUAUAUCAAUUGAACAUGUAUGGACUUUGAACAUAUCAGUCAACAAUUAAAAGAAGCCGCAUAGGAUUAUCCAUCAU